rnacentral:lncRNA from 1 species
CCCGACGUGCCUGCCGCCUCCGCUGAGUGACACUGGGUGGGUUUGGAUGUGGCCUUGAUGAUCCUGGCCCGUCGCACCAACGGUGUUGCGGGCGGGAGGGUCCCGAUGGUCGAGCGGGUUACCCUGAGGUAGGUGCCGCGGUCCGCUGGUUACGGCGGGUGGAUCCUCCGGCCGGCUUCUGGUGCGGCUCGCCUGAGGGGUGGAGUGCAGCCGGUCGAGGCUGUGUGAGAAUUGUGUGUUCUGUACCAUCGCCGUUUUCAACAUCUCAAUGGCGUUUCUUGCUUCUAUUUUAGCCGGGGUGUUUCCAUAAAUUGGAAGGGACUCCAAGUGGCGAGUCGCUGCGAGCACGUGGUCCAUGGGGUUGGAAAAGUGGCCCUGAGGCGUCUGGAAGCGAGGAACGCGAUCAUCCGCCGGCUGAGGCGGUAGGUUUGUUGGCUGAGUCGGCCCUCCCCCUGGAACGGUUCCCGUCCCGGGGGUACGCGGAGUGUCAAAAAGGCGGGUAGGGUUCAGAUCAGGGGGUAAACACCCCUGGCGCCUCCUCUGAUGGACAGCGUCGGACGCGCGCUGCUGUCUUUCAAAUCGCCAGUUCUUGGUAUUUAAGCGGGUCGUCUCUGCAGUGAUCUGAGCUUGCUGGGUUGCAAUCCUGGCGGCUUCUGCCUCUGCAUCUCGCUGGGCCUUCGCCAUCUCAUCUCGUAGCUUUGCCAAGUCGGUGUUGAUCGUUCCCAGGUUUUCUACCGUCACGGGGGUUGCCAUGAGCCUCGUUAUCUCCGCCGACAGGUCCACCAGGACCACAACUGGGCUUUUGGAUGGGCCGCCGGCCUCGUUGUUGCCUGCAGGGUUUUGCUGGGACUGUGUUGCCCCCGCAAUGUAUAUGGCGAUCUGACGACGGGUCCGGUCAAGGACUUCGGGAUCCAUCGCCAGCGACAUAUCUCCAAGGCGGCCUUCAUGCACGAACUCGAUCGAGUCUGUGUCGCCCAUGGAUGACUCUUCGUCAGAGUUGACCGGUGUGGCCUCCCGAGUUGCCGACCGCUCCGGCUCAUCAGAUCUCUGCGUGAAGCCGACGAAAACUGGGCACGUCAGGCUUUAUGGCGCGACGGGACGGACAUACCUGGCCGGCUCGACGGUGUCGCUGAAGAUGUCCGGCUCAGACAUGGGUGCUCCGACCAUGCCGAUGAAGAUGUUGACCUUGCUGAAGGGGACUCUAUAGCCGGAUUCGAUCGAAUCGGCCUCGGGUCCCCAUAGCGAGUUGUCGAUGUAGUACUUUCUGCGGCGGCUCCGGGUCAUGAGCCCAGCCGCGUAGCUCCCUGACCCUGGUAGGGAUCCCUUCAAGAACUCAACUCCACCAUGCGUAGGCCCCACGGUGGGCGCCAACUGUCGUGGUUUUGUCACGACACAUUUCCUAGUGAAAGGACUUAAUGAUGGAGCCAUCGCACCUUGGUGGCGACUCAAAGGGGUUAAGCGGAAGCGGGACUCAGAUUUACCUAGGUUCGGCCCCUCGUGAGGAGGCAAAGGCCUACGUCCUGCUUUGUGUUGUAUUGAUGAUGUUUCGAUUACAAAGAGAGGGUAACUCGCCUGACCUAGCUCUCGAUGAUUUCUAAGCUGCUUCUCCUCUCCAGGGACUCGCCUUUAUAUACAGGUUGAGGCCCUAGGGUUUACAAGAGUCCAUGCCUUAAUACAAACCGUGAUUCUUUCUAUCUCUAAGUUGUCGUGCUUUCCAAGAUUGGAAACCUCCUUGGCGACUUAUCCUCUUUGUAUAUUUGGAACCGCCAUCCAGCUCCUGGGCCUUCUGGGCCAAAGCUUGCUUCGCCAAAGGAUGAGUCGCCCACUUAGUGACCCGGCCCAACUAGGGCAGGUCACACCGCAGGUAAUAUCCCCAACACUAUCCGAUGUAAUCCUCUUUGUCGGUGUGUUUGUCGAGAUCCGAUGAAUUGUGGAUUUGUGAUCAGAUUAUCUAUGAAUUAUAUUUGAGUCUUUGCGGAUUUCUUAUAUGCAUGAUUUCAUAUCCUUGUAAGUCUCUCCGAGUCUUGGGUUUUGUUUGGCCAACUAGAUCUAUGAUUCUUGCAAUGGGAGAAGUGCUUGGUUUUGGGUUCAUACCGUGCGGUGACCUUUCCCAGUGACAGAAGGGGCAGCAAGGCACGCAUCGUGUUGUUGCCAUCAAGGGUAACAAGAUGGGCUUUCAUCAUAGAUNNNNNNNNNNNNNNNNNNNNNNNNNNNNNNNNNNNNNNNNNNNNNNNNNNNNNNNNNNNNNNNNNNNNNNNNNNNNNNNNNNNNNNNNNNNNNNNNNNNNCCCCCCUUAGCGUGUGUUAUAUCGUCGUGACGCCGAUCUAAAUUGUCAACACUUUGCGCGAAGCUUGUCGAUGUAGAUCUCCUUCGAUCUCGUCAAAGCUUCCAUCAUUGCAAGAACACAACAUAUUUUAUAAAUGAGAAUAGUUGGGUGCUUAAACACACGACCCUCAUUAAUGUUAUUAUGAGGAGUCCAUAAUGCCCAUGCUAAGGCCGUAAAUCCAACCCAAGCUAGCCUCCUAACAUUCCCUCUUGUCCUCUGAAUAAGUUCAUGACGCUCUGUAAACCUUGUUGAGUUCUGUGAGCACCCCGCGACCUCCCUAAUCAUUCUCCAAGUGUAUCUCACAAUAAUGCAUCGGAAAGAAAUAUGAUCAUAGUCACAUCUUCGCCACACCACUCACAUUUAUCAUUGCUAGACCCAUGUCGUUUGAGCACUUGGUCCUCACUAGGAAUUCACUUCUGUGCCACUUGCCAUAUGCCGGAAUUCUAGCUUUCCAAAUUCCCAUCAACUCAUAUCUCGGUAUUGUUUUGAAAAUAUCCUUAUAAAGUGAUCCCAUCGAGAAUUGGCAUGACGGCUUGUGUUCCAUGAGACUACAUCCGCACACAUGGACACUCGAAGAUGUAUCAAGUCGCUACGCAUACACUGCCAUUCCUCCCAUUGGAUAGUAUCAAGAGCAAGUCUAAAGGAUGGUGUCCAUCGCUUCUCAUCCCAACACUCAUGUUGGCUUUUGAACGUGCGUAUGCAGCCGUACAAGCGUGCCUACGCGAUUCUUGUUUCGGCCGGCUACUUGACGGAACUUGCGUAACUAGCGACACGAAUAAAACUGAUCGAUGGAUUUGAUGGCUAAAGGCCCGUGUCGAGCCUUUGCUUUGUAUUGCUUUUCGUUUUUCUGGUGUUACAAUCAACACCCCUGGGGUGUCUUUUAUACACGUCCACAAGGGACUAUGAAAAUAGACUAGGACUAGGAAUCCUAAUACCACUAGGACUCGGUUUGGCUUUCUUUCCUAAUCCUAAAGAAACAACAUGAUUAACUUCUACAACUACCAUAGCUUCAGGAUGCUCGGAGAUAGCAAAUAGUCAAGGAUAUUAUUCACAUAAUGGGUUUUCCCAGCACCACACGUCCAACCAAAGUUGAGUUCGGUGGCCAUCCCUCACUUCAAAUUUUGUUCAAAGGCUAAGUAAGUGUUGCACAUUCCCCACAACUUUUGGAAACUCGAUGUCAUUGUUGCGAUUUGGAAACAACAAUGACGGCGAGUGACGGUUGUGACCCUGGUCAUAUGGUUGCUCUGGAGACAUCGAAACGACAUCGUCUUCAACGGGGUUGCACCAUCGGCAGAGGCAGUCCUCAGGCGGAUCGACGUUGAGGGCCAGCAUUGGAAGGCAGCGUCGCUCCUGAGAGAAGAUAAUUCCUUCCCUACUAGGAUUGAUAGGUGGACAGACGAAGUAGUCGCUAAUGUGUUGAUGAAUGGCUUUCAUAACUGUGGAUAGGUUGUAAAAACAUGUAGCCGUCUUGGCUAUUUCUAUCUAUGAUCUCGAUACGUCAAACUUUGGCGUAUCCUUGAAAAAAUUAUGGCGAGUGAUAGUGGGGUCAUAACAAGGGUUUGUAGAAAGCUCUCCAACAUGAUUGAGGGGUUCAAUGUGUUGUGUUUGUUGUGGAGUUGGAGUUGUUGUGUCGGGGGCAAUGUUGCGACCAUGACAAUCGAAGAGUGACCAACCUAUGAUGGACGGGCUCAACUCAAGCCGUGUGCAUCUCUCCAAUUGAGCUUAUCAUGUUUCAUGACUAUCAGUGUUAGGGGUAUUGUAACUUGGUUGACCCGAUUUUUUUGUAAUUAGCUGGACCGUUCAUUCUCACUUUCUUCUUAAUAAUUAUUUUUUAUGUACCUAAAUAAUUAUAGUUGGAGAAAACUAGACAACUAUAAUUAUUUAGGUACAAAAGGGUGGUAAAAAAUUAGUGUAAUUUACCUCGUUUCACAAAAUAUAUCCAUCAUGUAUUCAAACGUGGGAACACUAGUCUCAAGGUGAGAGAUAUUGUCGACCGAUUUGGUGGCACAUGAUCAUUUUUCUUGUAAGAACGUCACCGCUUGUAAUGGCAUCCAAUUAAUGCCCUUAUUUCCUCCGCUCCUUUUAAGUGACUGGACAUCUGCAUUGAAAGAUUGCACUGUGCCGUUUUGCGGGCAUAAAAGGGAAAUCGCCCCAAAUAGGCCAUGAUCAAUUGAAGCAAACAAACAACAUCAAUUCCAUGUCAGGGCCCGGGGCCUCCCUCUNNNNNNNNNNNNNNNNNNNNNNNNNNNNNNNNNNNNNNNNNNNNNNNNNNNNNNNNNNNNNNNNNNNNNNNNNNNNNNNNNNNNNNNNNNNNNNNNNNNNUUGCACAAUCUCACGGUCGAAGGAAAAGAUACUUGACUUUAGAAAAGCAUUAGCAUACGAACAAUACGAUCUAGUGCUAGGCUUAGGAUUGGGUCUUGUCCACCACAUCAUUCUCCCAAUGAUGUGAUCCAGUUAUCAAUGACAUCCAAUGUCCAUGAUCAGGAAACCAUGAUCAUCUAUCGACUAACGAGCUAGCCAACUAGAGACUUGCUAGGGACACAUUGUGAUCUAUUCAUUCACACAUGUAUUACUGUUUCCUGUUAAUACAAUUAUAGCAUGAACGAUAGACGAUUAUCAUGAACAAGGAAAUAUGAUAACAACCAUUUUAUUAUUGCCUCUAGGGCAUAUUUCCAACACCUACCUACCUAUGGAUUGAAUAAGAUCCCUCAAGUAAGUUGUCAUCGGUGCAAGCAAUAAAAAUUGCUCUCUAAUAUGUAUGAUCUAUUAGUGUGUGGAAAAUAAGCUUUAUACGAACCUAUGAUGAGGAAGACAUAAAAGCGACAGACUGCAUAAUAAAGUUCUUUAUCACAGGAGGCAAUAUAAAGUGACGUUCCUUCGCACUAAGAGGACACGCAUCCAAACCUCAAGAGUGCAUGUCAACCUCUGCUUCCCUCUGCGAAGGGCCUAUCUUGUACCUUUACUUUUUGCCUUUGAAAGAGUCAUGGUGAUCUGCACCAAUUCCUUAUCUCGCCUUUAUCUUGGCUAACGUCAUAUGCUUGGGAAAGAUCUGUAUUCAUAUGUCAACUUGGAGGUAGGCAUUCAUGAAUUAUUAUUGUUGACUUUAACCUUGAGGUAAGCAGCUGGGAGGCAAAACUAUAAGCCCCUAUCUUUCUCAGUGUCCAGCUGAAACUUUGAUAUCAUGAGUACCACGUGAGUUGUAGCAAUUGUAGAGAACAAAAGAAUGAUUGAGUAUGUGGAUUGGCUUUACAAGCUCUUAUUUGACUCUUUCUGAUGUUGUGAUAAAUUGCAAUUGCUUCAAUGACUAAAGCUAUUGGUUGUUACUUCUCGGUAAGGUUCUUGAUCCAUGCUUUACUUUGUGAAGGAAUUAUCACUUUAGCAUGAGAGAUUAUAUGUUGGUAUUGCUGUUCUGAUCUUGAUCAUGAUGCAUGCAUGUUCGUAUCUUGUUUUGUCGACACCUCUGUCCCUAAACAUGUGGACAUAUUUAUUGAGCUCGGCUUUCACUUGAGGACAAGCGAGGUCUAAGCUUGGGGGAGUUGAUACGUCCAUUUUGCAUCAUGUUUUCAUGUUGAUAUUUAUCGCUUCUUUGGCUGUUAUUUCACUUCACGGUACUAUUCUUAUGCCUUUUCUCUCUUAUUUUGCAAGGUUUACAUGAAGAGGGAGAAUAACGGCAACUCGAAUUAUGGCCUGAAAGUGGAGCAAAGUUGAGAUACCUAUUCUGCGCAACUCCAAACGCCGUAAAAAUCAACGAGGAUUUUUUUCCCGAUUUAUCAAAAAUACUGGGCCGAAGAAGUGCCACAGGGGCACCAGGGGGUGCCCACAAGCCUGCACGGCGCGACCACCCCCCCAGGCCGCGCCAUGGGGGCUUGUGGGCAGCCCACUGGCCCACUUNNNNNNNNNNUCGUAAAAAUCAACGAGGAUUGUUUUCCCGAUUUAUAAAAAAUACUGGGACGAAGAAGUGCCAGAGGGGCACCAGGGGGUGCCCACAAGCCUGCACGGCGCGGCCACCCCCAGGCCGCGCCAUGGGGGCUUGUGGGCAGCCCACUGGCCCACUUGCUCCCCUCUUUUGCUACAUGGAGGGUUUUGUCCAGGAAAAAAAAUUCAAGGAGGAGCUUUUUCGUUGUUUUGCUGCCGCCACGAGGCGGAACUUGAGAAGAACCAAUCUAGAGCUCGGCAGGACGAUCCUGCCGGGGAAACUUCCCUCCCGGAGGGGGAAAUCNNNNNNNNNNGCUCUCAUCGGACUCGUCACCAUCAACAUCUUCAUCAGCACCAUCUCAUCUCCAAACCCUAGGUCAUCACUUGUAACCAAUCUCCUUCUCACGACUCCGAUUGGUACUUGUAAGGUUGCUAGUAGUGUUGAUUACUCUUUGUAGUUGAUGCUAGUUGGAUUAUUUGGUGGAAGAGUUUAUGUUCAGAUCCUUGAUGAUACUCAUUACCUCUCUAAUCAUGAAUAUGAUUAUGCUUUGUGAGUAGUUACUUUUGUUCCUGAGGACAUGGGAUAAGUCAUGCUAAUAGUAGUCAUGUGAAUUUGGUAUUCGUUCGGUAAUUUGAUAUGUUGUAUGUUCUUUUUCCUCUAGUGGUGUUAUGUGAACGUCGACUACAUAACACUUCACCAUUAUUUGGGCCUAGAGGAAGGCAUUGGUAAGUAGUAAGUAGAUGAUGGGUUGCUAGAGUGACAGAGGCUUAAACCCUAGUUUAUGCGUUGCUUCGUAAGGGGCUGAUUUGGAUCCACUAGUUUAAUGAUAUGGUUAGACUUUGUCUUAAUUCUUCUUUCGUAGUUGCGGAUGCUUGCGAGAGGGGUUAAUCAUAAGUGGGAUGCUUGUCCAAGUAAGGGCAGUACCCAAGCGCCGGUCCACCCACAUAUCAAACUAUCAAAAUAAUGAACGCGAAUCAUAUGAACAUGAUGAAACUAGCAUGACAGAAAUUCUCGUGUGUCCUCGGGAGCGUUUUCCCUCCUAUAAGACUUUGUCCAGGCUUGUCCCUUGCUACAAAAGUGAUUGGGCCACUUGGCUGCAUCGUUGCUACUUUUAUUACUUGUUGCUCGCUAUGAAUCAUCUCACCACACAAUCACUUGUUACCGACAAUUUCAGUGCUUGNNNNNNNNNNNNNNNNNNNNNNNNNNNNNNNNNNNNNNNNNNNNNNNNNNNNNNNNNNNNNNNNNNNNNNNNNNNNNNNNNNNNNNNNNNNNNNNNNNNNUGAGCCUAGCAUGUGCAGACAUGGCCUUGGAACACAUGAGACCGAAAGGUCGAUCAUGAGUCAUAUAGUUGAUGUGAUUAGCAUAGAGAUUCUUACCACUGAAAUUAUUCUCGACUCACGUGAUGAUCGGACUUCAGAUAGUGGAUUUGGAUCAUGUACCACUCAAAUGACUAGAGAGAUGUACUUUUUGAGUGGGAGUUCUUAAGUAAUAUGAUUAAUUGAACUAAUUGUCAUGAACAUAGUCUAAUGGUCUUUGCGAAUUACGAUGUAGCUUGCGCUAUAGCUCUACUGUUUUUAUAUGUUCCUAGAGAAAAUUUAGUUGAAAGUUGAUAGUAGCAAACUUUGCAGAGUGAGUCUGUAAAACUAAGGAUUGUCCUCGAUGCUACUUAGAAGGCUUAUGUCCUUAAUGCACCACUCGGUGUGCUGCACCUCGAGCGUCGUCUGUGGAUGUUGUGAACAUCGGACAUACACAUUUCUGAAUACUAUGCGAUAGUUCAGUGCAAAAUACUUAAUGGCUUAGAAGCAAGGCGCCGAAGACGUUUUGAAACGUCACGGAACAUAAGAGAUGUUCUAAAGAGAUGAAAUUGUGAUUUCAUGCUCGUGCCCUUGUUAAGAGGUAUGAGACCUCCGACAAGAUUCUUUGUCCACGAAGUAAAGGAGAGAAGCUCAAUCGUUGAGCGUGUGCUCAGAUUGUCUGAGUACGACAAUCGCUUGAAUCAAGUGGGAGAUAAUCUCCCAGAUGAGAUAGUGAUGGUUCUCCAAAGUCACUGCCACCAAGCUGUGAGAGCUUCGUGAUGAACUAUAACAUAUCAAGGAUAGAUACAAUGAUCCUUGAGCGAUUUGCGAUGUUUGACACUUUGAAAGUAGAAAUCAAGAAGGAGCAUCAAUAGUUGAUGGUUAGCAAAACCACUAAGUUUCAAGAAAAGGCAAGGGCUAGAAGGGAUACUUCGUGAAACGGCAAAAUAGUUGCUGCACUGAUGAAGAGACCCUAGAUUAAACCCAAACCCAAGACUAAGUGCUUCUGUUAUGAGCGGAAUGGUCACUGAAGUGGAGCUACCCUAGAUGCUUGGUAGAUAAGAAGGCUGACAAAGUCGAAAGAUGUAUAUUUGAUAUACAUGAUGUUGAUGUGUACUUUACUAGUACUCCUAGUAGCUCGAGGGUAUUGGAUACCGGUUCGGUUGCUAAGUGAUUAGUAACACGAAAUGAAAGCUACGGAAUAAAGGAGACUAGCUAAAGGCGAGGUGACGAUAUAUGUUGGAAGUGUUUCCAAGGUUGAUAUGAUCAAACGUCGCACGCUCCCUCUAUCAUCGGGAUUGGUGGUAAAACCUAAAUAAUUGUUAUUUGGUGUUUGCGUUGAGCAUGAACAUGAUUGGAUCAUGCUUAUUGCAAUACGAUUAUUCAUUGAAAGAGAAUAAUAGUUAUUCUAUUUGCUUGAAUAAUUACCCUCAAUGGUUUAUUGAAUCUCGAUCGUAGUGUUACACAUAUUCAUAAUAUUAGUGCCAAAAGAUACAAAGUAAUAAUGAUAGUACCACUUAGUUGUGGCACUGCCACUUGAGUCAUGUUGGUGUAAAAUGCAUAAAGAAGCUCCAUGCUGAUGGAUCUUUGUACUCACUCAUUUUUGAAACAUUUGAGACAUGCAAACCAUACCUGUUGGUAUAAAUGCAUGAAGAAACUCCAUAGAGAUGGAUCAUUUGGACUCGCUUGAUUUUGAAUCACUUGAGACAUGCAAAACAUGCCACAUGAAACAAGAGAGUAACUUGUUGGGAGUAAUGCAUUUUUUAUGUGUGCAGUCCAAUGAGUGCUAAGGCACGCAAUGGAUAUCAUUAUGUUCUUACUUCACUGAUGAUUUGAGUAGAUACAGGAGUAUUUACUUGAUGAAUCACAAGUCUGAAAUAUUGAAAAGUUCAAUUCUGUUUCAGAGUGAAGUUCGUUGUAACAAGAGGAUAAACUGUCUAUGAUAUGAUCAUAGAGAUGAAUAUCUGAGUUAUGAGUUUUGGUACGUAGUUAAGACAAUGUGGAAAUUGUUUCGCAGUUCAUGCCACCUGGAACACCGUAGUGUGAUGAUGUGUCUAAACGUCAUAGCCACACCCUAUUUGAUAUGGUGCAUACUAUGAUGUCUCUUAUCGAAUUACCACUAUCGAUUAUGGGUUAUGCAUUAGAGACAACCGCAUUCACUUUAAAUAGGGCACCGCGUAUUUCCGUUGAGAUGACACAGUAUACACGGAGGUUUAGAGAAAUCUAAGUUGUCGUUUCUUGAAAGUUUGGGGCUGUGAUGCUUAUGUGAAAAAGGUUUCAGUCUGAUAAGCUCGAACCCGAAGCGGAUGAAAGCAUCUUCAUAGUAUAUCCAAAACAGUUGGAUACAUCUCCUAUCUCAGAUCCGGAAGCAAAGUGUUUACUUCUAGAAACGGAUCCUUUCUCGAGGAAAGGUUUCUCUCGAAAGAAUUGAGUGGGAGGGUGGUAGAACUUGAUGAGGUUAUUGAACCAUCGCUUCAACCAGUGUGUAGCAGGGCGCAGGAAGUUAUUCUUGUGGCGCCCACACUAAUUGAAGUGGAAGCUGAUGAUGGUGAUCAUUAAGCAUUGGAUCAAUUUACUACAAACCUCGUAGGUCGACAAGGUCGCAUACUACUACAGAUUGGUACGGUAACCAUGUCUUGGAGGUCAUGUUGUUGAACAACAAUGAACCUAUGAGUUAUGGAGAAGCAAUGGUGGGCCCGGAUUCCAACAAAUGGCUGGAGGCCAUGAAGUCCGAGAUAGGAUCUAUGUAUGAAAACAAAGUGUGGACUUUGGAAGUACUACCUGAAGGCCGCAAGGCUAUUCAGAACAAAUGGAUCUUUAAGAAGAAGACGGACGUUGACGGUAAUGUGACCGUUUAUAAAGCUCGACUUGUGACAAAGGGUUUUUCACAAGUUCAAGGAGUUGACUACGAUGAGACGUUCUCACCUGUAGCGAUGCUUAAGUCCGUCAGAAUCAUGUUAGCAAUAGCUGCAUUUUUCGAUUAUGAAAUAUGGCAGAUGGAUGUCAAAACGGCGUUCCUUAACGGUUUCCUUAAGGAAGAGUUGUAUAUGAUGCAACCCGAAGGUUUUGUCGAUCCUAAAAAUGCUAACAAAGUGUGCAAGCUCCAGUGAUCCAUUUAUGGACUGGUGCAAGCAUCUCGGAGUUAGAAUAAACGCUUUGAUGAGGUGAUCAAAGCAUUUGGGUUUAUACAAGUGGUUAGAGAAACUUGUAUUUCCAAAGAAGUGAGUGGGAGCACUAUAGAAUUUCUAAUAAGUAUAUGUGGUUGACAUAUUGUUGAUCAGAAGUAAUGUAGAAUUUCUGUAAAGCAUACAAGGUUGUUUGAAAGGAGUUUUUCAAAGGAAUACCUGGAUUGAGCUACUUGAACGUUGAGCAUCAAGAUCUAUGGAGAUAGAUCGAAACGCUUAACAGAAGUUUCAACAAGAUGCAUGCCUUGACAAGUUUUUGAAGGAGUUCAAAAUAGAUUAGCAAAGAAGGAGUUCUUGACUGUGUUGUAAGGUAUGAAUUUGAGUAAGACUCAAAACCCGACCACGGCAGAAUAAAGAGAAUAGACGAAGGUCGCCUUCUAUGCCCUAGCCGUAGACUCUAAAGUAUGCCAUGCUGAGUACCGCACCUGAUGUGUGCCUUGCAGCAAGUCUGUUAAGAGGUACAAAUAGUGAUCCAAGAUUGAAUCACUGAUCAGCAGUCAAAGUUAUCCUUAGUAACUAAAUGGACUAAGGAAUUUUUCUCGAUUAUGGAGGUGGUUGAAGAGUUCGUCGUAAAGGGUUACGUCGAUGCAAGCUUUAACACUAAUCCGAAUAACUAUGAGUAGUGAAACGGAUUCGUAUAGUAGAGUAGAUAUUUGGAGUAUUUCCGCAUAGCACGUAGUAGCAACAUCUAUAAGAUGACAUAAAGAUUUGUAAAGAACACAAGGAUCUGAAAGUUUCAGAACCGUUGACUAAAACCUCUCUCACGAGCAAGACGUUAUCAGACCCCAUAACUAUAUGGGUGUUGGAUUCGUUGAAAUCACAUGGUGAUGUGAAGUAGAUUAUUGACUCUAGUGCAAGUGAGAGACUGUUGGAAAUAUGCCCUAGAGGCAAUAAUAAAUUAGUUAUUAUUAUAUUUCUUUGCUCAUGAUAAUCGUUUAUUAUCCAUGCUAUAAUUGUAUUGAUUGGAAACACAAUACUUUGUGGAUACAUAGACAAAACACUGUCCCUAGUAAGCCUCUAGUUGACUAGCUCGUUGAUCAAACAUGGUCAAGGUUUCCUGACCAUAGGCAAGUGUUGUCACUUGAUAACGGGAUCACAUCAUUAGAGAAUCAUGUGAUGGACUAGACCCAAACUAAUAGACGUAGCAUGUUGAUCGUGUCAUUUUGUUGCUACUGUUUUCUGCAUGUCAAGUAUUUAUUCCUAUGACCAUGAGAUCAUAUAACUCACUGACACCGGAGGAAUACUUUGUGUGUAUCAAACGUCACAACGUAACUAGGUGGCUAUAAAGAUGCUCUACAGGUAUCUCCGAAGGUGUCCGUUGAGUUAGUAUGGAUCAAGACUGGGAUUUGUCACUCCGUGUGACGGAGAGGUAUCUCGGAGCCCACUCGGUAAUACAACAUCACACACAAGCCUUGCAAGCAAUGUAACUUAGUGUAAGUGGCGGGAUCUUGUAUUACGGAACGAGUAAAGAGACUUGUUGGUAAACGAGAUUGAAAUAGGUAUGCGGAUACCGACGAUCGAAUCUCGGGCAAGUAACAUACCGAAGGACAUAGGGAAUGACAUACGGGAUUAUAUGAAUCCUUGGCACUGAGGUUCAAACAAUAAGAUCUUCGUAGAAUAUGUAGGAUCCAAUAUAGGCAUCCAGGUCCCGCUAUUGGAUAUUGGCCGAGGAGUCCCUCGGGUCAUGUCUACAUAGUUCUCGAACUCGCAGGGUCUGCACACUUAAGGUUCGACAUUGUUUUAUGCGUAUUUGAGUUAUAUGGUUGGUUAUCGAAUGUUGUUCGGAGUCCCGUAUGAGAUCAUGGACGUCACGAGGGUUUCCAGAAUGGUCCGGAGACGAAGAUAGAUAUAUAGGAUGACCUCAUUUGAUUACCGGAAGGUUUUCGGAAUUACCGGGAAUGUACCGGGAAUGACGAAUGGGUUCCGGAUGUUCACCGGGGGGGGGGGGNNNNNNNNNNNNNNNNNNNNNNNNNNNNNNNNNNNNNNNNNNNNNNNNNNNNNNNNNNNNNNNNNNNNNNNNNNNNNNNNNNNNNNNNNNNNNNNNNNNNNNNNNNNNNNNNNNNNNNNNNNNNNNNGUGCCACACCAGCCCUUAGUGGGUUGGUGGGCAAGCCCAGAGAGGCCCCUGCGCAGGGAGAUAGAAAAUCAAAAGAGAAAAAAGGGAAGUGGGGAGGAAGGGAAGGACUCCACCUUCCAAUCCUAGUUGGACUAGGAUUGGAGGAGGACUCCUCCUCCCCCCCAUCGGUCGAACCCCUUGGGGAUCCUUGAGCCCCAAGGCAAGGCCCCUCCCCUUUACCCUAUAUAUACGGAGGUUUUAGGGCUGAUUUGAGACAACUUUUCCACGGCAGGCCGACUACAUACCUCCACGGUUUUUCCUCUAGAUCGCGUUUCUGUGGAGCUCGAGCGGAGCCCUGCUGAGAUUAGAUCACCACCAACCUCCGGAGCACCUUCACACUGCCGGAGAACUCAUCUACCUCUCCGUCUCUCUUGCUGGAUCAAGAAGGCCGAGAUCAUCGUCGAGUUGUACGUGUGCUGAACGCGGAGGUGCCGUCCGUUCAGCACUAGAUUGGAGCGGAUCGUGGGACGGAUCGCGGGACGGUUCAUGGGACGGUUCACGGGGCGGAUCGAGGGACAUGAGGACGUUCUACUACAUCAACCGCGUUUAGUAACACUUCUGCUGUGCGAUCUACAAGGGUACGUAGAUCUGAAAUCCCCCUCGUAGAUGUACAUCACCAUGAUAGGUCUUCGUGCGCGUAGGAAAUUUUUUGUUUCCCAUGCGAUGUUCCCAACAAUAAUAACCAUUUUAUUAUUGCCUCUAGCGCAUAUUUCCAACAUCGGCCAUCGUAUCCUUGUAUGCAAGCAAACGUUGCUCGGAGUUGACACGCAUGGUCUUCCAACGAAUGUGCAUUCCGAAUCCAACAUUAUGCCUACCAUCAAACUCAACAACAUCACUUGUGUCCAUCCAAUCCAAAUCCUUUCGGACUUGUUCCAACAAUUUAGCAUAGCUAGGAGCGAAAUCGAACACCAUGUCAAGCUCAUCCUGGUCCGGAUCAAUAUUGCCUUUUAAAAAGGCAUCCUUGUCCACGUGAUGAACAUAAACACAUGUUCUUUCCAUCCCUAAACAACACAACAUACAAUAUUUUCUAUAAGCAAUCAUCCAAAUACUACAAAAUCUGCUUAAUAAAAAUAAAACCUAUUCCUAACAUCCAAACAUCCAUAAUCCUAACCCCAUCUUACCCGUAAGCCUAACACAACCAUAAUCCAAACAUCCAAACAACCCUAAUUCUAACCCCAUCAUACCCCUUAUCCUAAUAUACAAACAAAUGCAACAAUAUCAUAUACAUCCCAAAUUUCAUGAAGAACUAGGGUUUCCUCACAUUUGCAAACAAGUCACCAAAUGAGAUUUCUUUUGGGAUGAGAAGGAGGGGAUCGGGGGGGGGGGUUACCUUAAGGGAGGGAUUUGACACGAAAUGCCCGGACCAAACCUUCAAAUCUGUUGAUUUGGUGAGGGGGUUUGAGGAAGGGGCGACAUCAACUUGAGUUGUGAAGACUCUGGUGAAGGGGGUGAAUGAGGAGGGGGUGGGGGAGGAGGCCGGGCCGUGGCUGGAUAAAUGAAGGUGUGGCACCUAAGGGCUCGACGCCACAAUUCCAAUGUGCAACGCCUAAGCGUUAGGCGUCACAUUGUUGGGGGUGGGGCCUCCAGCACCAACAUGGACAUGGGUGUGGCACCGACGUCUUAGGCGUCACAUAGUGUAGUGUGUCUCCUAGGAGUCGGACACCACACAAAAGAGUCAGCUCGGUGAUUUUUUUCCGUGAAGGGUUCAGUUUGUGAGUUCUUUCAGCCCAGGGGCCAGAAUUGUCAAUUUUGCCUAUCUAACACCGCCGACCCAUGGACUUGAGUUCCCUCUGCUGGAGAGGCUAUCCAUCUCUGGCUUCCGCUUCGACAUGGAUGAUCUUAUCCAGCGCUGCCCUCACCCGCGCGUACUAGAGAUGGGAAACAACUGGGGUCUCGGUAACAUCAGAGUCCACUCACCAACGAUCGAGGAGCUUGUCGUGGACUACACGUGUCAUGUGAGUGGUAUCAACAGCAUGGAUCACUCAUUUGAAAUCACCUAACUUCCUGGCCAGUCACCCAUCCUCUCACUAAUCCAACCCAAGAACGCUUAACUUUCCGGUUCUAUCUCCACUACUUUCCAAGUCUCCACUUGUAGUUUUCUUGACAAUAGUAAGCUAUCAAUCCUAUUAACCCUUAGGUCUUGAUGUCACAUGAUUUAAUUUUUUGAAUUCUAAACAAUUAUUAAAACAUACAACAAUGUUUAAUAAACAACAAUAAUUAAUUGAAAACCUUAAAAAAACUUGAAAAAAGGAAAUUUUCAAAAAAAACUCAAAUAAUUCUUAAAAAGCAUAAAAACAAAAAAAUAACUAAAAAGUUCAAAAUAAAACAAGUAAUAAUAAUAUUAUUGAAUUGCAAUGAAAAUCAAAUAAGUAAUAAUAUUAUUUUAUUCAUUUUUUUGCCAUUUAUUCAUUUAAUAUGGCAUAAUUAAUAUCUUUAAAUCUAUAAAUCAAAAUUCAAAAAAUAAUAUAUCCAUUAUUAUCACAAAAAUGUGAGGAAUCCAAAUAUGACACCCUUUUCAAAAAUAAAAUUAGAAACAACUAACAUAGCAAUAAAGUAAUAUUAACUAAUUAGAAAAACAAAACUAUUGUCAAACAACAAAAACUAAAGUUAAUUAUAUUAAAUUGGCUUAUAAUGGUGCAUAUUGAAUGCACAAAAAGUGUGAAGUUGAAAUAAGAUUAGAAAAAUGCAAUGGCUUUGUAAGAGAUGAGUAUUCGUCGAGAAUAGUGAUACUUCGAAAGAGAUAGUCCAGUUUGUAAACGAAGUGCAUCCGGUUUUUGCCUUAACCCUUCCAACUUUUUAGCACAUGUCAUGUGGGUGAAAUGAUGAUACCAUGCCAAGUUUUAGCCUUUUUCGAGUUGAUUUGUAGCGUUCUUCAAUUUCAGAAUCAUUUAGCUAAAAAAUCAUAAAAUGCAUGAAAAGUAGCAAAUGAAGUUAGAAAGGGUUGAAAUUUGAAGAUGUGGCUUAGAAUGGUGCAUAUUGAAUGCACAAAAAGUAUGGAGUUGAAAUAAUAUUAAAUAACGAAAUGGCUUUGUAAGAGAUGAGUAUUCGUCCACAAACCUCAUACUUCGAAAGAGAUAGUCCAGUUUGUACACGAAGUGCAUCCUGUUUUUAUCUUAACCCUUCCAACUUUUUAGCACAUGCCAUGUGGGUGAAAUGAUGAUAUCAUGCCAAAUUUCAGCCUUUUUGAGUUGAUUUGUAGCGCUUUUCAAUUUCAGGGUCAUUUAGCUCAAAAAAAAUCAUUAAAUGCAUGAAAAGUAGCAAAUGAAGUUAGAAAGGGUUGAAAUUUGAAGAUGUGGCUUACAAUGAUGCAUAUUCAAUGCACAAAAAGUCUGGAGUUGAAACAAGAUUAAAAAAUGAAAUGGCUUUGUAAGAGAUGAGUAUUCGUCUAAAACCGUGAUGCUUCGAAAGAGAUAGUCCAGCUUGUACACGAAGUCCAUACGGUUUUUGCCGUAACCCUUCCAACUUUUUAGCACAUGCCAUGUGGGUGAAAUGAUGAUACCAUGCCAAGUUUCAGCCUUUUCCGAGUUGAUUUGUAGUGCUUUUCAAUUUCAGGGUCAUUUAGCUCAAAAAAAUCAUUAAAUGCAUGAAAAGUAGCAAAUGAAGUUAGAAAGGGUUGAAAUUUGAAGAUGUGGCUUAGAAUGGUGCAUGUUUAAUGCACAAAAAGUCUAGAGUUGAAAUAAGAUUAGAAAAAUGAAAUGGAUUUGUAAGAGAUGAUUAUUCGUCCAGAACCGUGAUACUUCGAAAGAGAUAGCCCAGUUUGUACACGAAGUGCAUCCUGUUUUUGCCGUAACCCUUUCAACUUUUUAACACAUGCCAUGUGGGUGAAAUGAUGAUACCAUGCCAAGUUUCAGCCUUUUCCGAGUUGAUUUAUAGCACUUUUAAUUUCAGGGUCAUUUAGGUCAAAAAAAUCAUUAAAUGCAUGAAAAGUAGCAAAUGAAGUUUGAAAGGGUUGAAAUUUGAAGAUGUGGCUUUAAAUGAUGCAUACUUAGGGCACAAAAGGUGUGGAGUUGAAAUAAGAUUAAAAAAUGAAAUUGCUUUGUAAGAGAUGAGUAUUCGUGUACAAACUUGGCCAUCUACUUUAGAGUAUGAGGGUUUUGGACGAAAACUCAUAUGUUACAUGAGCAUUUCAGUUUUGUUAACUUGUUCCAACUCCAGACUUUUUGUGCAUUCAAUAUGCACAAUUCCAAGCCACAUCCUCAAAUUUCAACAAUUUCUAACUUCACUUGCUAUUUUUCAUGCAUUUAAUGAUUUUUGAGGUAAAUGACCCUGAAAUUAAAAAGCACUAUAAAUGAACUCUAAAAAGGUUGAAACUUGGCAUGUUAUCAUACAUCACAAUGCUCCAGAAAUUUUGCUCACAUCAUAUUUGAACACGGAAAUAAACAAAAAUACUCAUCCAAGCUAGAGAUCCACAUGCAGUACAUAAUAUAUAAUAGCUAGAAAUAAAAGUGUUCGCCGUUGCGAACACUACUCGUCUAAAUCAGAAUAUCCCCAAAUUGGUGGUGGUGGUGGUGCUUGAUGUACGAGGUGACACUAGUCAUAGUUCAUGAUUCGAAUCCUGCGGUACAACUCAUGUGCAACGUACGCAUCUUUUGUUGUAUACUCAAUGUUGAUACCGUCAAGUGGGGUGCUACGGCAACAAAAGACCUUCCCCGACAACGGCGCCAGGAAUCCUUCUGAUGCUGGCUACGCCUACAGGGACUUCCUUGGAAAAUAUGCAAAGGAUUCCCUCGGGGCCAUGGAGCCUUGCGUUGAUGUUUCCUUGAAGAGGAAAGGGUGAUGUAGCACUGUGGCAGUAAGUAUUUCCCUCAAUUUGAGAACCAAGGUAUCGAUCCAGUAAGAGGAUCGCGUCAAGUCACAAGUACCUGCACAAACACAAAGAGCUUGUACCCAACUCUAUGAAGGGGUUGUCAAUCCCUUAUAGAUUGUUUGCAAAGUGAGAACUGAAAGCAAAAAGUAAACAAAGCAAAGUAAAAGUAAAAGUGGAGACGAUAGUUGUGAAUAGACCCGGGGGCCGUAGUGUUCACUCGUGGCUUCUCUCAUGAAAGCAAGUAUACAGUGGGUGAACGAAUUAUUGUCGAGCAAUUGAUAGAACCGCGCAAACUCAAGACAUUAUCUAUGGCAAUGAUCAUAUCUAUAGGCAUCACGUCCAAAACAAGUAGACCGAUACUUUCUGCAUCUACUACUAUUACUCCACACUUCGACCGCUAUCCAGCAUGCAUCUAGUGUAUUGNNNNNNNNNNNNNNNNNNNNNNNNNNNNNNNNNNNNNNNNNNNNNNNNNNNNNNNNNNNNNNNNNNNNNNNNNNNNNNNNNNNNNNNNNNNNNNNNNNNNAUGAGAUCAUCGUGGAGCUAGUGGGAGCCACCAUGGGUAUCCAGACCCCGCUGAUGGUUAUUGGCCAGAGAGGUGUCUCGGUCAUGUCUGCCUGUCUCCCGAACCCGUAGGGUCUACACACUUAAGGUUCGAUGACGCUAGGGUUAUAGGGAAUUGUUAUACGAGAUUACCGAAAGUUGUUCGGAGUCCCGGAUGAGAUCCAGGACGUCACGAGGAGCUCCAGAAUGGUCCGGAGGUAAAGAUUGAUGUAUAGGACGGAUGGUUUCGGACACCGGAAGUGUUUCGGGCAUCAUCGGUAACGUACCGGGACCACCGGGACCACCGGAGGUGGUCCCGGGGGACCACCGAAGGGGGGCUGCGACCCCAAGAGGUAAGAUGGGCUAAGUGGGGGUGGGAACCAGCCCCUAGUUGGGCUGGUAUGCCUCCCCACUCAGCCCAUGGCGCACGGGAAAGGAAAAGAGGGGGGAACCCUAAUUUAGGUGGGCCUUAGGCCCACCAGAGGGGUGCGCCACCCCUCCCCCUUGCCCUGGCCGCCACCCCUUCCCCAUCUGAGGGCUGCCGCACCCCUUAGGGGUGGGAACCCUAAGGGCUGCGCCCCCUCCCUCUCCCCCUAUAUAUAGAUGAGGUCCGGGGUUGUUUGAGACACGGUUUAAUCUCUCUCUCGCAUCCCUGCUUCUCUCCCUCCUCCUCUCUGCCGGCGCUUUGGCGAAGCCUUGCCGGGAGACCUCGUCUCUCCACCAACACCACGCCGUCGUGUUGCUGGUCUUCUUCCUCAACCUCUCCCUCCUCCUUGCUGGAUCANNNNNNNNNNNNNNNNNNNNNNNNNNNNNNNNNNNNNNNNNNNNNNNNNNNNNNNNNNNNNNNNNNNNNNNNNNNNNNNNNNNNNNNNNNNNNNNNNNNNGGAUGGUACAGAAACACCAGAGGCUUGACUCGUUGAGUUGGGUCGCUACACCUAAACAGCUGAAUAAUGGUGAGUACCACAUUUUUACCACCAACGGCUGCAAAAAGGAUAGGGAGCGUAAGUAGACAUCCAUCAACAUGAUUGAGCCAACAUUCCCUAGAUAUCUCAACUCGUCCGAGCAACCAAUUGUUUGGAGCCAUGAGGAUCAACCGCCUCGGGUUGAUAACCCGGGAGAUCUAGCUUUGGCAGUAGCACCUCAGGUUGGUGGAUACACCCUCACAAAAGUCCUCAUGGAUGGAGGGAGCAGCAUCAACAUUUUAUAUUAUGACACUUUCCGGAGGAUGAACCUGCAGGACAACACUUUGCAAACUUCGUCCAUAGUUUUUUGUGGAAUCAUUCGUGGGAAGUCAGCAUGCCCAGUUCGGCGGAUCAAGCUUAAUGUUGCUUUUCGGGAUGAACAUAAUUCCAGAUGUGAGCCCCUAAUGUUUGAGGUGGUGAAAAUAAAGAGUCCUUAUCAUGCUCUCUUUGGAAGGCUGGCUUAUGCCCGGUUCAUGGCCCGUCCUUGUUAUAUCUACCUUAAGCUCAAUAUGCUGGGUCCUAAAGGCACCAUAAUAGUGGGAGGUAGAAUAAAGAUAGCUCAAGAAUGUGAGGAAGGAGAUGUUGCUUAUGCUGAGUCGGCCUGUGCUACUGAAAAGAUAAAAUCCCUCACAGACAACUCUGGUAAAGCUUCUCUCAAGUAAGCCACCAGUUUGAGUAAUCCAACCCGGCCAAUUUCUUUUUGCCCUAUCACACUAGGAGCUACCGUCUCAUUAUCUUUUGUACCAAUCCCCAAAUUCUGUACAUACUUCUAAAAUAUUUGAAUCUAAUAAAGCUUGCUUUUAGCAAAAUUGAGCAUGAGUUUUUUACCACCCAGUAUGUUAGCUGGGGGCUUCAAAGUUCAAAUAAAUUAUUAUGGUCAAUAAAAUUAAGUCGGCUUAUCUCGGUGCUACCUGCCCCGAGUUGUUUAGCAGUAAUAGCAUUGUCUUCUGCAAUCCUAUGUCAGGCCUUUCUAUUUUGAUAAUAGGUCACUUGGAGGCUUCGAACUCAAAGAGUUCAGCCUCUUACCCUCUUGAUCGUCAAAGACGCCACAAAAUUAUUAAACCUGUUGGUAUUUUUUGGCGACUCUGAAGAAGGUGACUCUGUGUACUCUUGAUUGAUCAUUCCAUUAUGGACCCUGAAUCGGCAAGGUUAAAACAUGGGUAUAUCAUGUGAGAACUGACAUGUUGAAAGCUAGGAUAAAUCUUGGGUUAUUAUGCCUGCUUCGUUGAACCAAGUCUAGGCCUCAAAAGUUAACAUUUUAUUUUUAACCGCGUCUCACUAAGCCGGUUUGCGAGUCUUGACUAAUACUCUGCAUGAUAUAUUAUUUUUUAGAAACUUUUUGUAGAGAGUACCAUUUAAAAACUAUCAUAAAAACAUGAUUAUUACAUGUUCCAAAUAUUUUGUUUUUAAAUAAAUUUUAUUUUCUCCUGCAAUAAUGGCGUAAGGAGAUGGAACAGCGUUACCACAUCAUCAUGGAAAACCGGGUCAUAAGAGAUAUAGCUAUAAAGUUUCUGAUGGUUGGCUGAAAUAAACACGCUCGAAGGCGUGACCACAUGCAUCUCAGAGUUGUCGCUACCCUAUUACAGACUCACAUCAAGAGUCAUCAAAAUCCAAAAAGGAAUUUACCAGAAGAUAAAGUUUUUAUGAUAGGCGAGUUAUUUAUGACCCACCAUCAGUUUACGCCGUUGGCACAUUCCGCACCCGAUUCUUCCGACUCGUCGUCAUCAUCAAUAUGAUCCUGGCCUUGUUGGAUCCACCGAAUUGAUCUCGGAGAUUCAAAAUCUGAAGCGGUCCCAGUUGAAGUAGAAGAUCUGAUGUUAGAAUCCGUCUUUUUCUCAUAAUGAGGUGGAAUGAGCUCCAGAUGCUCGUCUUUAGGUACUAGAACACGCUCAUUAUCAGUGGUAUAUGUCGGGUGAUACGUCUCAAAACGUAUCUAUAAUUUUUGAUGGUUUCACGUUGUUAUCUUGUCAACUUUGGAUGUUUUAUUACCUUUUAUAUCUUUUUUGGGACUAACUUAUUAACUCAGUGCCAAGUGCGAGUUCCUGUUUUUUCUAUGUUUUUGACUCUUUUCAGAUCUGAUUUUGGAACGGAGUCCAAAUGGAAUAAAAUCCCCGAAAUGAAUAUUUCCAGAAUGGAAGAAGAUUGGGAGGCUUGAGGCCAAGCAAGUGGGCCCACAGGGGGCCCACAAGCCCUGUUGCCGCGACCAGGGGGGAGGCCGCGGCAACCAAGCUUGUGGCCUCCCUGGCGCUCCCCUGCCCUAGGUCUUUGGCCUAUAAAUUCCCUAAAAAUCCAGAAAAAAUCAGGGCGUCCACAAAAACACUUUUCCGCCGCCACAAGCUUCCGUUUCCGCGAGAUAUCAUCUGGAGACCCUUCCCGGUGCCCUGCUAGAGGGGACUUUGGAGUUGGAGGGCUUCUUCAUCAACAUCAUCGCCCCUCCAAUGACUCAUGAGUAGUUCACUUCAGACCUACGGGUCCGUAGUUAGUAGCUAGAUGGCUUCUUCUCUCUCUUGGAUCUUCAAUACGAAGUUCUCCAUGAUCUUCAUGGAGAUUUAUCCGAUGUAAUCCUCUUUGGCGGUGUGUUUGUCGAGAUCCGAUGAAUUGUGGAUCUGUGAUCAGAUUAUCUAUGAUAUAUAUUUGAGUCUUUGCUGAUUUCUUAUAUGCAUGAUUUGAUAUCCUUGUAAGUCUCUCCGAGUCUUGGGUUUUGUUUGGCCAACUAGAUCUAUGAUUCUUGCAAUGGGAGAAGUGCUUGGUUUUGGGUUCAUACCGUGUGGUGACCUUUCCCAGUGACAGAAAGGGCAGCAAGGCACGCAUCAUGUUGUUGCCAUCAAGGGUAACAAGAUGGGAUUUUAUCGUAGAUAUGAGAUUGUCCAUCUACAUCAUGUCAUCUUGCUUAAGGCGUUACUCUGUUCUCAUGAACUUAAUACACUAGAUGCAUGCUGGAUAGCGGUCGACGUGUGGAGUAAUAGUAGUAGAUGCAGAAAGUAGCGGUAUACUUGUUUUGGAUGUGAUGCCUAUAGAUAUAAUCAUUGCCAUAGAUAACGUCACGACUUUGCGCGGUUCUAUUAAUUGCUCGACAGUAAUUCGUUCAUCCACCGUCUACUUGCUUUCAUGAGAGAAGCCACUAGUGAACACUACGGCCCCCGGGUCUCUUCACACCUAUCGUUUCCACUUUUGCUUUUACUUUGCUUUGUUUCUUUGUUGCUUUCAGUUCUCACUUGGCAAACAAUCUAUAAGGGAUUGACAACCCCUUCAUAGCGUUGGGAGCAAGCUCUUUGUGUUUGUGCAGGUACUUGUGAUAUUCCUUCAUUGGAUCGAUACCUUGGUUCUCAAAAUUGAGGGAAAUACUUACCGCCGCUGUGCUACAUCACCCUUUCCGCUUCGAGGGAACACCAACGCAAGGCUCCAAGGCCACGGGGGAAUCCUUUGCAUAUUUGCCUAGGAAGUCCCUAAAGGCGUAGCCGUAGCAGAAGGAUUCCUGGUGCCGUUGGUGAGGAGUAUCAAGGCAAGAAUAGUCUCCCGUCAGCACGCUUGUUUCUGGCGCCGUUGGAAGGUCUUUUGUUGCAGUAGCACCGGGUAAUGAUGAGAGGUAUCAACCAGCUCUGCCAGAAUGGUUGCAAGGGGUCGGGUCUCCUUCAUGACACGAGCUAACGGGGGGAUAACUCCGGAGUAGGCUCAUCAAGCCUACUCCUCUAUACUUCAGUGUAGAGAGGGGCGAAAGCUUCCUCAAUGACCGGCUCCUCCUGGCCGGCUAUAAAGUCCAUGCUGCCUAAGAGCGUAGCCGUCUACUCUCUGGCCGGCUGGCUAGCCGCCAUCUGGCUGAAGGGCACCUGUCGCAUCGAUCCCCAUGAUGUGACGGGGCCUUCGAUUAAAGGCGAAAGUACCUCAGCACGGGUACGAUGGAGAAGCAUACACAUGGCUACCGUGGCGGCGGCCGUACUGCUAACCGGUGCCGGCUCCGACCCAUCAACAGUGUAAAGUACCCGCAUGCCACUACCAACUCCAUUACCUGGCCCGGCGUGGCUACAGUAGAGACGGCCGUACCGCUGACCGACGCCGGAUCCUGCAAGACGACGUCCGUCGUACCGCACGCACCCUGCAUUGGGAACACGCACCAAUCCAAUAGGCUAGCCGGUGGGUCCCAGGGCCAGAUGGGACCUUGCAGCCGCCGGGCCUCUCGAGCGACAAGACUAAUCCUCAAUGGCCCCCCUAGCCGGCCUGAGAGGCUGCCAGCCGACCCCCCCUAUUGUACCUAUUAUCCAUUUUGUAGGCCGGUGGGUUCGUCUAUAACCCCCCGGCCCCCCUCCAUGCAGAGGGCCAGCCAUUCUCACACCCACACACAUCACACAGGAGAGGCAGAUAGCGAGCCGGCUGCUCCUUCUUCCUCCUCCAUCGAACAGCUCAAGGAGCAUUUUGUAAUCACCUUGGUUCAUCAGCCAUUCCGAUAGGACUAGGGGUAUUAUCUCCCAUGGAGAGCCCCGAACCUGGGUACAUCGUGUGUCUUGCAUUAUUAGCUACCAAUCUCGUUCCCGGAGUCCACCGGUGUCCCUUCAGUCCCAACCACUCUCGAUAAGCCUACCCAUGGCAUUUGUCGUGAGAAAACGACGAUAGUUGGCGCCCACCAUGGGGCCGUCUGCGGCACCGGUCUGAGUUACGCUCGGGCGGGACCCUUCGCCAACCCUACCGGAUGCCUCGCGUCUCGACUGAUCAGCACACCCAUGGAGGCUGCCCCUGCGGAGGUUUCUGUGGUGUUGAUCGACAACUCAGCCCGUCUCGUCGGCUCUGCCAUUGAGAUCACCAACGAGCCUCUCGGUGACGGCGUUGCCCCUGACGUCGCUCGCCUCUGCGUUCUCUUCGACAACCUACGCCUCGAUGAUGAGCCUCGCCAACUUGGCAGGGACAUCGACAUCGAUGCCCUCUGCACACACUUCAACAAACUCAGUCUCGAAGAUGCUCCUGCACACGACGAGUACCUGAUACGUCUCCAACGUAUCUAUAAUUUUUUAUGGUUCCAUGCUAUUAUAUUGUCAAACUUUGGAUGUUUUGUAUGACUUUUAUAUCUUUUUUGGGACUAACUUAUUAACUCAGUGCCAAGUGCCAGUUCCUGUUUUUUCCGUGUUUUGACCCUUUUCACACGAGAAUAUUAAAUGGAGUCCAAACGGAAUAAAACUUCCGAAAAGAUGUUUUCCGGAACAGAAGAUACGCAUGGGGCAUGAGAACCAAGGCAGAGGCCACCAUGGGAGGCCACAAGCCCCCUAGGCGCGUCCAGGGGGACCUGCGCCUAGCAGGCUUGUGGCCCCCCUGUGGCUCGUCUGCCCUACUUCUUCCGCCUAUAAAUCCUCGAAAAAUCCAAAACCACGAGAGAGAUCGACGAAAAUACUUUUCGGCCGCCGCAAGCUUCUGUCCCCGCAAGAUCCCAUCUGGGGCACGUUCUGGUGCCCUUCCGGAGGGGGAUUCGGAUACGGAGGGCUUCUUCAUCAACACCAUUGCCUCUCUGAUGAUGCGUGAGUAGUUCACCCUGGACCUUCGGGUCCAUAGCUAGUAGCUAGAUGGCUUCUUCUCUCUCUUGGAUCUUCAAUACAAAGUUCUCCAUGAUCUUCAUGGAGAUCUAUCCGAUGUAAUAUUCUUUUGCGGUGUGUUUGUCGAGAUCCGAUGAAUUGUGGAUUUCUGAUCAGAUUAUCUAUGAAUCUUAUUUGAGUUUCUUCUGAUCUCUUAUAUGCAUGAUUUCAUAUCCUUGUAAUUCUCUUCGAGUUGUGGGUUUUGUUUGGCCAACUUGAUCUAUGAUUCUUGCAAUGGGAGAAGUGCUUAGUUUUGGGUUCAUACCGUGCGGUGACCUCACCCAGUGACAGAAGGGGUGGCGAGGCACGCAUCGUGUUGUUGCCAUCAAGGGUAAAAGGAUGGGGUUUAUAUCUAUUGCAUGAAGUUAUCCAUCUACAUCAUGUGAUCUUUCUUAAGGCAUUACUCUGUUCGUCAUGAAUUCAAUACACUAGAUGCAUGCUGGAUAGCGGUCGAUGUGUGGAAUAAUAGUAGUUGAUGCAGAAAGUAUCGGUCUACUUGUCUCGAAUGUGAUGCCUAUAUGUAUGAUCAUUGCCUUAGAUAUCGUCAUGACUUUGCGCUGUUCUAUCAAUUACUCGACAGUAAUUUGUUCACCCACCGUAAUAUUUGCUAUUUUGAGAGAAGCCUCUAGUGAACACUAUGGCCCCCGGGUCUACUUCACAUCAUAUUUUCAGCCUUACACUUUUACUUCAUUGCACUUUCCGCCUUCAGAUCUCACUUUGCAAUUAAUCUUGAAGGGAUUGACAACCCCUUUAUAGUGUUGGGUGCAAGCUCGUUUGUGUUUGCGCAGGUACUCUGGACACUUGGCUUGAUUCUCCUACUGGAUUGAUACCUUGGUUCUCAAACUGAGGAAAAUACUUACUGCUACUAUGCUGCAUCACCCUUUCCUCUUCAAGGGAAAAACGAACGCAAGCUCUAGAGGUAACAAGAAGAAUUUCUGGCGCCGUUGCCGGGGAGGAUCAUGUCAAGAAUAGUCUCCCGUCAACGUGUCAAUUUCUGGCACCGGGGAUUAUUCUAAGUGAAGCUUAUCCAAGUAAGUGUCGCAAACUCAUCUCUUGAAUUUACUUUUUUUUGCCUCUAGUUUUCCUCUCCCCCACUUCUGAAAAAAACAAAAAUUUACAAAAAUAUUUUCCUUUUUCGUUCGCCCUUUUCCUUCGCUUGCUUCCUGCCUGCUUGAGUGGGAUAGUCUACCUUUCCUCAUGGCUAGACCUACCGCUUCGAACGAUACUCCCGAGAGCGAAGUUCUCAAUUUUAAACAAAAUUAGGAAGAAGACUUAAAUGACGCUUGGUAUAGGAUUUGCAACACUCAGAGUAGAUCUACUCGUAAGCAAUCUACUACCGUCCUACUUCGCAGCUUUUAUGUGGGUAUUUACCCUUGGAAUAGGUAUGUUCUUGAUACCAUCGUAGGUGGAAGUUUCUUGGGUAGCCAUACCGUUGAUUCUUACGGUGCUUUGAUAAAUCUGGUAGGCUCACCCCCACUCAUGGUUAAUGGAACCAACUUAACUUUGGAACAUGUGAUGCGUAGGUUGGAUAUCAUUGAAAAUAAAGUUGCUACGAUUGAACUCAUUGAGAAUUUGGAUAAAAAGAUCCACAAUCAAAUCACUCAGUACGGAUCCAAGGUGGGAAUGGCUUUGAAAAAUCUAAAGGAGAGGGAACCCACAGUUAACAAAAACUAGGUCAUCAUUCCGCUAGGAUUGGCAAACUAGAGGAUGUUAUAACCAACUUGGGUUCCGCUUUUGCCGCUGUGCAGAACACUCCAAUUUUUACCCACAAUAAGGCCACCAAGUUUGUUUUUGUUCCUAAAAAUAGUGGUGAACCAUCUAGUAAUAUAGAUGAAGACCUUAAGAUGAUGAGGGCUAUUUAUGGUUUGAGCACCAAAGACGAGGAUAUGUGAUUCUUUCACCUUAUGCCUAGCUAAGGGCGUUAAACAAUAACGCUUGUUGGGAGGCAACCCAAUGAAUUUAUAUUUGAUUUUUGCUUUCUGUUUUGUUGCGUCCACACCAUCAUAAUUCUGUUAUGAUUGUGUCUUUUGUGUUUGAGCCAAGUAAAACCUUUAUGACUAGUUUGGUGAUGGUUGUUUGAUCCUGCUGGAAAAAGACAGAAACUUUUCGCUCACGAAAUUAUUUUUCAUUUUAAUCCAUAAAGAGAUUUUGAGUUGAUUCUUUUUGUUGCUGGUUGAUAUGGCAAUUGCCCAAACUGUCGUAAUGUUUCAGAAUUGUUGAGAUACCAGAAGUAUACGAAGUAUACAGAUUGCUACAGACUGGUCUGUUUUUGACAUAUUCUGUUUUUGUUGUGUUGGUUGCUUGUUUUGAUGAAACUAUGUAUAGUAUCGGGGGGGGCGGGUACUGAUACGUCUCCAUCGUAUCUACUUUUCCAAACUCUUUUGCCCUUGUUUUGGACUCUAAUUUGCAUGAUUUGAAUGGAACUAACCCGGACUGACGUUGUUUUCAGCAGAAUUGCCAUGGUGUUGUUUUUGUGCAGAAAUGAAAGUUCUCGGAAUGUCUUGAAACUUUACGGAGAAUAUUUAUGGAAAAUAUGAAAAAUACCUGUGCAAAGAUCCACCGGAGGGGACGGGCCAGUGGGCCACAAGCCCUGUAGCCGCGGCCUCCCCUCUGGUCGCGGCUACGAGGCUUGUGGGGCCCACGUGCCUCUGCCGCCCCCAAUUCCAGCGCUAUAUAUUCCCUUUCAUCCCGGAAAAAAUCAAGAGAGAAGAGUUCAUUGCGUUUCACGAUCCAGAGGCGCCUCCACAUCCCGUUCUUGCCCUGGAGGGCAGAUCUGGAGUCUGUUUUGUGCUCCGGAUCAAGGAGAUCGUCGCCAUCGUCAUCAUCAACCUUCUUCCCUCUCCAAUUCCAUGAAACUCUUCAUCGUUCGUGAGUAAUCUAUUCAUAGGCUCGCUGGGCGGUGAUGAGUAUGAUGAGAUCUAUCAUGUAAUCGAGUUAGUUUUGACGGGGAUUGAUCCCUAGUAUCCACUAUGUUCUGAGAUUGAUGUUGCUACUACUUGGCUAUGCUUAAUGCUUGAAACUAGGGCCCGAGUGCCAUGAAUUCAGAUCUGAACCUAUUAUGUUGUCACCAAUAUAUGUGUGUUUUAGAUCCGAUCUUGCAAGUUGUAGUUACCUACUAUGUGUUAUGAUCCGGCAACCCCGGAGUGACAAUAACCGGAACCACUCUCAUUGAUGACCAUAGUUUGAGGAGUUUAUGUGUUCACCAAGUGCUAAUGCGUUGGUCCGGUUCUUUAUUAAAAGGAGAACCUUAAUAUCCCGUAGUAUCCAUUUGGACCCCGCUGCCACGGGAGGGAUGGACAAUAGAUGUCAUACAAGUUCUUUUCCCUAAGCACGUAUGACUACACACGGAAUGCAUGCCUACAUCACAUUGACGAACGGGAGCUAGCCACAUAUCUCUCCGUGUUAUAACUGUUGCAUGAUGAAUGUCAUCCAACAAAUCACUGAUCCAUUGCCUACGAGUUUGUCCCACUGCUAUUGUUACUUGCUGCUGCUGUUACUUGCUUUGCUCUGCUGCUGUUACUACGGUUGCUGCUACUGUUACUUGCUUCUACUAUUACUUGCUUCGUCAUGCUGCUGCUGCUACUACUGUUGCUACUACUGUUACUUGCUGUUGCUGUUACUUGCUACUGUUGCUAAUUGCUACUCCUAUCACUACUGCUGUUCCUUGCCACUACUGUUACUCGUUACACUGCUGCUACCUGCUACAAUACUUUUCUGGUGCCAUUGAUACUUCAGUUAGGAAUAAUCUGUCGUCAACAGAUUCUUUCCUAGCACCGUUGCUAUCAUACUACCUUUGCUGCUUAUAUACUGCUUGCAGAUACUAAUCUUUCAAUUGUGUUUGAGCCAACAACUCAACUGCUAAUACUGGAGAAUAUCCUUUCAUUCCCAUCGUGUCGAACCAACAAAUUUGGGUUGAAUACUCUACCCUCAAAACCUGCCGCGAUCCCACACGCUGGUGGGCCAUUGCAAGACAAUUGCUAAUUGUUGAGCAACUGGAAACAACUCUUUUUUGGCACCGUUGCCGAGGAGGAAUAGCUAUAUUCUCUGAGUCACUUGGGAUUUAUAUCUUGUGAUCACUAUGAAGAAUCGGAAAGAUCUGAGAACCAAAGUCUUGCCCUCAACUCUGAGGGGAGGUAAGGAACUGCCAUCUAGCUCUGCACUUGAUUCACCUUCAGUUAUGAGUAAGUUUGCGACACCACCUCGUGCUAGAAAUCUUGAUAUGUCGCGUGUGCUAGAUGAUGCUAGAGAUGCUACUGCUAUUGAUGAUGCUUAUGAUGAUACUAUGCCUGAUACUGCUAGAGAUGCUAUGCGUGAUACUGCUAGAGAUGCUAUGCCUGAUACUGCUAUCCAUGAUGCUAUGCUUGAUGCUGCUUUGCCUGAUGAUGCUAGAGAUGCUAUUUUGCCUGAUUAUGCUAUGCUUGAUACUGCUAGAGAUACUACUUUGCCUGAUAUGCCACUAGGGGUAUUCCUUGAUGCUCAUAUUGCUAGAGUUAUUGCCAAUGCUCGUGAUGCUUCUGAAACUCUCGAUACUAUUGAGAUAGAACCUGCUUUUGCUCCUGCUAGAUCUAGCUCUCCUAGAUAUGAAUUGCCUGAUAUACCUGAGGGUUAUGUUAUGGAGGGAGAGAUAGCUGAGGAUUUUCUUGCGUGUAAGGAUGGCUAUGACGCUGAGAAAUUACUUCUCAAGUGGAAGGAAAAAUCUCUGAAAGCUAGGAUGAAAUACAACCCGAAGUUUGCCACUUCACCUAUCUUUAUCACCGAUGAGGAUUAUGAAUUCUCUGUCGACCCUGAGAUAAUCUCUCUUGUCGAAUCUGAUCCUUUCCACGGUAAUGAGUUUGAGACGGUCGUAGCCCAUCUUACCAAACUACACGAUAUAGCCACCCUUUUCACUAGUGAGGAGAAGAUCCGCUACUACUAUAUCCUUAAGUUGUUUCCUUUCUCUCUAAAGGAUGACGCUAAAUCCUAGUUCACUUCUCUUGCUCCUGGAUGUGUGAGUAGUCCCCAGGAUAUGGUCUAUUACUUCUGUGAGAAAUAUUUCCCUGCCCAUAAGAAGCAAGCUGCCUUGCAGGAAAUAUACAACUUUGCUCAACUCAAAGAAGAGUGUCUCCCACAAGCUUGGGGGAGGCUCAUCCAGCUACAGAAUGCUUUGCCUGAUCACCCUCUUAAGAAGAACGAGAGACUUGAUAUCUUCUAUAACAGACUUACCGAUGCUUCUAGAGACCACCUAGAUAGUUGUGCCGGUUGUGUUUUUAGGGAACGAAUUGUAGAACAAGUUGAGAUCCUACUGAAUAACAUCUUGAUCAACAAUAAUGCUUGGACUAUUCCCGAACCACCUCCUAAGCCAUAUCCCAAGAAAAGAGGUAUUCUAUUCCUCAGUCCUGAAGAUAUGCAAGAAGCCAAGAAAUCUUUGCAAGAGAAAGGCAUUAGAUCUGAAGAAAUCAAAAAUCUACCGCCUAUCGAAGAGAUCCAUGCUCUCGAUAACCCGAUACAAGUAGUAGAGGUGAAUUCUCUGCGUAGAUUCAAUGAGAGUGAUAUUCCUUUUGAUAAACCUGCUAGCCUAUGCUUUGAUGAAUUUGACAACUUUGUUGCCAAACAACAAAGUUUCAAUGAUUAUGUUAGCAGACAAUUGGAACAACGUACUCACAUGCUUAGUCAUUUAAGUGCUUGUGUAGAGAGAAAUGUCAAUGAUCUGAAGCUUCUGAGUAAACAUGCCUCAAUGAUUACUACUCAGGUAGAACAAGUACUUAAAGCUCAGAAUGACGUGCUCAAUGAAUUAAUGACAACUCUGUCAGAGUCAUUACUAGAGGAGGCAAAAUGACUCAGGAACCCUUGUAUCCUGAAGGCCAUCCUAAGAGAAUUGAUCAACAUUCUCAAGGUAUUAAUGCUCAUACACCCAGUCAUCCUAAGAAUAAGAAGAAGGAUGAUAGAAACCUACAUGUCAGUUCACCAAAUACUGUAACACCUGAAGAACCAAAUGAUAUUUCUGCGUCUGAUGCAGAAACACAAUCUGGUGAUGAACAUGAACCUGGUGACAAUAUGGACAGCGAUGUUCAUAAUAAUGCUCAACCUAGCAAUGAUAAGGAUGUGGAGAUUGAACCUACGGUUAAUCCUGAUAACCCACAACCUAAGAGGUACGAUAAGAAUGACUUCACUGCUAGGAGGCAUGGUAAAGAAAGGGAGCCAUGGGUUCAGAGACCCAUGCCCUUUCCUCCUAAGCCAUCCAAGAAAAAGGAUGAUGAUGAUUUUGAGCGCUUUAUUGAAAUGUUGAGACCCGUCUUUCUGCGUAUGCGGUUAAUUGAUAUGCUCAAAAUGUCUCCAUAUGCCAAGUACAUGAAAUAUAUCGUGACCAAUAAACGGAAGAUACCAGAUCUUGAGAUCUCCACCAUGCUUGCCAAUUACACUUCCAAAGGUGGAACUCCUAAGAAACUUGGUGAUCCCGGAGUGCCCACUAUACCUUGCUCCAUUAAAGGAAACUACGUAAGAACUGCCUUAUGUGACCUUGGAGCCGGUGUUAGUGUUAUGCCUCUCUCUCUCUUUAUCGUAGACUUGAACUGGAUAAGUUGACACCCACUGAAAUUUCUCUGCAAAUGGCCGACAAAUCAACUGCUUUCCCUGUCAGCAUUUGCGAGGAUGUGCCUGUUGUGGUUGCUAACGUUGCUAUCUUAACGGACUUUGUUAUCCUGGAUAUUCCUGAGGAUGAUGCCAUGGCGAUCAUUCUUGGAAGACCAUUCUUAAACACUGCAAGGGCUGUUAUAGAUUGCAGCAAAGGCAAUGUCACCUUCCAUGUCAACGGUAAUGAGCAUACAGUGCACUUUCCAAAGAAACGAUAUCAAGUACAUUGCAUCAAUGCUAUCGAAAAAACAUCAUCGAUUCUUAUUGGGAGCUUUGAAUUCCCUAUUCCUCGUGUUAAGAUGAAGUAUGAUUUGCUUGUUGGGGAGAUUCAUGUCCCCAUUGAGGUGACUUAGUGGCUAUUCGACAAUUCUCUGUUUCCUUUUGCGAUUCGAAAAGGUUUUGUCGAGGGGAUUUGAUCAACCCCAUUGACGGAUUUCUUUCGAUGACCAUGAAAUGGAUGAAUCAAGGAGUCACAUACCUCUGUUUUAAGCUUUCACUUUCUGUUGUUUAGAAGGAAAAAUGAUAGAUUUAGUUUAGUUUUUCCUGUUUUCUGUUUUAGCGUCCCAGAGAAAAGUAUCCCGAAAAUAGAAGUUCUACGAUGGCCCUGAAAAUCAAAUAUGAUUUUUUCUGGUUUUUUUGAAAAAUACUGGGACUGAGAGCUGGCCUGGGAGCCACACCAGUGGGCCACAAGCCCUGUAGCCGCGGCCUCCCCUGGCCGCGGCUACCAAGCUUGUGGGGCCCACAGGGACCCCCUCCACUCAUUCUAGCUCCCAUCCUCUUCUUCUACCUCCAGAAAAAAUCGUUUUACAGCUCCAACCCGUGCUCUUGCUCAUUUGGCUGUGAUUUUCGAUCUCCUUGCUCAAAGCACCAUUCUACGAACCGUUUUGGGGAAAUUACUCCUUGGUAAGUGACUCCUCCAUUGGUCCAAUUAGUUACUCUAGUGCUUUAUCCUUCGCGUAUUCUUUCUACCUUGGUGACCCUGUUCUUGAACUUGAAAUGUUGAUUUUAGUUCGUCCCAAGUAGUUUUAACGCGUGAUACGGUCUCUAGGCACUAGUAGGAGUAGUUGCUACAAGGUUUGGUUGGUCUUUAUUCACUUUUCUCUUGAACUUCAAAAAUUUCAGCAAAAAUAAAUUAUGUUUAGGAGGAAGUUUCAUGGUGGUUCCUCAAGUAAGAAGGGUCCCCGUCUUUCUAUUAAGGAGCCCGAUCCUUAUGAACUAAGGGACGCACCGGUACAACCAUGUGAAUGGCCUUCCGAUGAGUUCAUGAUCGAAGCAGGCUUCAAGGAUGAGUUUGAUACACUUGUCCACAAUGCCGAGUUAGAAGAAUUCCUCUCAGAUAAAUGUGAACAGUAUGCUAUGCUCACUGCCUCUUUCAUGCGUAGAUUUAAAUUUUUAGUUGGCCGUGACUCAUCCAUACUGUUUGAUCUGUAUGAUAAAUCCUACACCAUGGAUUUGGAGGAUUUCAAUAGGAUUUGCAAGAUACCCGAUGGGGGUAGUCUUAAUGAUCCUGCUAAGUCUUCGGUUAGAUAUUUUUUUUCUCUAGUAUAACUGUUGGAGAAACUAGAGACAUCACGCAAGCUACCAUAGGAAGCAUUCAUUUCCCUGCCUUGCACUACUUUGCCCUCUUCAUAGGUAGAUGCAUUAACGGCAAGGUUGAACAUUGUCACCUAUGCGCAUCCGACCUUAGUAUCCUUAAGAGCGCAAUAACAGGUGACAGGAGCUUCAACAUGGGAGCUAUAAUAGCAAGGAGGCUGAAUAAUAAUGCCAUUGAUAUUAGUUUACCGUGAGACCUAUGUGUCACUUGCUUAUGUGGUUAACUUGUGAUCUUGCUGAAAUUCUGGUUAUGAGUUAGACAUAGUUGCAACAUCAAGAUCAAACAGAGUUUGUCAAAGUUUUUCGUUCUCUUUUAGUUUGUCAACUGAGUUGCUUGAGGACAAGCAAGGUUUUAAGCGUGGGGGAGUUGAUACGUCUCCAUCGUAUCUACUUUUCCAAACUCUUUUGCAAUUGUUUUGGACUCUAAUUUGCAUGAUUUGAAUGGAACUAACCCGGACUGACGCUGUUUUCAGCAGAAUUGCCAUGGUGUUGUUUUUGUGCAGAAAUGAAAGUUCUCGGAACGUCUUGAAAAUUUACGGAGAAUAUUUCUGGAAAAUAUGAAAAAUACCUGCGCAAAGAUCCACCGGAGGGGACGGGCUAGUGGGCCACAAGCCCUGUAGCCGCGGCCUCCCCCCUGGUCGCGGCUACCAGGCUUGUGGGGCCCACGUGGCUCUGCCGCCCCCAAUUCCAGCACUAUUUAUUCCCUUUCGUCCCGGAAAAAAUCAGGAGAGAAGAGUUCAUCGCGUUUCACGAUCCAGAGGCGCCGCCACAUCCCGUUCUUGCCCUGGAGGGUAGAUCUGGAGUCCGUUUUGGGCUCCGGAUCAAGGAGAUCGUCGCCAUCGUGAUCAUCAACCUUCUUCCCUCUCCAAUUCCAUGAAGCUCUUCAUUGUUCGUGAGUAAUCUAUUCGUAGGCUCGCUGGGCGGUGAUGAGUAGGAUGAGAUCUAACAUGUAAUCGAGUUAGUUUUGACGGGGAUUGAUCCCUAGUAUCCACUAUGUUCUGAGAUUGAUGUUGCUACUACUUGGCUAUGCUUAAUGCUUGUCACUAGGGCCCGAGUGCCAUGAAUUCAGAUCUGAACCUAUUAUGUUGUCACCAACAUAUAUAUGUGUUUUAGAUCCGAUCUUGCAAGUUGUAGUUACCUACUAUGUGUUAUGAUCCGGCAACCCUGGAGUGACAAUAACCGGAACCACUCCCGGUGAUGACCAUAGUUUGAGGAGUUCAUGUGUUCACCAAGUGCUAAUGCGUUGGUCCGGUUCUUUAUUAGAAGGAGAACCUUAAUAUCCCGUAGUAUCCAUUUGGACCCCGCUGCCACGGGAGGGAUGGGCAAUAGAUGUCAUACAAGUUCCUUUCCCUAAGCACGUAUGACUACACACAGAAUGCAUGCCUACAUCACAUUGACGAACGGGAGCUAGCCACAUAUCUCUCCGUGUUAUAACUGUUGCAUGAUGAAUGUCAUCCAACAAAUCACCGAUCCAUUGCCUACGAGUUUGUCCCACUGCUAUUGUUACUUGCUGCUGCUGUUACUUGCUUUGCUCUGCUGCUGUUACUACUAUUGCUGCUACUGUUACUUGCUUUGUCAUGCUGCUGCUGCCACUACUGUUGCUACUACUGUUACUUGUUGUUGCUGUUACUUGCUACUGUUGCUACUUGCUACUGCUGUCACUACUGCUGUUCCUUGCCACUGUUGUUACUCGUUACACUGCUGCUACCUGCUAGAAUACUUUUCUUGCGUCAUUGAUACUUCAGUUAGGAAUAAUCUGCCGUCAACAGAUUCUUUCCUAGCACUGUUGCUAUCAUACUACCUUUGCUGCUUAUAUCCUGCUUGCAGAUACUAAUCUUUCAGGUGUGGUUGAGCCGACAACUCAACUGCUAAUACUUGAGAAUAUCCUUUCACUCCCAUUGUGUCGAACCAACAAAUUUGGGUUGAAUACUCUACCCUCGAAAACUGCCGCGAUCCCACACGCUGGUGGGCCAUUGCAAGACAAUUGCUAAUUGUUGAGCAUCUGGAAGUAGGUACUAGCCAUGGAAAAGUGAGAAUACAGUAAUCUAACACCAAUAUAAAUAGAAAUCAAGUUUGCUACAGUACCUCAAGAGGUGGUAGUUUGUUUUCUUGUGCUAAUAAUAUCACGAGUUUCUGUUUAAGUUUUGUGUUGUGAAGUUUUCAAGUUUUGAGUGAUGUUCUCAUGGCCAAAGGGAUAAAGAGUGGAAAGAGCUCAAUCUUGGGGAUGCCCAAGGCACCCCAAGACAAAUUCAAGGACACCAAAAAGCCUAAGCUUGGGGAUGCCCCGGGAAGGCAUCCCCUCUUUCGUAUUCAAUCCAUCGGUAACAUUACUUCGAGCUAUAUUUUUAUUCACCACAUGGUAUGUGUUUUGCUUGGAGCGUCUUGUAUCGUAGGAGUCUUUUAUUUUUGUUGUGUCACAAUCAUCCUUGCUGCACACCUUUGGAGAGAGACAUGCACUCAUCCUGAUUUUGCUAGAAUACUCUUUGAGCUUCACUUAUAUCUUUUGAGUUAGGCAAUUUAGCUCACAUGCGCUUCACUUCGAUCUUUUAGAGCACGACAGUGUUAUAUUUUGGAGAAAUAAGGACUCUCGAUCUUCACUUAUAUCUUUUUGAGAGUGAUCUCUCUGAGUAACUUGGUAGUUGGCUUGUGCUAUGAAAGUAGUCCCAAAGGUGAUAGGAAUCCAAAGAGCAUACGAUGAAACUUCCAUCUUCUUGUUCAUUGAUUAGAAAGAGAAGUUUGAUUCCUCUCAAUUAGUUUUGAGAUAUGGAUUUGGUGAUACUAAGAGUUAUGUUAGUAGGGUGUUGUGAAUCUAGAAAUACUUGUGUUGAAGUUAGUGAUUAACGUAACAUGCACGUAUGGUGAACCGCUAUGUUAGGAAGUCAGAGCAUAAUUGAUCUAUUGAUUGUCAUCCUUUGUGUUGCGGUCGGGAUCGCGCGAUGGUUAACACCUACGAACCCUUCCCCUAGGAGUAUGCGUUUAGCACUUUGUUUUGAUUACUAAUAAAAACUUUCGCAAUAAGUAUGGGAGUUCUUCAUGACUAACGUGAGUCCAUGGUAUAGAUGCACUUUCACCUUCCACCAUUGCUAGCCUCUUUAGUGCCGCGCAACUUUCAUCGGUGCACAAACCCACCAUAUGCCUUCCUCAAAACAGCCACCAUAAGUACCUACUAUGGCAUCUUCAUAGCCAUUCCCAGAUAUAUUGCCAUGCAACUCCCACCGUUCCAUCUCAUGACUUGUGCCGUCACUUUCAUAUUGCCAUUGCAUGAUCGUAAGAUAGCUAGUGAGUCAUAUGCCAAGCUAGAUCGUUGCACAUCCCGGUACAUUGCCGGAGGCAUUUCCUAUAAGAGUCAUCAUUGUUCUAAGCAUUGAGCUUUUAGUAAAUUAAAGUGUGAUGAUCAUCAUUAUUAGAGCAGUGUCCCAUGUGAGUAAAUAAAAAAAAGGCCAAAGUGGCCCACAAAAAAAUAUAUAUGGAAAGAGGCCAAAGAGCCCCCAAAAAAGGAAGAGAGAAAAAGAGAGAAUGGACAAUGCUACUAUCUUUUUCCACACUUGUGCUUCAUAAUAGCACCAUGUUCUUCAUGAUUGAGAGUCUCUUGAUUUGUCACCACCAUAUGCUAGUGGGAAUUUUCGUUAUAUAACUUGGCUUAUAUAUUCCAAUGAUGGGAUUCCUCAAAAUUGCCCUAGGUCUUGACGAGCAAGCAAGUUGAAUGCACACCCACUAGUUCUUCUUUUGAGCUUUCACAUACUUAUAGCUCUAAGUGCAUCCAUUGCAUGGUAAUCCCUACUCUUUCACAUUGAUAUCUAUUAAUGGGCAUCUCCAUAGCCCUUUGAUACGCCGAGUCGAUGUGACCAUCUCCUCCUUUUUGUCUCACAACCUCCACCACACUCUAUUCCACCAUAGUGCUAUAUCCAUGGCUCAUGCUCAUGUAUUGCAUGAGAGUUGAAAAAGGUUUGAGAACGUAAGAGUGCGAAAACAAUUACUUCGCCAAUACCGGGGUUGUGCAUGAUUUAAAUUAGUUGUGUGGGGAUGAUGGAGCAUAGCCAGACUAUAUGAUUUUGUAGGGAUAACUUUCUUUGGCCUUGUUAUUUCGAAUGUUUAUGAUUACCUUGCUAGUUUUCUUGAAGUAUUAUUGUUUUCAUGUCAAUAGCAAGCUAUUAUUUGAAUCUUACGGAUCUGAACAUUCAUGUCACAUGAAAUAAGUUACAAAGGACAAAGAUGCUAGGUAGCAUUCCACAUCAAAAAUUCAGUCUUUAUCACUUCCCUACUCGAGGACGAGCUGGAGUUAAGCUUGGGGAUGCUUGAUACGUCUCCAACGUAUCUAUAAUUUUUGAUGGUUACAUGCUAUUAUCUUGUCAAACUUUGGAUGUUUUGUAUGCCUUUUAUAUCUUUUUUGGGACUAACUUAUUAACUCAGUGCCAAGUGCCAGUUCCUAUUUUUUUCGUGUUUUUGACCCUUUUCAGAGGAGAAUAUUAAACGGAAUCCAAAAGGAAUAAAACUUCCGAAAAGGUUUUUUCCGGAACAGAAAAUACGCAGGGGGCGUGAGAACCAAGGUAGAGGCCACCAGGGGAGGCCACAAGGCCCCUAGGCGCGGCCAGGGGGGCCUGACUCUGUGACAACAGACCUUCCCCUGCAACGGCACCAGAAGAAUGCUGCUAGCACUCCCCGGCAAUCGAAACUAGAAGAAUAUUGUUGACGGCCCACCAGCGCGUGGGAUCGAGGCAGUUUUCGAGGGUAGAGUAUUCGAACAAAAUUUGUUGAUACGCCAGUAGGAGGUGAGACGAUACUCUCAAGUAUUAGCAGUUGAAUGUGUCAGAUUCAACCAGACGUGAAAGAUUAGUAUCUGCAAGCAAAGUAUCAUCAGCAAAGUAGUAUGAUAACAACGGUGUCAGAAACGAUCUGUUGACGGCAGACUAUUCCUAACGAUUGUAUCAAUGGUGCCAGAAGUUGCCCGUUGACGGAAAUUGUCUGUUCCCGUCAACGCCGAGCGAACAAAAAUUGUAACAGGUAGCAGCAGUGAAACGAGUAACAGCAGUGGCAAGGAACAGCAGUAGUGACAGCAGUAGCAAGUAGCAACAGUAGCAAGUAGCAGCAGAGCAAGCGACAGUAGUAACAGCAGCAGUGGGACAAACUUGUAGGCAAUGGGUCCGUGAUUCGUUCGGAUGAUAUUCAUCAUGCAACAGUUAUAAGACGGAGAGAUAUGUGGCUAGCUCCCGUUCGUCAAUGUGAUGUAGGCAUGCAUUCCGUGUGUAGUCAUACGUGCUUAGGGAAAAGAACUUGCAUGACAUCUAUUGUCCAUCCCUCCCGUGGCAGCGGGGUCCAAAAGGAUACUACAGGAUGUUAAGGUUCUCCUUUUAAUAAAGAACCGGAACAACGCAUUAGCACUUGGUGAACACAUGAACUCCUCAAAGUAUGGUUAUCAUCAGGAGUGGUUCCGGUUANGCCGCAAGCUUCUGUCUCCGCAAGAUCCCAUCUGGGGCACAUUCUGGUGCCCUGUCGGAGGGGGGAUUCGGAUACGGAGGGCUUCUUCAUCAACACCAUUGACUCUCCGAUGAUGCGUGAGUAGUUCACCAUAAACCUUCGGGUCCAUAGCUAGUAGCUAGAUGGCUUCUUCUCUCUCUUGGAUCUUCAAUACAAAGUUCUCCAUGAUCUUCAUGGAGAUCUAUCCGAUGUAAUCUUCUUUUGCGGUGUGUUUUUCGAGAUCCGAUGAAUUGUGGAUUUAUGAUCAGAUUAUCUAUGAAUCUUAUUUGAGUUUCUUCUGAUCUCUUAUAUGCAUGAUUUCAUAUCCUUGUAAUUCUGUUCGAGUUGUGGGUUUUGUUUGGCGAACUUGAUCUAUGAUUGUUGCAAUGGGAUAAGUGCUUUGUUUUGGGUUCAUACCGUGCGGUGACCUCACCCAGUGACAAAAGGGGUAGCGAGGCACACAUCAUGUUGUUGGCAUCAAGGGUAAAAAGAUGGGGUUUAUACCUAUUGCAUGAACUUAUCCCUCUACAUCAUGUCAUCUUGCUUAAAGCGUUACUCUGUUUGUCAUGAACUCAAUACACUAGAUGCAUGCUGGAUAGCGGUCGAUGUGUGGAGUAAUAGUAGUAGAUGCAGAAAGAAUCGGUCUUCUUGUCUCGGACGUGAUGCCUAUAUGUAUGAUCAUUGCCUUAGAUAUAAUUUGCCCUUCCGACCCGCUGCAUGCCACCCUUGUCGAGCUGACUACUCCCAUCGCCCCAACGGCUAAUACAACGCUGACUAGGGCUGAGGUGGAAGAGGCUCGCAAACAACUACUAGUGGAGGGCACCGCCCUUGCCACCUCCAAGCGCUGGAUGAAGGCGGCACGGCGUGAGUACAACUCCGCUUAUGGCUUCACCCCAGCCGCUGACGGACCCAGCCGGCUCGGCGACCUCCGCUGUCGCGGUCGGGUUGUUGCCGAAAUCCUAGGCGGCCAGCUACCCAUCUAUGACACUCCUGCGGCAAACAUGCGGGCCGCCCAGGCGGCCCAUGAAGAGAUGGAUGCCCUGCAGGGCGAGGAGCGGGUGCGUUAAGAAAAGUGCGUCAAGGACCUCCUCACUGCCGCCAAGGAGCAACAGGAUCGCCUCGAUCCUGCCCGUGCUUUCUCCGUAUCUCCGGCCUUCGACAUCGAAGGUUAUGAUGUCCCCAACGACCGUCAGCAAGCUCAGCAUUCUUCCUCCCAUCGUAAAUCCGACCAGAAGGCCGAGGGAAGCCGUGAGUAGCAUUCCCAACGCCGGAGAGAGCAUCACGCAGUAUCUAGCCGGCUCGGCGAGCCGGCUGGAACUAGAGGAGGCUCAGUUCAUGAAGUUCCCCCGCCUGAGCGGUGGGAGAAGGCCAGCACACCCGUGCCCGCAAUCCGGCCUGAGCUCGCGGCUUGGAUCGGCCCUCGCGUCCUUCGCAGCAAGAGCGAUGCUCGCACACGCAUCGACCUUCUGGCGCAGUCGGCCCUCCUGGAGGAGGAGGGUCCCAUUGGUCCGACGUGCUUCGGUCCUCGGAUCCGAGGGGAGGCGUUCCCGUCCGGCUUCACCGUCCCCCGCGAUACUACGAAAUACAACGGCUCUGGCAAGCCGAAAGACUGGCUGAUCGACUACAUCACUGCAGUCGGCAUUUCUCGGGGCAACAAGCGUGUUGCCGUCUGCUACGUGACACUCAUGCUGACCGGCUCGACAAGAACUUGGCUUAACAGUCUGCCAGCUGGCAACAUCAACUCUUGGGUUGACUUUGAAGAUGCUUUCGUCCGCAACUUCACUCGCACCUACAAGCGCCCUGGCCACGCCCGUGAGCUGGCCAUGUGCGUUCAGAAGCCCGACAAACCCCUCUGUGACUACAUCAUGCACUCGACGGAGUUGCACAACUCCUGCGAAGGAGUGCAUGAAGUACAAGCCAUUCAAUACUUCACUAAAGACUGUCGAGACGACACCCUUCUCAAGCACAAACUCAUGUGCUGCGAACCUACCUCUUUGGCAGCACUCAUGGACAAGGCGGAUAAAUACACUACUGCCAACUCUGCCAUGAGGAUCAAGGUCAGCGCGACGGACAAACCCGACCAACCGCCGGCUACAACUAAGCCGGUGGCGACAACUGAGGCGGGCAAAACAACAAGCGCAAGGCGGAUCAGCAAGACCCGUGAGCUUGAAGCAAGCAGGUGGCAAACAUGGAGGAAGAGCAGCCGGCUGCGCAAGACGACGCUCAGCAACAACGAACCGGCAAGAACACCUGACAGCCCAAGCUCACAUUCGAGUAGAUGCUCGACGCGCCUUGCAAGAUGCAUUCCGGGGCAAAGCCAGCCACCCACACACUCCGGUAGUGCAGCUUCUCACAGCGCCUGGCCCGCUGGCGGCUCCCCCGGGGGUGGCUCCUCGAGGUCCGACUCCCGGGCCGGGUCCGGCUCCAGCUCAACCGCCCCCAAUGACGGCCGUCUUCAUGACCAAUUCCCCAAGAAGGACGGGCCUACAUCGUCUUUACCAGCGAGGGCGAUGACAAGCAUAGUGAGCGUCAGCGCCGACAUGAGGUGAAUGCAACGGUCCUCUCGGUUCCCCAAUACACGCAUUGGUCUAAAAAGCAAAUUACAUGGAGCCAGGCGGACCAUCCCGCGGUGAUGCCGAAUCCUGGCACAUACGCGCUCGUCCUCGUCCCCACCAUCGCCUCCAAGAGACUCACAUGUACGUUCUCGCAGGUGCUCGUCGACGGCGGUAGCAUCAUGAACAUCCUCUACCGUGACACCAUGCUCGAGCUCGGGCUGAAGGAGAAGGACCUACAACCGACCAGGACUGUCUUCCACGACAUUGUGUCGGGGCAGUCUUGCUCGCCUAUCGGCAAAAUCCAGGUGGACUUCCUCUUUCGCGACAAGUCGCACUUCCACCGCGAGCCGGUCUGGUUCAAGGAGGUGGACCUCAACAACCCGUACCAUGCGCUGCUAGGAAGGCCGGCGCUGGCCAAGUUCAUGGCUAUCCCCCAUUACACCUACCUCAAGAUGAAGAUGUCGGGUCCCAAGGGCAUUAUCACUGUUGCCGGCAACUCCAAGAAGUCAAUCGAGUGUGGGUGCAACAGCAGCCGGCUGGCCGAGGCACUGGUGAUUGCACAGGAGAAGAGGCAGCUCAACCGGCUCAUGGCUGAGGCUACCGAGCAGCCGCCCGUGCCAACUCCUCCGUCCCAAUCAGACGGCGAGGCCUCAUUCGAGCCGUCCAAGGGAACCGGGCAAGUGCCACUCGACCCAGCCAACCCCAAGUAGUGCGUGACCAUCGGCGCCAACCUUAGCCCCAAAUAGGAAGGUGAGCUCGUCGACUUCCUCAGUGAGAAUCGAGAUAUCUUUGCAUGGUCCCCCAAGGACAUGUCGGGAGUUCCAAGGAACUACGCCGAGCACAAGCUUCAUGUGCAACCUAAUGCAAAGCCGGUCAAACAACCUUUGUGCCGCUUUGCUGAGGGGAAGCGACACACAAUCGGAGAAGAGAUCGCUUGGCUACUUGCAACCGGCUUCAUCAUGGAAGUUUCCCACCCGGACUGACUGGCCAACCCAGUCCUGGUGCAGAAGAAAAACAAAACAUGGUGCAUGUGUAUCGACUACACAAGCCUGAAUAUGGCAUGUCUGAAGGAUCCCGUCGCCCUGCCACGGAUAGAUCAAGUGACUGACUCCACGGUCGGCUACGAUUUGUUGUCCUUUGUGGACGCUUAUUCCGGCUACCACCAGAUCAAGCUGGACCCGGCCGACCGGCUCAAGACCUCCUUCAUCACACCUUCUGGAGCCUACUGCUACACGAUGAUGACAUUUGGCCUAAAGACUAUAGGCGCCACCUUCCAGCGUUGCAUGCAAUAAUGCCUCCUGCCGCAAAUCGGCAGGAACAUACACGUCUGCAUCGACGAAAUCGUCGUCAAGACCAAGAAGUAUUUCAGUCUCCUUGACGAUUUGUCGGAGACCUUUGCCAACUUGCACGAGUACAAGAUCCAUGUCAAUCCAGAGAAGUGCGUAUUCGGAGUACCAACCGACAAGCUCCUGGGUUUCUUCGUGUCGGCUCGCGGCAUCGAAGCUAACCCCGAGAAGACCAGAACAAUCGAGUGCAUGGCCAAGCCGGCUCAACUCCUCGACGUCUAGAAGUUUGCCGGCUGCCUAGCAUCCCUCAGCCGGUUUGUUAGACGGCUGGGUGAGAAGGCACUACCACUCUAUCAGCUGAUGAAGAAGACAACCAAAUUCGAGUGGAAUGAUCAAGCGGACGAAGCAUUCCGCGACCUCAAGUGCGUGAUCUCCAGCACGCAAAUCUUGGCCACGCCGGCGGAGAGGGAACCCAUCCUCAUCUAAAAUGCGACAACCAUGCGCGUGGUCAGUGUCGUCUUGGUGGUGGAGCGAAAGGAGGAGGGCAAUGUGCUGCUGGUCAGCGCCCUGUCUACCAUCUAAGCGAAGUCUUGUCCGCCUCCAAGCAAAACUACCCCAUUUUCAAAAGAUGUGCUAUGGCGUGUAUUUUGCCACCAAGAAGCUGAAGCAAUACUUCCAGGAGCAUGCCAUCACGGUGGUGAGCACAACUCCACUUUCAGAAAUCAUGGGCAACUGUGAUGCUAUGGGCCAGAUUGCCAAGUGGUCCAUCUCCAUGGCCGACCAUGACAUCCGCUAUGAGCUGUGCACCGCCAUCAAGUCUCAAGUGGUGGCCGACUUCCUCGUCGAUUGGGCCGAGACCCAGUUCCUACCACCGCCUCCUGACUCCACACAUUGGCGGAUACAUUUCGACGACUCCAAGAUGCGAACCGGCCUGGGAGCCGGCAUUGUCCUGACGUCCCCGAAAGGGGCCAACUCAAAUAUGCUCUGUAGAUACACUUCGCCUCCUCCAACAACGUCACCGAGUACGAGGCACUUGCACACGCCCUCUGACUUGCUAGAGAGAUCGUCAUCCAGCGGAUUCUUUGCUUCAGCGACUCUGACCUCGUGGUGCAGCAAGUCUUUCGCGAGUGGGAUGCCAGGGACGCCAACAUGGCCAGCUACCGCUUCCCCAUCCAGCAGCUUAGUGGCCCUUUCGAGGGCUGCGAGUUCCAUCAUGUCCCCCGAGCAGACAAUGAGGCAGCAGAUACAUUGGCACAAAUGGGCUCCACAAGGCAAGCAAUCCCGACCGGCGUCUCCCUCGAACAGCUGCACAAGCCUUCCAUCAAGCCGUCUCGAGCGUCGUCAUCGAUCUUCGUGCCUGCAGACCCGUCCGUCCCAAUGACUUUAGGUACGAAGACGCUUCAUCAACUCCGCCGGCUCGGCCCGUUCUGCCAGCUCCGUCAGCUUUGCUGGCUCCGGUUACCUUGCCGACACCAACUACUCUGCCGGCUAUGCCAAACCUCGAACCCAGUCGGCUCAACACCCAGUGGGUGGCCGUCAUGGAGGUUGAUGGCAUGCCGGCUUCCACGACGACACCAGAGACAGAAGGUCUCGAACCCAGGACCACAAUGACAAACUCGGGGGCCUCAGCGGCCCCUGGCCUUCAGGCCGAGCCAGAAUCGGCUCGUGUGUCAGCUCCCACAUGGGCACACCCCAUCCUGUCUUUCCUCCUUUGCGGUGAGCUCCCUUAAGACAAGGUGGAAGCACGGCAAAUCCAGUGCCGAUCUCUCACUUACGCCAUCAUCAACCGUGAACUGGUUCGACACAGUGUAACAGGCGUACUUCAACGCUGCGUCGAAUCAGAGAAAUGAAAAUAAAUUCUCAAGGACAUACAUCAGGGUGAGUGCGGGCAUCACGCCGCCUCCAGAACCCUGGUGGCCAAGGCGUUCCGCCAUGGAUUCUAUUGGCUCACGACCCUGGAAGAGGCCACCACUCUGGUCGACAAGUGUGAAGGAUGCCAGUGCUUCAACACGCAAAGCCACUUGCCGGCCUCAGCUCUAAAGACCAUUCCCCUCUCAUGUCCCUUUGUCGUCUGGCGUUGGACAUGGUAGGCCCAUUCAAGACCGCUCGAGGCCGCAUGCCGCAUCUCCUGGUAGCCGUUGACAAGUUCACCAAGUGGAUUGAGGCCAGGCCAAUAAAGAAGCUUGACGGUCCCACGACCGUCAGGUUCAUCAAGGACAUCACCGUCCGCUAAGGUGUCCCCCACAGCAUCAUCACCGAUAAUGGCACCAACCUCGCCAAAGGUGCAAUGGCGCUCUUCUAUGCCAAGGAGGGCAUUCGGUUCGACCUUUCGUCGGUUGCCCACCCGCAGUCUAACGGCCAUGGGAAGGGCAAACAACCUGAUCUUGGCCGGCAUCAAGCCAAGACUCGUGGCACCGAUCGUCAGGUCAGCCGUCUGCUGGAUCAAAGAGUUGACGGCUGUGCUGUGGAGCCUCCACACCACACCGAACCGGUCAACUGAUUUCACGCCAUUCUUCCUCGUCUACGGGUCCGAGGCAAUCAUCCCCGCGGAUGUCGAGUUCGACUUGCCUCGCGUCACCCUGUACACGGAGGCAGAUGCAAAAGAGGAAAGAGAAGACGGUGUCAAUCUACUCGAGGAGGCACGGGAGCUGGCCCUGAGCUGGACGGCCAUCUACCAGCAGAAGAUGAGACACUACCACAUCAAAAAGAUCAGGCCUCUCUCUUCCCAUGAGGCGGACCUAGUACUUAGAAGAAUCUAGCAAACAGCCGGCCAACACAAGCUCUCUUCCCCAUGGGAGGGACCCUUGAUCAUCAGCAAGGUGCUGCACAACAAUGCGUACUAUCUAAUAGAUGCUCAGAAGCCGCAGAAGCGCAAAAGAGACGCCUCCGGCGAGGAAACGGAGCAUCCAUAGAACGCGGCACUGCUUCGCCCGUUCUAUUGCUAGAACAAGAGAGAAAAUGUGUACGUAUGUAUCCUUUACCCUUUUGGGGUCUCAACGAAUGCAAUGGGUGUCUCAAGAUAGCACUUGGGGCAUACCUAUUUGAUUUCAUAAAAAGAGUUGUCAUUAGAAGAGUGGGCUUCCCGAUCUGACUCCUCGGGCUCGGGGGCUCGCUAGCCGGCCCAAGCCAACUUCCUAGUCGUAGUUGAACAUAUAGUGCAUGUCGAGCCGAAACCCUUACCACCUUGUGCAAGCUAGAGACCGGCUCCGGACUGUCCGGCUAACAUGAUUGUGGAAUGGAAGGCUGGUUGCACGUAAAAUUUGACUACAAAGAGGUUGUCGGCUCAGGUUGGUCUGAUCGCUUCCGAUCUUCAUUUCUAGCUAGCCUGUGCUAACUCGCUCCAAGUCUAAGUAUCUCCGCGACUUCAAGAAAUUCGAGGAUGGCGCCUUCGUAGGCAGAAGCCCCAUCCUAGUCACAAACCGGCUCCCUGCUGUCGGAUUGGCGGGGUGGAUGCUGGAGGAGGCAAGCUGUUGGAUAGACGGAAGCCAAAGGGGAACGUAAGAUAAAAAAGCGAGUCGGCAAGCACAACCUUCGCAGGCACAAUUCAAGCAAACAAGCAUAUAUUAUAUCAAAAGACAUGUAAAGGCCGACGACCAAAGUUCAUUACAUUACACCCCAAGUGCGUGGAACUGUUGGAUUAACAAAAAAUGCAGAAAAGUAGAAAAAACUUUAUUUGGUGGUGGCUCCACCCUUGGCUCCGACAUCGCCGGCAGCACCGGAGGUCGAGGAGGCUCCACCCAUGGCUCCGACAUUGUUAGCAGCACCUGAGGUCGACGCGGCUCCACCCUUGGCAUUGGCAUCACCAGCGGCACCUGACGUGGAGGCGCCGUCGUCUGCUCGGGUGCCUUUGGCACUGCCCUUUGUGGCGGAGUCAACAUAGGCCUCGCCGCUCAAGUCGGCAUCCUCGAAUGCCGUCUCAUCGGAGCUGCCAUCAGGGUCGGCAAGCUAGCCCAUAAUGACCCUCCGGGAUCAGGCUUCUGUCAGCACUCCGCUCCAGGGAAUACUCAUUCCAUGGGCAAAGGAGGCAAUGCCGCUCGGCCGCACCUGCAGCUCGUCUUCGACGGCGGCUGACACGUGUCCAACGUAUCUAUAAUUUUUGAUGGUUACAUGCUAUUAUCUUGUCAAACUUUGGAUGUUUUGCAUGCCUUUUAUAACUUUUGGGACUAACUUAUUAAUUCAGUGCCAAGUGCCAGUUCCUGUUUUUUCCGUGUUUUUGACCCUUUUCAGAGAAGGAUUUUAAACGGUGUCCAAACGGAAUAAAAUUUUCGAAAAGAUUUUUUCCGGAACAGAAGAUACGCACGGGAUGUGAGAACCAAGGCAGAAGCCACCACGGGAUGCCACAAGCCCCCUAGGCGCGGCCGGGGGGGCCUAGCAGGCUUGUGGGCCCCCUGUGACUCGUCUGCACUACCUCUUCUGCCUAUAAAUUCCUGAAAAAUCCAAAACUGCGGGAGAGAUCCACGAAAAUACUUUUCCGCUGCCGCAAGCUUCUGUCUCCGCAAGAUCCCAUCUGGGGCACGUUCUGGUGCCCUGCCGGAGGGGGGAUUGGAUACGGAGGGCUUCUUCAUCAACACCAUGACCUCUCCGAUGAUGCAUGGGUAGUUUACCAUAGACCUUCGGGUCCAUAGCUAGUAGCUAGAUGCCUUCUUCUCUCUCUUGGAUCUUCAAUACAAAGUUCUCCAUGAUCUUCAUGGAUAUCUAUCCGAUGUAAUCUUCUUUUGCGGUGUAUUUGUCGAGAUCCGAUGAAUUGUGGAUUUAUGAUCAGAUUAUCUAUGAAUCUUAUUUAAAUUUCUUCUGAUCUUUUAUAUGCAUGAUUUCAUAUCCUUGUAAUUCUCUUCGAGUUGUGGGUUUUCUUUGGCCAACUUGAUCUAUGAUUCUUGCAAUGGGAGAAGUGCUUGGUUUUGGGUUCAUACCGUGCGGUGACCUCACCCAGUGACAGAAGGGGUAGUGAGGCACGCAUCAUGUUGUUGCCAUCAAGGGUAAAAAGAUGGGGUUUACAUCAUUGGUUUGAGUUUAUCCCUCUACAUCAUGUCAUCUUGCUUAAGGCGUUACUCUGUUCGUCAUGAACUCAAUACACUAGAUGCAUGCUUGAUAGCAGGGGAUGUGUGGAGUAAUAGUAGUAGAUGCAGACAGUAUCGGUCUACUUGUCUUGGACGUGAUGCCUAUAUGUAUAAUCAUUGCCUUAGAUAUCGUCAUGACUUUGCGCGGUUCUAUCAAUUGCUCGACAGUAAUUUGUUCACCCACCGUAAUAUUUGCUACUUUGGGAGAAGCCUCUAGUGAACACUAUGGCCCCCGGGUCUACUUCACAUCAUAUUUUCAGCCUUUAACUUUUACUUCGUUGUACUUUCCACCUUCAGAUCUCACUUUGCAAUCAAUCUUGAAGGGAUUGACAACCCCUUUAUAGCGUUGGGUGCAAGCUCGUUUGUAUUUGCGCAGGUACUCUGUACACUUGGAUUGAUUCUCCUACUGGAUUGAUACCUUGGUUCUCAAACUGAGGGAAAUACUUACUUCUCCUGUGCUGCAUCACCCUUUCCUCUUCAAGGGAAAACCAACGCAAGCUCAAGAGGCAACAGAAGGAUUUCUGGCGCCGUUGCCGGGGACUUCUGGCCCCGUAGCAGAAGGAUUUCUCGCGCCGUUGCCGGGGAGGAUCAAGUUCUAGGUGAAGCUUAUCCAAGUAAGUGUCGAAAACUCAUCUCUUGCAUUUACUUUUUUGCCUUUCGUUUUCCUCUCCCCCAGUUUUGAAAAACAAAAAAUUACAAAAAUAUUUGCCUUCUUCGUUUGCCUUUUUCGUUCGCCCUUUUAUCUCGCUUGCUUUCUGUUCGCUUGUGUGCUUGUUUGCUUGUCGAAGUCACCAUGACUAAAAACACCAAACUCUAUGACUUCUCGAAUACUAAUAAUAAUGAUUUUAUUAGUACUCCGAUUGCUCCCGCCACUAGUGCGGAAUCAUACGAAAUCAAUGUUGCCUUGCUGAAUCUUGUUAUGAAAGAGCAAUUCUCCGACCUUCCUAGUGAAGAUGCCGCAUCCCAUCUUAAUAUCUUCAUUGAGCUUUGCGAUAUGCAGAAUAAGAAAGAUGUGGAUAAUGAUGUGAUUAAAUUGAAGCUUUUUCCUUUCUCGUUGCGAGAUCGAGCAAAAACUUGGUUUUCAUCUUUGCCCAAAAAUAGUAUUGAUUCUUGGAACAAGUGCAAAGAUGAUUAUAUAUCCAAGUAUUUUCCGUCGGCUAAGAUUAUCUCUCUCCGUAAUGAUAUCUUGAAUUUUAAGCAACUUGAUCAUGAACAUGUUCCACAAUCUUGGGAGAGAAUGAAAUUGAUGAUUAGAAAAUGUCCCGCUCAUGGCUUGAGUCUUUGGAUGAUUAUACAAAUCUUCUACGCUGGUUUGAAUUUCGCUUCUAGAAAUAUCUUGGACUCCGCCUCAGGUGGAACAUUCAAGGAAAUCACAUUAGGAGAAGCCACGAAACUCCUAGACAAUAUCAUGAUAAACUACUCUCAGUGGCACACUGAAAGGUCACCUACUAGUAAAAAAGUACACGCUAUAGAAGAAAUUAACUCGUUGAGUGCUAAGAUGGAUGAUUUAAUGAAUUUUGUUGCUAGUAGAAGUGCUCCUUUAGAUCCUAAUGAUAUGCCCUUGUAUUCCUUGAUUGAGAGUAGCAAUGCGAGCUUGGACGUUAAUUUUGUUGGUAGGAAUAAUUUUGGCAACAACAAUGCUUUUAGAGGAAACUAUGUUCCUACGCCUUUUCCUAGGAACCCCUCUAAUAACUUUGGCAACUCCUACAACAAUACUCAUGGAAAUUACGAUAAAUUACCCUCUGAUCUAGAUAGUAAUAUCAAAAAGUUUAUCAACUCGCAAAAGAUUUUCAAUGCGUCCAUAGAGGAAAAACUACUCAAAAUUGACGAUUUGGCUAGGAGCGUUGAUAGAAUGUCUAGUGAUACUGAUGCUUUGAAAGUUAGAUGUGCUCCUCCCAAGAUCAACAUGGAUGAAACUUUGAAACCCAUGCGUGUUUCCAUGAGUGAGAGCAAAGAAAGAACCGCCCAAAUUCGUGCUAGACAUGAAUGGCUUAAAAAGGCGUGUUCUCGUGAUAAGAAUCACGAAGAUCUUAAAGUGCUUGGUGUGACUCCCAUUGAAUCUUUGUUCUCUCGUGUCAAACCUAAUGAUGAUGGGGCUGGAUAUGAAUCUACUUUGGUUGAAAAACGCCUCAAUGAUUCGGAGUCCAUCUAUCUUGAUGCUAAAAGCAUUGAAAGUGGAGUAGAAGAAAUCAAAACUUUGAGUAGUAAUGAAAGUACUACUUUGGAUUUCAAGGAAUUCAAUUAUGAUAGUUUCUCCUUGAUUGAAUGCAUUUCCUUGAUGCAAUCCAUGCUAAACUCUCCACACGCUUAUAGCCAAAACAAGGCCUUUACCGAUCAUAUCGUUGAAGCUAUGAUAAAAUCUCUUGAAGAGAAACUUGAGUUGGAAGUUUCUAUUCCUAGAAAGCUUCAUGAUGAGUGGGAACCUACUAUCAAAAUCAAAAUCAAAAACUAUGAAUGCAAUGCUUUGUGUGAUUUGGGUGCUAGUGUUUCCGCGAUUCCAAAGUCUUUAUGUUAUGUUCUAGGCUUUAAUGAGAUUGAGGAGUGUUCUCUUAAUUUGCAUCUUACGGAUUCUACUGUCAAGAAACCCAUGGGAAGGAUCAAUGAUGUUCUUAUUAUUGCAAAUAGGAACUAUGUACCCAUGCAUUUCAUUGUGCUUGAUAUUGAUUGCAAUCCUACAUGUCCUAUCAUUCUUGGUAGACCUUUCCUAAGGACUAUUGGUGCUAUCAUCGAUAUGAAGGAAGGGAAUAUUUGAUUUCAAUUUCCUUUAAAUAAGGGCAUGGAGCAUUUUCCUAGAAAGAAAAUAAGAUUGCCUUAUUAAUCAAUGAUGAGGGCUACUUAUGGUUUGAGCACCAAAGACGACGAUACGUGAUUCUAUCGCCUUAUGCCUAGCUAAGGGCGUUAAAAAAUAGCGCUUGUUGGGAGGCAACCAAAUGAAUUUAUUUUUUUCUUUCUGUUUUAUUGCGUCCACACUAUCAUAAUUCUGUUAUGAUAGUUUUUUGUGUUUCUUUUUGUGUUUGAGCCAAGCAAAACCUUUAUGAUUGGUUUGGUGAUGGUUGUUUGAUCCUGCUGGAAAAAGACAGAAACUUUUCGCUCACGAAAUUAUUUUUCGUUUUUAUUCCGAAAGAGAUUUUGAUUUGAUUCCUUUUGCUGCUGGUUUAUAUGCCUUUUUCCCAGGCUGUCGUAAUGUUUCAUAAUUUUUGAGGCACCAGAAGUAUACGAAGUAUAAAGAUUUCUACAGACUGGUCUGUUUUUGACAGAUUUUGUUUUUGUUGUGUUGGUUGCUUGUUUUGAUGAAACUAUGGAUAGUAUCGGGGGUACUAGCCAUGGAAAAGUGAGAAUACAGUAAUCUAACACCAAUAUAAAUAGAAAUCAAGAUUGCUACAGUACCUAAAGUGGUGGUAGUUUGUUUUCUUGUGCUAAUGAUAUCACGAGUUUCUGUUUAAGUUUUGUGUUGUGAAGUUCUCAAGUUUUGGGUGAUGUUCUCAUGGACAAAGGGAUAAAGAGUGGAAAGAGAUCAAGCUUGGGGAUGCCCAAGGCAUCCCAAUCUAAAUUCAAGGACACCAAAAAUCCUAAGCUUGGGUAUGCCCCGGGAAGACAUCCCCUCUUUCGUCUUCAAUCCAUCGGUAACAUUACUUGGAGCUAUAUUUUUAUUCAGCACAUGAUAUGUGUUUUGUUUGGAGCGUCUUGUAUCGUAGGAGUCUUUUCUUUUUGUUGUGUCACAAUCAUCCUUGCUGCACACCUUUUGAGAGAGACAUGCACUCAUCGUGAAUUUGCUAGAAUACUCAUUGUGCUUCACUUAUAUCUUUUGAGCUAGACAAUGUUGCUGUGUGCUUCACUUAGAUCUUUUAGAGCACCGCUGUGCGUAACUUGGUAGUUGGCUUGUGCUAUGAAUGUAGUCCCAAAGGUGAUAGGUAGCCAAAGAGGAGACAAUAACACUUCCAUCUUCAUGUGUGUUGAGUAGAAAGAGAAGUUUGAUUCCUCUCAAUUAGUUUUGAGACGUGGAUUUGGUAAUAUUAAGAGUUAUGUUAGUAGGGUGUUGUGAAUCUAGAAAUACUUGUGUUAAAGUUAGUGAUUCCCGUAACAUGCACAUAUGGUGAACCACUAUGUUAGGAAGUCGGAGCAUAAUUGAUCUAUUGAUUUCCAUUCUUUGUGUUGCCGUCGGGAUCGCGCGAUGGUUAACACCUACUAACCCUUCCUCUAGGAGUAUGCGUUUAGCACUUUGUUUCGAUUACUAAUAAAAACUUUUGCAACAAGUAUGUGAGUUCUUCAUGACUAAUGUGAGUCCAUGGUAUAGAUGCACUUUCACCUUCCACCAUUGCUAGCCUCUCUAGUACCGCGCAGUUUUCGCUGGUGCACAAACCCACCAUAUGCCUUCCUCAAAACAGCCACCAUACCUACCUACUAUGGCAUUUUCAUUGCCAUUCCGAGAUAUAUUGCCAUGCAACUCCCACCGUUCCGUCUCAUGACUUGUGCCGUCACUCUCAUAUUGCCAUUGCAUGAUCAUAAGACAGCUAGCGAGAUGUUUCAACGUCAUACGCCAAGCUAGAUCGUUGAACAUCCCGGUACACUGCCGGAGGCAUUUCCUAUAGAGUCAUCAUCGUUCUAAGCUUUGAGCUGUGAGUAAAUAAAAGUGUGAUGAUCAUCAUUAUUAGAGCAUUGUCCCAUGUGAGGAAAUAAAAAAAUAGAGGCCAAAGUUGCCCACAAAAAAAGAGAUAUGGAAAGAGGCCGAAGAACCCAAACAAAAAAAAGAAAAAGAAAAAAAGAGAGAAAAUUAGAGAAGGGACAAUGCUACUAUCUUUUUCCACACUUGUGCUUCAUAAUAGCACCAUGUUCUUCAUGAUUGAGAGCCUCCUCGUUUUGUCACCACCAUAUACUAGUGGGAAUCUUUAUUAUAUAACUUGGCUUGUAUAUUCCAAUGAUGGGCUUCCUCAAAAUUGCCCUAGGUCUUCGUGAGCAAGCAAGUUGGAUGCACACCCACUAGUUCUCCUUUUGAGCUUUAACAUACUUAUAGCUCUAAGUGCAUCCAUUGCAUGGUAAUCCCUACUCUUUCACAUUGAUAUCUAUUAAUGGGCAUCUCCAUAGCCCUUUGAUACGCCGAGUCGAUGUGACCAUCUCCUCCUUUUUGUCUCACAACCUCCACCACACUCUAUUCCACCAUAGUGCUAUAUCCAUGGCUCAUGCUCAUGUAUUGCAUGAGAGUUGAAAAAGGUUUGAGAACGUAAGAGUGCGAAAACAAUUACUUCGCCAAUACCGGGGUUGUGCAUGAUUUAAAUUAGUUGUGUGGGGAUGAUGGAGCAUAGCCAGACUAUAUGAUUUUGUAGGGAUAACUUUCUUUGGCCUUGUUAUUUCGAAAGUUCAUGAUUACCUUGCUAGUUUACUUGAAGUAUUAUUGUUUUCAUGUCAAUAGCAAAUUAUUGUUUUUAAUCUUAUGUAUAGGAACAUUCAUGUCACAUGAAAGAAGUUACAAAGGACAACUAUGCUAGGUAGCAUUCCACAUCAAAAAUUAAGUCUCUAUCACUUCCCUACUCGAGGACGAGCGGGAGUUAAGCUUGGGAUGCUUGAUACGUCUGUAACGUAUCUAUACUUUUUGAUGGUUCCAUGCUAUUAUCUUGUCAAUCUUUGGAUGUUUUGUAUGCCUUUUAUAUCUUUUUUGGGACUAACUUAUUAACUCAGUGCCAAGUGCCAGUUUCUGUUUUUUUCGUGUUUUUGACCCUUUUCAGAGGAGAAUUUUAAACGGUGUCCAAACGGAAUAAAACUUCUGAUUUUUUUUCCGGAACAGAAGAUACGCACGGGACGUGAGAACCAAGGCAGAAGCCACCAGGGGACGCCACAAGCCCCCUAGGCGCGGCCAGGGGGGCCCGCGCCUAGCAGGCUUGUGGGCCCCGUGUGGCUCGUCCGCCCUACCUCUUCCGCCUAUAAAUUCCUGAAAAAUCCAAAACCGCGGGAGAGAUCCUUGAAAAUACUUUUCCGCCGCCACAAACUUCUGUCUCCGCAAGAUCCCAUCUAGGGAACGUUCUGGUGCCCUGCCGGAGGGGGGAUUCGGAUACGGAGGGCUUCUUAAUCAACACCAUGACCUCUCCGAUGAUGCAUGAGUAGUUUACCAUAGACCUUCGGGUCCAUAGCUAGUAGCUAGAUGGCUUAUUCUCUCUCUUGGAUCUUCAAUACAAAGUUCUCCAUGAUCUUCAUGGAGAUCUAUCCGAUGUAAUCUUAUUUUGUUGUGUGUUUGUCGAGAUCCGAUGAAUUGUGGAUUUAUGAUCAGUUUAUCUAUGAAUCUUAUUUGAGUUUCUUCUCAUCUCUUAUAUGCAUGAUUUCAUAUCCUUGUAAUUCUCUUCGAGUGAUGGGUUUUGUUUGGCCAACUUGAGCUAUGAUUCUUGCAAUGGGAUAAGUGCUUGGUUUUGGGUCCAUACCGUGCGGUGACCUCACCCAGUGACAGAAGGAGUAGCGAGGAACGCAUCGUGUUGUUGCCAUCAAGGGUAAUAAGAUGGGGUUUACAUCAUUGGUUUGAGUUUAUCCCUCUACAUCAUGUUAUCUUGCUUAAGGUGUUACUCUGUUUGUCAUGAACUCAAUACAAUAGAUGCAUGCUGGAUAGCGGUCGAUGUGUGGAGUAAUAGUAGUAGAUGCAGACAGUAUCGGUCUACUUGUCUCGGACGUGAUGCCUAUAUGUAUGAUCAUUGUCUUAGAUAUCGUCAUGACUUUGCGCGGUUCUAUCAAUUGCUCGACAGUAAUUUGUUCACCCACCGUAAUAUUUGCUACUUUGAGAGAAGCCUCUAGUGAACACUAUGGCCCCCGGGUCUACUUCACAUCAUAUUUUCAGCCUUUCACUUUUACUUCGUUGCACUUUCCGCCUUCAGUUCUCACUUUGCAAUCAAUCUUGAAGGGAUUGAUAACCCCUUUAUAGCGUUGGGUGCAAGCUCGUUUGUGUUUGCGCAGGUACUCUGGACACUUGGCUUGAUUAUCCUACUGGAUUGAUACCUUGGUUCUCAAACCGAGGGAAAUACUUACUGCUCGUGUGCUGUAUCACCCUUUCCUCUUCAAGGGGAAACCAAUGCAAGCUCAAGAUGCAGCAGAAGGAUUUCUGGCGCCGUUGCCGGGGACUUAUGGCGCCGUAGCAGCGGCCAACUCCAGUUCCAUGCUGGCGCGCUGCGCCGCGAGCAUGCCCAAGUUUAGGUUGCGAUACCAGGACUUGGCAAGGCGAAGCACCAUAUAUGCCCCAGCUUGUGCAGCUGACGCACACGAGGCGUCCAGCUGGGAAGUUCCUACCUCGAGCCAUCAGGACAGCCGGCUCAUUGACGCUGGCUCCACCGUGUCCGGCCAAAGGGCAUUCACCAUCGCCAACCCGGACUCCUGGAGCGAGGUCAGGGACUGCAACAGCUCCCACAUAUGGGCCCUGGCGGCAAGGGCCACCUCCUCCGCGGUCUAGCCGGCACUAAUAUUCACCAUGGCGCCGGCGGCACGUCGUUCUUUGCGAUGAGCCUCUACAGCCGUGUCCACCGCAUCUCAAUUCCCUAGAAAGAGAUGGUGGGGGGCAAUGGCGGGGUCAUGGCGUAAAGAAGGAGAAAAAAGAAUUCAACAAUAAAAAGACAAGAUGAGGCAGGGACGACUCACGGUUGAGAAGGAUGUCGACUUCGCCCGCCUCCUCCUCAACCUCGCGGUCCUGGACCGCACACUCCUAAGCCUGGCGAGCGAGCUUGUUCCCCAGGGCCUGUGUCGCCUUAACUUCCUUCGCCAGUUGAGCUUUCAUGUCCUUCAUGGCGGCGUCCUGCUGCGCCUUUUCGUCAAGGCGCAGCUUCUCCAAACGUUCAAGCUCGAUGGCUUGGGAGGCAUCCUUCCGCAACAUGUUGUCGUUGUGUCCGACGCGCAGCCGCUCCAGCUCCGUUUGAUGGGCCGCCUCGUGGUCCUUCUUCUCCAUCUGGAGAAGCUCUACUUCCUGACGUAGCCGGCCGCCCUCACCGCGCAAGGCGUCGCGCUCCGUGACGGCUCGGUCGAGCCGGCCUUGAAGGUCGCCUGUUUGUUCUAUGUAAUGAUCAUUGGCAUGAAUAAACAUUGCAUAACUAUGCGCUUUUAUACCAAUUUACCAACAAUAAUUUGUUUACCACCGUAUGCUUUUCUACCAAUUUAACAACAGUAAUAUGUUCACCCACCGUAUGUUUCCUACGGGAGACAAGCCUCUAGCGAAAACUAUCGCCCCGGGGUCUAUUCACAAAUAUAUUUACAAAAAUACUAAAUACUUCUUUGAAUUUUAUUAUUUGUAUUUAUUUUUUAUAUUUAAUAUAUUUUAGCUAUCUAUAUAUCACUACUUACCGUUUGCAAGUAACUAGUUCAAGGCGAUUGACAACCCUCUUGCUCGCGUUGGGUGCAAUUGUUUGCUAUUUUGUGUGUAGGCGCUGAACACAGGAAAAUGUGUCGUUCUUCUAUUGGUUUAAUAACCUUGGUUCUCACUGAGGAAAUACUUAUCUAUUCUCUGCUUCAUCAACUCCUCUUUGGGGAUAAAUCCAACGCAGAUCACAAUUAUCACGCGUGCGUUCCCACCCAACAUCGGCGGCCCACAUUCAUACCGAUGUAGAGCGGUCGCUCCGCAUUGAAGCCAUCCCGGAGCGGAUGUGGCAUCUCACUAGCACCGACGUUGAAGCGGUGCAUCGACCGACAGUGCCGCCCAUUGCACACCCGUGUGAGCAUGCCUCUUCGCUGCACUCAAACGCCUCUAUUAAACCCGCAUGUGUGCCAAGAAACCUAUUAUAGUAACAUGUCCAUUUGCGAGAUAGUCGGCCUUAAACACAACACCGGGAAAGCUCCCUGCGCCCGCCUGCUAUAUAAAGGAGGCCAGACGCUGGUAAAGGAUCGCACCACUCCUCCACUCCACAUCUCCCCCUUCCACCAUUUUCCCCCCCUUUCCAUGGCAUCCGACGAGUAGGAAGAGCAGUUGUCCAGUAUAAAAGUUGGUUGGGUGGCUCGCUGAGCCCUCUAGAUACGAACUAGGCAACUUGCUGCUCCUCCUCCCUCGCCGAGCUCGACAAAGAAAGUGGCCGCACCAAGCCGGCGCCUAGUUCAACAACUCUCUAUUCCAAGCCAGCUCACAGAGGAGUAGAGAGUUGCUCCAGACCGGCAUGGUGGAACUGACAUCAUGGCUGCCAUGGACGAGGCCAGGCGCCAAGCCAUCCAGCGUCGACUUUCGCGGAACCGCGUCGUGCUUGUGGACAAAGAAACUAGCUUGGAGAUUGACAAGGCUGCGGGGUUCGUGGGAGUUACCCGCAACUCUCAUACCAGUCGUGCAUGGCAAAAUUUUAGUCAUCGACUUGACUCAUUCCCGUAACCCACGGUGCCGCGCGGCGCAACGCGGCGCGGCGUGGCGAGGAGAGGCGGGCGACGGAGGAGCGCGCGUGUAUGUCUCUCUUGUUCUCAUGCUCAUACAUGUGUGAAACAUCAUCCCUUAUAAGGAGGUCCAACUCCUACCAAACUAGCAACGUGGGACUAAACUUUAGUUCCACCUCUUUCCUUGCACGAAUGGGAUAAGUGGGCCUCUAGGAUUUAUUGGAAAUUCUGAAGAAGAUCAUUGGGCUAGCCCAAAAUUAUUAAAUUCCAGCAAUCCCCCACCAGAUCCUAGAGGCACAAAAAAAUUGCCUUUGGUUCCAAAACACUGUUUAUAUACCGGUACUGCACAGGAGACUAUUAAGUUUAACUUCCACCUAGAACUAUAUGUUAUACUAGUAAGCAACUUGAAUAGUGGACUAUGCCUUGAACUGCAAGUUUUCUGUGAAUCUAGUUUCACAUAGAGCCUUGACUGAUACUAGGCUACCGUUGGUGGAGCUUAUGCGUCAUACUCCGAGGACUUUCAUAAGUUUACUAGAGAGCACCCUACUCUCAUAGAUUGCGAUGUUAACAAUCAGACUCAUGUAGGUGUGUUCUUCAAAAGAGUUCUGUAGGACAACAUCUCUGCUUCAACAAGACAUUUAGAACAUAUAAAGAUAUAUAUCAACCUUCCAUGCAUAUUAGGAAAGUAUUGCAUCUUCAUGGAGUGGUAUUAUCAAUGGUAAGGAUACUUUCCUCUCACUUGACCAACAACUUGUCUUCCACAUCUAAUUCACGGGAUCUCCGGUCACAUUGAAUAGUUUAGCACCGUGAACAACUCAUAUUGUGGGUCUCAUACCCAUCCCCUUCGAUGCAUUAUAUAUCACAUUACAAGAUAGACCCUUAGUAAAAGGAUAUGCCAAAUUUUUAGAUGUUUGGAUAUAAUCCAAUGAAAUAACUCCGGAGUUUCUCAUUUUCCUCACAGAGUUUAACCUUCACUGAACAUGUCUUGAUGACUUCAUGUUAUCCUAUGAACUACUCACUUUUGCACUUACAGUUUGAUUGUUGUGGUUCAUAAGAACACCUGGUGCAGGUUUCUCAACAAACUAUAAGUCAUUCAAGAGCCGACGAAGCCAAUCUUCUUCGCCAUAGCUGUAUCUAGUGUUGUGAGUUCUGCUUCCAUUGUUGACCUCGUUAAGAUUGUUUGCUUGCAAGACUUCCAAGAAACAGCGCCACCACCAUGAGUAAAUACAUAUCCGCUCGUGGCCUUUAUCUCAUCAGCAUGAGAGAUCCAGUUUGAGUCACUAUACCCUUCAAGUACCUUUGGGUACCGAGUGUAUUGAAUUCCAUAACUCGUAGUGCCCUUCAAAUAGCGCAUAACUCUUUCUAGAGCUUUCCAAUGAUCAUCUCCUGGUUUUGAGACAAACCGGCUCAGCUUGCUAGCAGCAAAAGAGAUGUCACGUCUCGUAGCGCUUGCUAAAUACAUGAGCGAGCCAAUUAUUUGGGAUUAUUUCAAUUGAUCUCUAGCAAUUAUUCGAUUCUUUCGAAGCAACACGCUAGCAUCAUAAGGUGUUGGAGAAGGCUUGCAGUUAGUAUAACCAAAGUGACUCAAGAGAUUUUCCACAUAGUGAGAAUGAAGCAAAGUAAUCGCACCGUCAUCACUUCUCAGCAGCUUGAUAUUCAGAAUAACAUUAGCUAAUCCUAAAUCCUUUAUCUCGAAACAACGAGAUAGGAAAUCCUUGACUUCCUUAAUAACAUUCAUAUUUGUUCCGAAAAUCAAUAUGUCUUCAACAUAUAAGCAGAGGAUAACUCCCUCGCCCCCACCAUGGCGAUAGUACACACAUUUGUCAGCUUCGUUUACAACAAAGCCUACACCUAUUAAAGUUCUUUCAAACUUCUCAUGCCACUUCUUAGGUGCUUGCUUAAGUCCAUACAAUGACUUCAAAAAUUUGCACACUUUUCCCUCAUGACCGUCCAUUAUAAAUCCAUAUGGUUGUUCCAUAUAAAUUUCCUCGUCCAACUCUCCAUUUAGGGAAGCAGUCUUAACUUCCAUUUGGUGGACGAGAAUACCAUGUGAAGCUCCUAGUGAAAGAAGUACUAGAAUAGUGGUCAGUCGAGCCAUAGGUGAGUAAGUGUCAAAGAAGUCUUCACCUUCCUUUUGGGUAUAACCUUUGGCCACGAGUCAUGCCUUGUACUUCUCAAUAGUACUAUCAGGCCUAAGAUUCUUCUUGAAUACCCAUUUGCAGCCUAUAGGUUUGCACACAUAGGGACAAUCAGUUAUCUCACAAGUUUCAUUUGCGAGGAUGGAAUCCAUCUCACUACAAACCGCUUCCUUCUAGUAGUCAGCAUCUUCAGAUACAUAAGCCUCUGAAAUAGAACUGGGAGUGUCUUUUAUGAGAUAUACAAGAAAAUCAUCACCAAAGGACUUUGUAGUCCUUUGACUCUUGCUCCUUUUAGGAUUCUCCUUGUUGUUCUCCACAGGAUCUUCAAGAUGUUGUGUUGCAAUAGUCGGUUCAGAAGGUGCACCUACAUCUUGACUCGAUAAGCUAGGCAUCUCCUGAUUUGAUGCGCUAGCCAUAUCCUUAAUGGGAAAUAUAUCUUCAAAGAAGGUCACAUCAUUCCACUCCAUGAUUGUGCCAACAUGCAUGUCAGAUACCUCAUAUUUUAUAAUCAAGAAUCUACAACCAAUGCUAUGAAAAUAUACCCCAGGAAAACAUAAUCCACAGUUUUUGGCCCAAGCUUUCGCUUCUUUGGAAUUGGUAUAUUGACUUUUGCCAAGCAGCCCGAAGUUCAUAGGUAAGAGAGUUUUAACCUUUUCUUCUCCCAUUCCUCAAAUGGAGUUAUCUCUUUGUUCUUUGUGGGAACUCGGUUUAGGACAUGACAUGCAGUCAAAAUCGCAUCCCCCACCAUGCCUUGGAGAGACCUGAUAUGACUAAAAUGGCGUUAACAAAAUCAGUUGGAGUGUGGUUCUUCAUUUCAGCUACCCCAUCUGACUGAGGUGAAUAGGGAGGCGUUCUCUCAUGGAUUAUACCAUGUUCGGCACAAAAAGAAUCAAAUUCAUUGAAAAAAUACUCUCCACCAUGAUCAGACCUAAGCCUCUUAAUUUUCUGAUCAAGUUUGUUUUCCACUUUAGCUUUAUAGAUCUUGAAGAAAUUCAAAGCCUCAUCUUUAGAUUUUAAAAGAUACAGAUGGUACCAUCUAGUGGAGUCAUCGAUUAAUGUCAUAAAAUAUGACUUUCCACCUUUCGUCAAAAACACUGUUCAUUUCACAAAGAUCUGAAUGUAUGAGUUGUAGUGGCGCAAGAUUUCUUGUUUCUGCAGUUGCAUGAGACUUACGAGGUUGCUUAGCUUGCACACAAACUUGACCCUUAGAUCCCUUGAUAGAAGUGAAGUUCAGGAUCAAGUUCAACUUGACUAGCCGCGUCAUAGAACCAAAAUUAACAUGACAAAGACGUGAAUGAAAGACAUUUGAUUCUCUAUUAUUGCAAACGUGAUUAAACCCUUUAUUACAAAACAUCUAAUAAAGAUAGUCUGAACAAGCCUCCUGACUCAUAACCUUUACCAAGAAAAGUUCCAUACUUGGAUAUAAAAUUUAUUGGACUGAAAGACAAACUUGUAGCCAUCUCAACAUAGAGGAGAUCCACUAACAAGAUUUUUAUUAUCGGAGGGUACAUAAUGCAUGUUCUUCAGCCGCAUUAUUUUUCCUGAAGUAAACUUCAGAUCGACCGUGCCAACACCACGAACAUAAGCACUUGAACCGUUUCCCGCCAGGAUGGAGGUAGUCCCUGCGGCCUGAUAUGAAGAAAACAUAGAAAUAUCACCGCAUAUAUGCACAUUAACACCCGUAUCAAUCAACCAAUCAGGAGAACGACAUAGUGAGAGAAUAGUGGGAAGUAUACCAUACCCAACAUCCUGCAUCUCAGCAUCACCAAUGAUAACAUUAGCAAUCUUGUCGCCUUUCCCAUGUUGACGCUUUUCAUAACGGUUAGGGCAACUAGGUGCCCAAUGAUGAGGAUCUCCGCAAACAUGACAAACACCUUUCUUUUUGUCAGUCUUCUUCUUGAGUGUGCUGUGAAGCCUUGUUCUUCCCAUCAAACUUUCCCUUACCAUCAAAUUUGCCCUUGUUAUUGAACUUGUGGGGUUGGAAGUUUUUCUUCUGCACCAGAUUGGCACUAGAACCUCCUUCCAUACCUCAAGCAUGUAUGUCUUGCCUUUUCUUCCACAUCAAGAUUACCAAUGAGAUCCGGAACGGAAAACUCCUUCCUCUUAUGAGUGGGAGAGGUAGCAAAGUUCCUCCAUGAAGGAGGAAGCUUAGUAAUAAUACCUCCGGCAACAAACUUCACCGGUAACAUACAAUUGAAGUUCUCAAGUUCUCCAGCAAAUGAUUGUAUCUCGUGAGCUUGUUCAACCACAGAACGCUCAUCAGUCAUCUUUAUUCAUAGAAUUGUUCCAUGAUAUACAGCUUAGUGCCAGCAUUCGAGACUCCAAACUUGGCCUCGAGCACGCUCCACAUAUCUUUCCAUUGUCAAUUGACGCAUAAGCAUCAACAAUGUUCUCACCAAGAAUACUCAAGAGAGCAUCCUUAAACAAGGUAUCAAUUUUCUGAAAAGCGAAUUCCUGUUGAGGAUCAAGAAUUCCUUCAGGUUUGCCAAGAGUGGCAUCGUAGCAGCUCAUGGUUUGAAACCAUAGAACAUCCCUUACACACCAUCUCUUAUAGUGCACACCCUCGAACAUAGGAGGCCUCAUGGAAGCAGCAAAACCACUCGGGGUAAAUUUCCUAAAAUAAGGUCUUCGGAUUGUUGGAAAUAUGAGCGAUUUACCAAGUGAUUUUACUAGCAGAAAUAGUAGAUGAAUCAUGACUACCAUAGCAAUUAUAAGACAAGCCAGUCGAUUAUACACAGAGUAUGCAAGUAGCAUAUGAAGUGAUGAGCAGGAACGAAACAUAUCUAGAAAAGAAACUAUAACAAGAAGUUGUGGCAGGAACUCAAACAAGAAGAACACGAGAACAUACUGAGUUGGAGCAGCAGCUAUAGUGGGAUUUGCGUUGACGUCGUCAUUGGCCAUGUUGCCGAAGAGGCUGUCGAUGUCGGGGAAGAAGUCGUCAUCCGGGAAGUAGUCGUCAGCGUUCGUGAUGGAAAAGCCAGUAGUCGCAUUGAGCGCUCCCCAAAAACCUUAUCGCCCUUCUCCAGUACAUGACUCAAAGAGACGGGGUUUCGGAGGCCUACUGUUCCGACCUGCGGUGCACGUCGCAAGCCGGGGCGGGGAAAAGCUAGCAGUAGCUCAGAGAUUGGAACUCGUUGGCAUGAGGAAGAUGGUAUUCUCGUGUGUCUCUCUGGAGAGGAGCGACCUGUCUUUUAUAGGCCCAUGAGAAGGAGGCAGGCACGCAACAUCGGGAGGCGAAGCAAAAGAGAUUGCAGUCAGGUUGAUAAUAGUCGAGUGACAUUACUUCGUCGGUCCAAACUAAGGAAUCUGUUAUAAAUGUUUUGAAAUAGAUAUUGUUCUCUCUUUGAUCAGGGAUUGCUAUAUGAAAAUAAGUGGAGUUUGAAAAAGGGAACGAAAUGCUCAAACCGGAACUGCUAGAGGAACGAAUUUUCAAUAGCAUAACUUGGGCUCCUAGAAUAUGGUGCCCUUGAGACAAUCUAUUUGAUUGCAGGGUUUUGUUCUGAAGCAAAGAUAUCCGCAGAGGACGGUUCGUUCGUCCUAUUCUGAUAUUCAGGACCAAGAGGUACUGCAUUCUCUGGCUGAAAUGCCAACGGAACUCUGUCUAUUCUCUAAUUCACCCGAUCCGAUAGUACCUGUUUUUGGAACGUCCAGUGCCAAAGUCAUUGAAUGGGUAAGUCACGAAUCCAAUCCCUUUGACAAAUCGGAUGUCAUAUUAUAUAUCAUAUCCUAUAUAUAUAUAUAGAAAUAUCAUAGAUACCCCGUUUCGUGACGAGGCGAGACGGGCGGCGGAGGAGGAGGAGCGUGCGUGUAUGUCUCUCUUGUUCUCAUGCUCAUACAUGUGUGGAAACAUCCUUUCUUAUAAGGAGGUCCAACUCCUACCAAACUAGCAAUGUGGGACUAAACUUUAGUCCCUCCUCUUGCCUUGCACGAGUGGGCUAAGUGGGCCUCUAGGAUUUAUUAGAAAUUCUGAAAAAGGUCAUUGGGCUGGCCCAAAAUUAUAAAAUUCUAGCACAUAAUUGGGGGGGGGGGUAUACCUCUGGGGCUCCCGAUAGUCCGAUGAGCAGGCUGCCGGACAUGAGGCAGACAAAGGGAUCCGCAGCGCUCGGCCAUAGAUUAGUGUAGGGUAUCCAUGUCGUUAGAAUGGAGCUCCACGCGACCAGACGUGCACAUAGUUUUACCUAUUUUAGUUCAAAUAUGUCCAAAAUGCAAUGAAUUUAGUCCGGUUUAUAUGAAAUCCGUUGUGUUUGCAUGAGUUUCAUCUGCUUUGUUGGAAAAGUGUUUGAAAUAUACUUCCUCCGUUCCAAAAUAUAAGACCUUUUAGGAAUUUCACUAUAAGACUACACACGGAGCAAAAUGAGUGAAUCUAUACUCUAAAAUAUGUCUAUGUACAUCCGUAUGUAGUUUAUAGUGCAAUCUCUAAAAGGUCUUAUAUUUAGGAACGGAGGGAGUAUGUGAGUAACGAUGGAUGACCGACAACACUCGAGAAUAUCAUUUUUGGUGGUGCUCCUCAGGUGCCGAGUCAUCACUUUCAAGGUGAAAACCUAAGGUCUAACUUUCGUUUUGUGCCUUAUAUUAGAGUAUUUAACCAAAAACCACCAUAAUUCAUGGAAACGUGCCUAGAAACUACUACUAUACGUUUUUGUGCCGAAAGCUACCAUUUUUAUCCUAAUCAGUGGCAAAAAACUACCAAGUGUGAAUAUUGCUCCAUUAGCCUCUUUGAAAUGCCUUUUAUCCUAAUCCGUUAACUACUCCAUUAACCUACCUGGCGCAGCCCCGCCGCCGUCGCCAUGGCCUCGCCCAAAGCGGCGGCCGCCCCGUGCCUCGCCGUCGGCAGGCCUCCUUGUCGCCGACCACGUCGCCGUCGGAUCCCGGCGUCCUGCGAACCGCCCCACGCUGCCAGUCUCCAUGCCCUCGCACCGAGCGGCGGCCGCCCCGCGCCUCGCGGCCGAAGGCCUCCCGUCGUGGACCCUGCCGUGGUUGGAUCCCACCGCCUCGCCUCCCUGGCGCAGCCUCGUUGCCCCGUGAACCGCCCCGCGCCGUCCAUCGCCAUGGCCUCGCCUCGAGCGGUCGUCGCCAGCGUCUCGCCGUCACCAGAUCCGGCAGGCGUCGCCCUGGUUCCGCCUCUCCCGGACCUCCCCGCCGCCCUGCUCAUGCCGGAGUGCUGCGUGUAGAUCGCGUCGUCUCCUCCAGAUCCGGUCGCACCGCCGCCGUACUUCAUCUUCUCCACCUCCGGUGAAGGCCGCCGCCGUCUCGAUCUCUUUCUCCGGUGACGGCAAACUUAACGGUGCUGACUUUUCCGUCCUGACAUGUGGGCCAACCCUGUCAUAAUGAGUUUAAACGAGCCAAAUGAGGCGUUUUGCAGACUUGAUUGUUUUUAGUCACAGAUUAGCAAAAAAAAAUUGAUAGUUUUUGGCGCAAAAACGAAUUGUGAUAGUUCCUGGGCACGUUGGCGUGAAUUGUAGUAGUUUUUGAUUAAAUACUCCUCAUAUUACCUUGAUGAAGGUAUUGUUUCGAGAGCUCGGUCUUUUUAAGGGAGAAAACCUAAGAUCUUGGAUCGGACGACGAUGACGCUUGUGCACCGAUUUUUUUUUAAAGGCAUCAUUUUUUAGGAUGGUUUGAGUGUCGCUGCUGCUGAGAAGAGUUGUUCACUGUGACGAGUAGUUGAAAAUGCUCUUACUAUUACAUUUUUCUUUCAAACACGUUACAGUUUACUCCCACCUCAAGUAGUUCCGAGCUACUGUACGUAGUAGCCACACACAUGGAGCGACUCACUCACCUCCAACCAAUUUAACUUUCGUGAAUCUUUGAUCGCUUUUCAUUUGGCCCAGCUCGACGUCACGCGGAUGUCCCCGAUGGAUCUCGCCGGCCACACGCCCCUCGACGACGACGAGAUGAGCAGCGUGUGAUCCUCGUCGCCCCGUCCAUCCAACCGAAGAUAAGACGCCCACUCCCUCCCCUCCACAUGGCACCCACCCUCCAAUCCCUUACUUAUUCCCGCCCCCCUCACUCCUCCAUCCCCUAGCUCCACCUCUCAUCCGCUCCUCAGCCACACCUAGAGCAUCUUAGCUCCAGCUAGCCACCAAUGGCCGCCGCACUGAGCCUCCGCGCGCCCUUCUCCGUGCGCGCUGUGGCGCCACCGGCGCCCCGCGUGGCCCUUGCGCCCGCGGCCCUCAGCCUCGCCGCCGCCAAGCAGGUGCGGGGAGCCAGGCUCCGCGCGCAGGCGACGUACAAGGUGAAGCUGGUGACGCCCGAGGGCGAGGUGGAGCUGGAGGUCCCCGACGACGUCUACAUCCUGGACCAGGCCGAGGAGGAGGGCAUCGACCUGCCCUACUCCUGCCGCGCCGGCUCCUGCUCCUCCUGCGCCGGCAAGUUGGUGUCCGGCGAGAUCGACCAGUCCGACCAGAGCUUCCUCGACGACGACCAGAUGGAGGCAGGGUGGGUGCUCACCUGCCACGCCUACCCCAAGUCCGACAUCGUCAUCGAGACCCACAAGGAGGAGGAGCUCACCGCAUAAGCUGCUUACCCUGCCUCUCUUUGCAACAAGAUCGAGCUGAUAUCAUAUUAUCUCCCAUCAUGCAUGCAUGCAUGGAUAUCGCCAGAUACACCGAUUUGUUUGUGCUCGAAUGAAUUGCUCGAUGCAUGGUUUGCUCCAGUAAUAAUGUCUUCGAAUUACUACCUUUUUGUACCGUAAGAUAUACUACUGUCGUAAUACUAGCGUGUACUUAAUUCAACGUACUGAAAUGAAUCCUGAUGGCUGAGGUGUCUCUCUGAUUAAUAAUAUCUUCUUUUUUACUUAAGAUAAGAGACUGCUGAAUGUUGGUUGCUAACGGUGGUGGUUGAUGUUGAAGUUUUGUUGCUGCAAGUUGAUUGCUUCGCCGCGUUAUGCCUUGCCUUGUUUCUCAUUUAUGUAUUUUUGAUGAUGCAUCGUCGCACUAGGUAGCUCUUGAAUUGUGUUUGGGGGCACCUUGAAAUUAAUAAACAGUAAGGUAGGUCACAAUGUCUUCAACCCCCUUUCUAGAAACCACUCUAACAUCAAAUAGAAUAUUACUCUAUUGAUUAGUACAGAGAUGCUAUAUACACUUUGUCACAGUUUGUACAGAGAUUGUAGGUGAAUGCAAUUGAAUUAAACCAUAUGUGACAUGCACCGUGAAGUCGAAACCUUGCAACAUAGUGUCAGAAAUAACAAAUCGAUGUCUUACUUCAUUAGAUGUGGAACCAUCUACCCUCGUUGUUGAUCAUCAUAAUGGUUUUAUAAACCCCCAACAUGUUGUGUUUUAAAACGAUUGUACCAUGUUCUUGUUUCGACUGCCGGGGGGAGGGCUCGUGAUGACCUACUCUUUCUCAAGUUAUCAUGUUAGUCACUUGGAUGACUUAGGCCCUGUUUGGAACUAUAAUACUCCCUCCGUUCCAUAAUAUAAGUCUUUUUAAAGAUUCCACUAAAAAACUACAUACAGAUGUAUAUAAACAUACUUUAGAGUGUAGAUUCACACAUUUUGCUCCGUAUGUAGUCCACUAGUGAAAUCGCUUAAAAGACUUAUAUUUAGGAACGGAGGGAGUAGAUUAUAAUAAUCUAGAUUAUGAAGAUAGAUUAUAUAAUCUGGUUUAUAAAAAUAAUCUAGAUGGACAUGUUUGGAGGCCGGAUUAUAUAAACUGUAAUCCAGAUUUUACAUUGCAUAAUGACCUGUCUGCCCUCUGUUUAAAAAAAAAAAAGGGUGGCGGUGGUAGGAAUGUAAUUAUCUCCAACUUUACAAGGGUAAUAGAUCAUUAGCAAUCCAUAAUCUGAUUUUAGCUGGUAUAGACUAGAUUAUGAGUUUUUAAUAAUAUAUCCAUCUAGUUUUUAUAAUCUACACCAUAAGCUGUCCUGUUUGAAGACAAAAUAGAUUAUAGAAACUGGAUUAUAUAAUCUGGAUGGUUCCAAACAGGGCCUUAGAUGGAGAUAAUGCACACCAUUGAAAAAAUUAUACUUAUAGAUAGGGUCACUUUAGUGGCUGGAAUAGUCUCGGACCUGUCACUCGUACUUCGGUCCAACAACGUACAUGCCAUUGCAAUUUACUGAGCAGGGAUUGCCGCCCGCCACUGAUUUUCUAGUCCCACAUUGGCCAUGGGGAAACCUUUUCAGUGGCGGGCGGUCGGGUACAACCUACCACUGGCAGUGAAGUUGUCACUGGCAGGCACCGGUUUCCUCCAACCAUUAGUGCACCACAUAUGUAAUUUUCUAAUUUCCUGCAUUUGUUUUUACAUUUUAGUGUGGUAUUCUUUUGUGACUUUGUUACUGUAUGAGAAUUGUUUGACCUUUGUAGUAUCUUUAUUUGCUAUAUUUUAGACAUUUUAUUAAUAAAGUUGUAUUUAAUUGAAUAUAAUUAUAUUUUUUGAACUACAACUAUAUAUUUUAAAUUACUUUCAAAGGUUCGAAGACAAAUAUUUAUGUCUCGUGAAACAAUAGUAUUGUUUCACCAAUAUUUGAGCAGUUUUUCAGCAUAUGUAGUUCAUAUUUAAUUUAUGUCCAUUAGAUAAACUAAAAAUGCAUUUAAUGCCCCAAAUAUAUCAUAUAAACCUAGAAACGCAUUUAAUGCCCCAAAUAUAUCAUAGAAAACUAGAAUAGUCCUGAAUUUGACCAAGGAACUUGUAAUGGUGUAUACCAAAAAUAAAAAAAGUUUCUGUUAAAAAAUGAUGAAAAAAUUGUGUUCCCAUUCAAACCCAACAUUUUCCCUUAGAAACGUUGAUACUUCCGUGGAGACUGUUAUUUCUACGUGAAGUGCAUCGGAUUUUUUCUGUGAGUCUCUAAUUUUGUUACCACACCUUCGGUUUCAUAUCAUGACACCAUGCAAAGUUCCAUCAUUUUCAAACUGAAUUUACAUCUAUGUAUAAAAAAAAUCAAUACUCUUAAUAGCUAGAAAUUGAUCUGAUGCUUAAAAAUAGCAAAUCAACCCAAAAGGUGAUAAAGUCUAUCAUGAGUCUUUAUGAAGUAAAUUCAACCCCACAAAAGGUGGAAAUUAAAUUCUACCCCUAAAGCAGUAAAGCAAACAUAUUGCAAAAAAUGCAAAAAAGUAGCGUGCGACCAUAAACACCCUCCAUUGAUUGAUUUUGGUCACAUUCCCGCGAGUGAGUGGGACAUGCCCGCACCUUCAACCUGCAAAUGUGGUUGCCUUAUCCCCCAUUGUCGACCUCUCCCAUCCGACUCUACCCAAUCCCUAGCUUGCAAUCACCAUUGCUGCACCCGUCGUUGUCGCCGGCGAGGGAAUCAUCGUCUUUUUCAUGGGUUGUCAUUGUUGCAACAACCCCGGUCAGCGUGGCCGAAAUGCCCACCCCAUGGCCUCCUCCACCAGCAAUGGUGGCCUAACCCGCUGCCACUAGCCUCCUCUUCCUCCAAGCCCGAUGCCUUUAACUCUCCCCAUGUCUCCUUGCGCGUCGGUGGCCCCAAUCUCCUGGUUGUAUUUUGCAAUUGCAAAGGACAUUGUAUUCGUUGUGAGAUACUUAAAUCUGUUGAAAGGAUAUCGAAUUCUAUAAGCAACAUGCUUCUUGCUUGUGGAAUGUGCAGGCUAUUCUUUCAUGGAAAAUUUGGUCUUAGGAUACUUGGGGAUAGGAAAUAGAGAAUUAAUCAAGGUAGAUUGUUGUUAAUCCAUUUUGCUUCAUAUCCUUCUAUUGAUGUAUGAUUAGCUCGUUCUUUCUAGACUACGCCAUAUACAUCAUUUCUUUAGCAAAUUUAUUUACUCCUGCUUGCAUAACUAUGUCGUAUGCAUCAUUAUGCUUAGCUCCUGCUUGCAAGAUUACUUGAGGAUAAUAGGAAGCAAUUAUGGUUUCAGAAUAAACCAAUCAGAAUAAGAAACACAUCCUCUAUACUCACAUCAUCUUUUAUACCUCAAUGCUUGUAGGUGUAGUGUUUUUUGCCCCAUGCAAAUUUGUGUUACGUCAUCUUUUAGAUACAAAUCAUGGUACCCUUGUUCCUGUCUUGACAUCAUGGUCAUGUUUUAAAAAAAGCAUUUUCUUAUUUAUGUUACACCCCACAUGUAUGUAUACAUAUAUUUCUUUUUUAUGUCUCUUUGAAGGUUGUUAGUGCCACAUGUAGGUGGGGUUGUAUUUUUUUAUUGGUGAAAGUUGUUGGUUCUACAUGUUGUGUCACCUUAUAUAAGGUGUAUUACACUUUAAAUAGUAAUGUGCAUAUCUCCAAAAUUUGUAGGGCUUCAAAAUGAGUGCCAAAAUUCUGGCGAAAUGUUGAUUUAUUUCCAUUUCACCACAUUUUGAGCACUCAAUAUUUUCAAUUUUUUUAGCAAAACUAUGCCCAACUUUUCCAAUGAUUCAUAAUUGUUUACCCUUAUUAUUUUAUAGAUGUACUGGCUAUACUAUAGUGUAUAAAUGAUGCGACGAACUAUGUGUUUUCUAUUUAAUUUCUCAACAUGAAUGUAUGCAAUCAACCAUGUAUACCCAUGAUGUGGUAACAUCAACGUAGGUGUGUGCCACAGGUGCUUAUCAACUCUAAGGAAUUCUACGUAGAUCUUGACGAGAACUUUCCACAGAGGAUUGUACGUUUUAAUUCAACAUGUGUUGUGGAUGCUGAAUUGCUCACAUAUAUAAAAUUACCCAAAAAAUGUCUAUUUUUCAUAUUUCUCCAUGCAUCCCUUGUUAUGCAAGGCUCACUUCCUACAUAAAGUGAACGUGCCAUAGAGGAGAAGGUUACAUUUGAGCUCAAGAUGAUCAUGUUAAAAAAUGGCACAACCUUCAACCUUACGGUCACCAACGAGGCACACGGAACCUUUCAGUUGCCCAUGUUGAAGAGGGAUUGCAACCGAAUAAAUGAUGCAAAAUGCGAAGGCAUUCUUGUUUUUUUAGCGAAGGCGUUCUUUGUCGUUUCUUGGCGAACAAGAUGAUGAUGACAACAUCUAUAUGUGGUUCACACCGCCCCCACCACCAUAGUUGUUCUUGGUGGAAGGAUUCGGAGUUCAUAGGCAUAGUUUUAUCAUGCACUUCAUUUAAUGCAUAUGUUAUAUCUUUUUAUAAUCAUCCAAAUUUAUUCCUCAAAUAACGGCUAUAUCAUUUAAAAUUAAAAGAGAAAUAGAGUUUAGGGGACUAGAAUCCCAAAUAGAAGAGGGUCUAUAGGUAAAACUAGUCUUUGCUAGAGAAUCUGCUAUUUUGCUUCCCAAAGCAAUGGGCAAAAGAUGUGCCAGCAAAGUCCAUCACCAGAAAAUAGCAUUCCACGAUAGUGGCUGCAUCUGGCUCGAAAUUAUUCGUAUGCCAGUUCACAACCUCCACAACUAGGAUACCCAUGAUGUUUCGAUAAUCACAUUAGGUUUCCAUCACAUUAUUGCACACAAUGUUUCCAGCCAAACGAGCCCUUUGCGAAUGGCACUUAACUCUAUCAAAUCGGCACUACUGACAUGAGGCAAAUACCAUGUAACAGUGAAUGACACUUAACUCUAUCAAAUCGGCACUACUAACAUUAGGCAAAUACCAUGUAGCAGUGAAUGGCACUUAACUCUAUCGAAUCGACACUAUCGACAUGAAGCAAAUACCACAUAGCAGCGAGAGAAAGUUGCCUUUGUCAUCACGUACAAUAGCUCCCAUCGCACUCGAUUGUGUUUCAUAACGGAAAGAAGCAUCCACACUAACAUUAACACUUCCCAUGUUAGGUCUCUUCCAUAUAUGAUAUUUUUUUCAUACAGCUGAUUUGAAGUUACUGCUCUUAUGAAAUCUUUGGCCAAAACAUUGAUAGAAACUGCUCCCUUUUAGGGUUUUGGAGAGUGUAGGAUCGAAAGUAUGUCUAGUGGAGGGGGCUUCAUUAGACUACUUGAUAAGAUAAAAACUGAACCUUUUUCCUAAUUUUAGUUGUGGGCUAGUUUUAGCAAUUAUGACUAGUCAAGUUCAUCCUACUCAUGCAUAUCUAAGAUUAUAGCAGCGGAAAGUAAAGACAUGCAAAUGUAAUGAAGAGGGUAAGGUAGGAAGAUCAAAUGCAAAGGUCGACACGGUGAUUUUUGGCGUGGUUCUGAUAGGUGGUGCUAUCGUACAUCCAUAUUAGUGGAGACUUCAACCCACGGAGGGUAACAGCUGCGAGAUUACACAAAGGGCUCCACCCACAAGGGCUCCACGAAGAAGCGGCCUUGUCCAUUCCACCAUGGCUUACGUCCACACAAGACUAACCUCACUCACGGUAGAUCUUCACGAAGUAGGCGAUAUCCUUGCCCUUACAAACUUCUUGGUUCAACUCCACAACAUGAAGUAGGAGGCUCCCAAGCGACACCUAACCAAUCUAGGAGGCACCACCCUCCAAAAGUUAAUAGAUGCAAUAGAAGGAUGAACUCCUUGCUCUUGUGCUUCAAAAGAUAGUCUCCUCAACACUCAAUCACUCUCUCAUAGAUUUUGCAUGGGUAGGAGAGAUUGAUCCCAUGGAAAGCAACUUGGGGAGGCUAGAGAUCAAGUUUCAAAUGGUUGAAUUGGAAUCUCUUGAUCUUAACACAUGCAUGAGUAGGUGGCUUUCUCUCAGAAAUAUGGAUCUGGCAAGUGGGUGUGUGUUCUCAGUGCUUCCUUUUCGAAUGCGAGGAGGUGGAGGGGUAUAUAUAGACAUCUCCCAGAAUCCAACCAUUACCACAUUAUUUCCCAAUGCGGUGACACCGAAAGGAAUCUUAGUGGUACCAAGUUGCAAUAAAUGUGGCACCUUUUGAAUUCUUGGUAGACCAAUAUAUGAAUCUCGAUGGUAAAGAUACGAUGAUCUAGACCAGUUUCCAAAUCUCGGUGAGACCAAUUCCAAUCUCGGAAAUUCUGAUUGUUGGAAUUUUCUCAACAGAAAGUUGGUCAUUGAAUCUCGGUGGCUCUCAUAUGAAAGUUUGUGGUACCGCCAGAUUAGAGUCUGGCAACGGAUCCAUUGGGUGGAAAAUUAGUAGGGCCAAGUGGAAAAUAUUGGUGGCACCGAUUUUGCUCGUUUAGCUUUGGACAGGGAUAUCUUGUGGGAGAAUGGCUUAGUAGUUUUGGUGGCUAUCUCUAAGCACUUGAGCAACCAAUUCACCGUAAUACCUCACCCCCUUUAAAUAGUAUUGGCCUUCCUAUGGACUCAAAGUGAUUUAUCACAUAUGUAAAAUGUAGAGUCUUCUUGCUUGAAGCUUGAGCUAAUCCUAUUCCUUCCUUCAUCAAGGGGUUUCUCCACACAAUCCUUUAGCCAAGGCAUCUUUGAACUUUUCUAAAAUAUACUUGGAUAACAUCAUUAGUCCAAUGAUGCAUAUGUUGUGAUCAAUUAUCAAAACCACCUUAGGGAGCAAUUGUGCUUUAAAUCUCUCCCUUUUUGGUAACUGACGACAACAUAUAGAUCAAAGCUUCAACAAAAGGUAUAAUCAAUUAUUAGCAUCGACGCUUUGAGAAGUACGUGGAAAGCAAGAGAUGCCCCUAUAUUUGUGCAUUAUUUUAUAUUUGCAUUGGAAUGCAAAUGCACAAUCGAUUAGGAUCAUGGGUCACUCUUCCAUGUCACAUAUAGCUUGGUGGUGCGCAUAAAUGAUAUGAAUAAAUAGUAAUGCACAUAACACCAAACAAGCAAGUGAAUGAUCAUCAAGUAGAUGGCUCCAAGGUAAUAACGUGGUAGCAGCAAUCAAACAAAGUAUAGAUCAAACACUUCUCCCAAACACAUAAAGUCAACCAAAAGACCAAAAAAUUGAAAAACCAAAUGAGACCAAAUAAAAUGCAAACCUCUCCCUCUCGAAGACUAUUUGAUCUAUACACUUGUCCUCCUUUGGCGACAAGUUACCAAAAAGUUUGAAGGUCUAGAACUAAUUAUCUCUCUGGCUUGAACUCCUCCGGUAGAUGAUGAUGGAGUGGAUAGGAGAGCGUCGAUGAAGGCUUUUGCACAUGUCCCUGGAGCUGGAGGUGUUGACACUAGAGGUGCAGGAGCAGGAGUUGAAGGUGCUAAAGCUUGAGCUGAUGAAGAUGGUCUUGCUUCCAGAACUGGCAUAGUUGUUGACCUAGUCUGGGUCGUGAACUGAGUAGUAGUAGGAAGAGGCGACUCUUCCUCAUCACUUCUAGAGCGGGAUAUAUGCACAGAAUCAACUUUAUGCUGGAGCUGCUCAACAGUGGUAGUCAACUCCGUUACCUUAACCUCCAAGUCAUGGAAUUUUGUCUCCACGAUCCUCUCAAGUCUCUUCUGGUUCAGCAAGAUCUCGGAAAUUUUCUUCUCCAUCCCUUGGAUGGUACUGACCAAGAAUGACAUCUGCUCAUCUCUGGUCCUGAGCUAUGCGGUUGAAGCUGGAGCAUUCCUAGCAGCCGCUGUCUCUGCUACCUCUGCUGCCGCUUGAGCUGUAGCUGAGCUAGGAUGGCUAGGGUCCAUCACAACUUCAUUAUCUUCAAACUCUGGCUGAAGUGGCAGGUGGGGACGAUCAAGUAGAUAUGCAUGCUUGCCAAUCUUGGCAUUGAUGAGCAUCUGAAUAUAUGGAGCAUAUCCACAGGAUUUCUUUUGAUCUACAGCAGUCUUCCUCACAUGCUCAACUAUCAAGUCCAUCAUUAUGAACCGGAAGUGGGUGUCUAGAUGAUCCAACAUGUUGAUGGAAUAACCUCUAAUAAUCUUAUCCUCUCCUGAUUUGGGCAUGAGGGUGUAUCUCAUAAUGGUGUUUGUAGUAGGUAUCCCUGCUUGCAAGAAAUAGACAAAUCCAAACUUGUACAUCUGCACAUAUUUAUGAGGCACUGGCUUGUACAUUUUGCCGUAGAGUUAUGAUUCAUCUUGGGUUCUGAGUACACAUCCAGAUCUCCUUCUUGUGCCUUUGGAUCACCAAUUGUAGUGGCUCACUCAUACAUAAUAGACUCAUACCGGUGACCUUCAGUCAUCCAUACAAUCCUUCCGUCAGAACAGAAAUUAGCGAUGGAAUAGAAUUGCAUGAUCAUCUCAUCAUUCCAAGCAGUCAUCUCUCUGCCAACAAAAUAUUUAAUAUCGACUAGCCUGAAGUUUUCUCUCACAUGGGGAAAAUAAUGCUCACUGGCCUUGAUAUAUUCCCAAUGGACAUAUCUCAUAUCGCUGACUGCAAGACUCUUAUCAUGAAACACACUCUCAUAGAAAUCUUGUUGCUCCUUUAUGUGAAAGCGGGGAUCAACAACAGUUCUCCGUCUCACAUCAUAUGGAUCAACUGAUCUCCACUUACUCACUCCUUGAUCUCUCCUCUUUUGUAUGUCCUGAGCAGUUGGUGAGCAACAUUGUGUAGUGGCAGAUGAGCUCAAAGCUUCAUUAGAACAGGGGCACCCUCUUCCUCUUCUACCGCAAACUCUCUGGAUGCAGAGCCUUUGUUCCUCUGUGCUGCAGGAAUGUCCUUGGUAGUCUUCUUGGGAGCUACAGACUUCUUAGGAGUUGAGAACUUCUUGGGAGCAGAAGGCUUCUUUGGCAUAGCAUCAACCAUCGGCUUUUUCUUCAUAGGAGGAGGGACCUUAUGUGGAAUUUAUUCCUCCUCCUCAUCAACAACUUCUUCUGGGUCUUCAUAUAUUGAGGUUGGCCUUCCAAUAACAUAGUCAAUUCUCUUUCUUGCUCUCGUAUGACAUGGCUUCUUUGCAAGCCUAGCUUCUGGAGCUUUCAUGUCAGAACGUAUGGCAUAUUCCUUCCUCACAGUCUUCCUGACUGCGGUCUUAUCUUUCUGCUUCUCAGGAACAGAUUCCUCUGGAAUAAAGUCAACAUCUUCUUCAUCCGAAUUGAUCUUCCUUCUGGACCUGGUAGCUGCCUUGGACAAGCUAUGGGAGCUAGGUGUCCCUGGGUCAGAAGGUGUCCUCCUAGGACUAGUGCCUGAAUCCAUCUCAGCACUUGGCUCAGUGAAGUUGUUCUGACUAUCCUCUGAUCCUGACAUACUGUCACAGAGCCAAGUAGACAAUCAAACCCUAUGAAUAGAUAUACAAGAUCUAGAAGGGAUGAGCAUCACAAAAAUCAGAAGUUUUGGAAAAAUCGAACUCUGAAAAGUUAGGUUUAACAUUUAGCAAAAAAGGAUUUGUGUUCCAUCGAGACAAAAAUUUCGGAGGCACCGAUACUGACGUACUAAUUAACAGAAACUUGGCACCCUUUUCCGUUCCACUGAAAAGGAGAACUCACUUUCACCGAGACCGUUCUCGGUAGCCCUAAAAAAUCGUUAAGACCAACUUUUCUAAAUCGGUGACACCGAGAUUCAAUCUUGCGGAUGGCUAACCCUAAGAAUUCCAUUGUUCUCUAAUCUAUGGAAUUUUUCUUCUAGAUAGGAUGAGUGUAGAAGUGGACAAAAUUCAUCAAAACCUUAAUGCACAAGAAUCAGAAUUGGAGCGCAUAAAGGGGUCGGAUCCGUACCCUAGCUUGGUGAUGUAUCCGCUACGGCAACGACGACGGUGAAGAUUCCUGUUGACAACGAAGACUCCGGUGGUGAGGGCGCACGUGAGAAUUAAGGCGAUGUCCACGGGACUAGGGCGCGGCAUCGAGGAUGUGCGUCACGCGACGUUUGAAGUGAUUUUCCAAUCAUCGGGUCCGUGAGAUAUAUAUAUCUCCUAGCUGUCGGUGACACCGAUAUGGAAUUUUUGGUGCCACCGAGUUCCACAACUGUCAACUGAAAGUGAAAAUAGGUGAGGCCGGAAAGAACAACUCAGUCAUACCAAGUUAAGAAAACCUGAUCAACCCUAGGCUUCGGUGGGACCGAGAUUUUGUGGUUGGUCACACCGAGAUGCAAUUUGGGAGGUUUUGGGAUUCAGCACUUGUCGAGACGGAUCUAUCAAGCACUUGUGUCCCUAAAGUUCUUGCUCAAAUUUUGUGUUGUAGCAUGAAUAGAAUUUGAGACGAGAAAGCAUAGAUAGCUAGAGGGAAGUACUUAGGCAUUCUUGUAUAUCCAAUUGGCCAAAUGAAAUAGAAAGACAAAUAACAACAAUUGGAUAUCCUCGAAUGAGAAAAAUAUGCAUACCAACAUGCUCACACAAUAAGGUGUCAAAUAAAACAUGGUGAACAUGCACGAACAUUCUAGCAUCUAUCAAGCACUUUGGCGAUAAGGAAUUCAUCUAUAUAUGAGUAUAUUGACAUAGGAGCCAAGUAAGAGUACUUGACAAUAGGUCAUACUCAUCGAUUAAGAACAAGUGGGGUUAUCACUUUUACAUAAAACAUUAAUGUGCUCACAUCAUUUAGGAGACGCUUAUACUCAAGUCUUAGAGUAAAGCUCCUCCUAGAUGUGACAACCCCCUAAGAGGGAUAAACUAACCUUAGGUUUUGUAGUAGAAGAUUUCAAGUAGGUGUAGUAGUGGUGCAUGCUCAUUGUUGAUAAAGAUCAUCUUUGAGUUGGGAGCAAUCCUAGUUGUUUCUUACCCUUCUCACCUACAUGGGUUAGUCCCAAAGCAAAAGGAAUGUAUGCAAGAAUAUCUAUGGACAUGGCAUGAAGUGCAUGAGAGGUGAUGUAAAAAUAUGCAUUAAUUACCUUGUCCUUUGCUUACCUUUGAGGUAAUGUGUGACUCCUUGAACUAAUGCAUAUGGUUGGAGUUGAUUGCAUAUAGUUCUUGCCAAAAUGAAUAAGAGUGAAUUUGAUUGGUAGAGUCACCCCCUCAAGAAGUUUCUAGUUCUUCAUCUUAGGGACCCACAUCAACUUGAUGGGGAUCCUUGGAGUUGUGAUAGCAGUAGAUGAGGUAGUGUUAGUUGUGUCCAUGGGAUUCCACUCGACCUUGGCUUGGGUUUCUUCCUCAAAUGAUUCAAUCUCCUCUUGAAGCUUUCCCUUGCCCUUGUGAUCUUGUGGUUGAAGGUCAUGUUGAGAGCUUGUUCCCUUGGGAAGAGUAGGAUCAUACUUUUCCUCUUGAGGAACGAACUUCGGUAUGGGAUAUAGACCUUCUUCCCAUUCAUCUCCGUUGGCAUUGAGGUAACCAACACCGUGCUUCUUCCGAUGUCCUCCUAGCUUGCGCAUAAUUUACUCGAAUUGCUAACUUUCGGCAAGACUCUUGAAGACACCUCUCUCUUCCUUUCCAUAAAUCAUUUUCUUUCUCAAGUGUAACUUGGCUAAGAGAAUCAUUAGUGGAAUCAAGAGAGCUACUAGAAACAACAUCAUUUGAUCUAACUUUAGCAUUUUGUUACUAGAUGAAGAAACUUUCUUGCAUUUGUUACUAGUGUUCUUAGGUUUGACUUGUGGAAUAAAAGUAGAUAAGAUUAAUCAUUUGAAUAGAUAAGAAUAACUCUUCUUCCGAAGAUCAUCAUUGAUUGCUCUUAGAAACUCAUGAUCUUGUCCUAAAUUUAGCUUCUCGAAGCAUAACUUCUCAUGAGUUCUUGCAAGCUCCCUUUGAUCUUCUAGAGUAGUUUCACGAGCUAACUUAAGAGUGUUAAAUACUUUAGUUAGUUGUUGAGUAUCUUUCUUAUCAUCAUCAUUCGAUUUCUCUUGACUAGCAUGAUUAUGUUCAAGUUCAUUUUCAAUGUUCUCACUAGUCUUAUCAAGGAGCAAGUCAUCUCCUCCUAACAAGUCAUCCUCAUCACUAUCAGAGUCAAAGUAAUUGGGGUGUGAUACCUUGGGGCCUUUUUCCAUGAAGUUGUUUCCAGUCCCUUCAUUUGGUGAAUCAAAUAAGUCAUAGGAGUUGGAGGAAACGAGUUCAAGACCGACAACACCUUCAUCUUGACUAUAGUCAGAGUUGGAGUGGUAGCUUCUCUCAGAUUGGUUGUCAGACUCGGAGCCGGAAAGCCUUUCACCAACAUGAUCUUGAUGUCUUGUUCUUGAGAUGCUCUUGGUGUACUUGUCCUUCCUCUCCAAUUCCUUUCCUCUCUGGGAGUGUCUUCGUUCAUAAUGAUCUUCUCUAAUCCUUCUCUUUGUGAGAGGUGACUCAUCUCUUGAGCUUCGUCUUCUAGGUGACUAUUCUCUUCUUUUGUGGGGAGCCGAGCACUCAUUGGAAUAGUGUCCUGGGUUUCCAUAGUUGUAGCAGUAUCGGUCACGACUAGACGAACGCUUCUCAUCAUGUAUUGAGCUUGAGCUUCUCUCCUUGCAUCUACUUUUGUAGAACUUGUUCAAUUUUAUGACCAUGAGGUUGAUCUCUUCAUUCGUAACAAAGUUGUCAUUUGAAGUAUCUUGAGUAUAACUUGAAACUCUGUAAGUACCGCUUGACUUGUUGUGCAACUCAUCUUUGUCCUUGAGUGACAUUUCAUGAGCAACAAUCCUUCCAAUAGCUUCAGUUGGCUUGAGAUCCUUGUAGUUUGGCAUCAUUUGAAUUAAUAUACACACGGUGUCGUAUCUUCCAUCCAAGGCUCUAAGUAUAUUCUUGAUGAUGAAUUAGUCGGUCAUCUCUUCACUUUCUAAGUCGGCAAUCUCAGCGACUCCCUCACCAUCCUUCAUCUUGAACUUGUCAAGAUGACUUUGAGGCACAUCCAACUUAGAUUCCAUGACAAAAUCAGCACCUUCGUGCAGAUGAAUCAAAGUAUCCCACGUGCAGAUGAAUCAAAGUAUCCCAAAUUUUCUUUGCAUUCUCAAGGCUUGAGAAUUUUAUUGCAACAUGUUCAAUUCUUCCGAUGUCGCAUCACGAUCCGGUUCCCUUGCUUCUCCAAAUAAAUCACCUUGCACACCAACACGAAUAACAGCCCAAACGGUAGGAUUAUGACCAAGAAUAUGCAUUUUCAUCUUAUGCUUCCAACUAGCGAAGUUUGUACCAUCGAAAUAUGCACCUCUACAGUGAUAAUUUCCCUCACUAGGCGCCAUACUCUCCUAGGUUGUGAAACCAAUGCAAUGGAGGCCAAAACUUUGAUACCACUUGUAGGAUCGAAAGGAUGUCUAGAGGGGGGAGGGUGAUUAAACUACUUGACAAGAUCAAAACUUAGCCUUUUCCCAAUUUUAGUUGUGGUCCAGUUUUAGAAACUACGAGUGGUCAAGUUCAGCCUACACAUGCAUAUCUAAGAGUAUAGAAGCGGAAAGUAAAUACAUGCAAAUGUAAUGUAGAGGGUAAGGUAGGAAGAUCAAACACAAAGGUUGACACAACUAUUUUUGGCGUGGUUCCGAUAGGUGGUGCUAUCAUACGUCCACAUUAGUGAAGACUUGAACCCAUGGAGGGUAAUGACUGCGAGAGUCCACGGAGGGCUCCACCCAUAAGGGGUCCACGAAGAAGCGGCCUUGUCUAUUCUACCAUGGCUUACAUCCACACAGGAGACAAGACUAGCCUCACUCACGGUACAUCUUCAUGAACUAGGCGAUCUCGUUGCCCUUACAAACUUCUUGGUUCAACUCCACAACACGAAGUAGGAGGAUCCCAAGCGACACCUAACCAAUCUAGGAGGCACCACCCUCCAAAAUGUAAUAGAUGCGGUAGAAUGAUGAACUCCUUGCUCUUGUGCUUCAAAAGAUAGUCUCAUCAACACUCAAUCACUCUCUCACAUAUUUGGCAUGGGUAGAAGAGAUUGAUCUUGUGGAAAAAACUUGGGGAGCCUACAGAUCAAGUUUCAAAUUGUUGAAUUGGAGUCUCUUGAUCUCAACAGAUCAGUAGGUUGCUCUCUCUCAGAAAUAUGGAUCUCGCAAGUGGGUGUAUGUUCUGAGUGCUUCCUCUAUGAAAUUGAGGAUGUGGAGGGGUAUAUAUAGGCAUCUCCCAAAAUCCAACCGUUACAACAUUAUUGCCCAACUCGGUGACAUUGAAAGGAAUCUUGGUGGUAUCGAGUUGCACUAAAUGUGGCAACUUUUGAAUUCUCGAUGAGACCAAUAUAUGAUCUCGGUGGUACCGAUACGAUGACCUAGACCAGUUUCCAAAUCUCAGCGAGACCGGCUCCAAUCUCGGAAAUUCUGAUUCUUGGAAUUUUCAUAACAGAAAGUUGGUCACUGAAUCUCGGUGGCACUGAUAUGAAAGUUGGUGGUACCGAGAGAUUAGGGUUUGGCAAAGGAUCUCUCUGGUGGAAAAUCAGUAGGGUCGAGUGGAAAAUAUUGGUGGCACUGAUUUUGCUGGUUUAGCUUUGGACAAAGAUAUAUUGUGGGAGAAUGGCUGAGUAUUUUUGGUGGCUAUCUCUAUGCACUUGAUCAACCAAUUCAUCAUAAUACCCCACCCCUUUUAAUAGUAUUGGGUUUCCUAUGGACUGAAAGUGAUUUCUCACAAAUGUAAAAUGUAGAGUCUUCUUGCUUGAAGCUUAAGCCAAUCCUAUUCCUUCCUUCAUCAAGGGGUUUCUCCUCACAAUCCUGUAGCCAAGGAAUCUUUGAAUUUUUUCCGAAAUAUACUUUGAUAAGCUCAUUAGUCCAAUGAUGCAUAUGUUUUGAUCAAUUAUCACGACCACCUUAGGGAACAAUUGUGCUUUCAGAGAGUUUCACCCCUCACAAACUGUUGUCGUUGCCACCAUAUAAACUAAGAAGCCACUACAAUCAGUUAUGAUGUUGGCAGCUCCCCUACUUUGGAUUGGUUUCUCUCUAAAACCUCAAUAGUUACAGAUCCUGACCGGUCCUCACAAACUGCCUUAUGGAUCACAUCUUUCACUCCAAGCUUUUUCCAAAUUCUAGAAGCACAACAAGAGGUGAAUAAGUAGUUAGAUAUCUUCAAACCCAACAUUGACUAGUAACAUGUAUGUGACAGCCAGUGAGCACUCCAAAGCAUGGUCGAAUUCCCCUCAGAACCUUCCAUGCAAAGGGUUUAACUUUGCGACAAACUCGAAGCCUUCAAGUAUGUUGUGUGUAAGUGUUAAACAUAAGAAAGUUGUUAAACUAAAUUGUGUUCUUAAUUUGUGCUAUAUAACUAGAUAUUGUGCCUUCUAUGAUACUACAAUUACUGUUAAACUGAAAAGCCCGCCACGACAACCAAAAAUGUUGACGUGUUCACUUGGCCUGACAAACAAUACUAGUGGCGGGCAUGUAUAAUAAACUGCCACUGGUACAAACAUUAGCAGUGGUGGACGCCCUGCCUGCCACUGAUGACUGGUUAGUAGCGACAGACACCCUUCACAAUAACCCUGCCAUUGGUAGGCAUUUUGUGUCUGCCACUGCUAGCCUGUUCUCCAGUAGUGACAAGGGUUUUCCUCCAAGACUAUAUCAUUCAUACCUAGUAUGCGUAGGAGUUAUCACCCGAUUUAAUGCAUGCAUGAUAGCAUGAAUCCUUUAGGGAUAAUUUGGAAGCAAGGUAAAGAAAAUGAGGGUAGCAAAUCCUCCCUUAUCACAUGAAUUUAAACAUCCCAUGUUAUUCACUUUAUUAAGUUGCCCCAUUUCAUUAAGUAAAAUUGUGCCCCUCAAAUUCACAAGAUUCCAAAGUUGUGGGAAUGAAAAGUACAAUGAGACGUCCAACUAAAUCAUAUAAUGUUUGUGAAUUUUGAAUCAAAGUUUUUUGAUUGUGCCACAGAAAGAACAAGAAUAUUAUUUACACUUUGUUUGAGCCAAUGCAAUUUUUCUUAUGUAAUGCAAGCAAAAUUGAAUCUGAAGGAGAAAAAUUUCCAAUAGGAUACGACUUUGGGGAUCAAAUAACACCCAUAGUAAAAAAGCAUAGGUCUAUUUAUAUCACAUCUAUAUUAUCUCACAUCUAAGUUAUGACAUCAGCGAAAGUCAAUGCUUUUCCAGCCCACCGCAUUUUCUUAUAUUUAUUUUUUUGCGACAUUUUUUCAUUCGUUUUUUUAUUGGAGCGUGCUAAAAAAUGCAAUAAGACUUGCCUAUGAAUCGAACUCAAGACUAGAUGGUGGUAGUUGAGAGCUCCCACCAGUAUAACCAUUACAUGCAUUUGAUAAAUUCUAAGCGGCAUAUCUUUAAGAAAAUACAACAGAGUUGAUAUUAGAAGAAAUUUUCAAGAAAAAUGUAAAAAAUUUUAAAUGUAAAAUAUUUCUGAAAACCAAAGAAAACUUGAAAUUUCCAAAGUAUUUUUCAAAUAUAAAUAAAGUUUGUAAUGCCAAACAUUUUUUGAAAAAUUAGAAAACAAUUUGAUAUUCCGAUUUUCUUAAAAAAGAUGACACUUUUUGAAAAAUUCCCGAACAAUUUAUAAAUCAGGUACACCUUUUAAAAUUCCAAUUCCUUUAAAAAACAUGGUUAAAUGAAUAUAUUUUUAUUGUAAUCAUAACUUUUCAACAAAUGUUUUUUUGCACCAUUAAAAGAAUGAGGGUGCAAAGAAUGUUCAUGUAGUUCACAAGAAUGUCCGUGAUGUUUAAUAAAAAUGUAUUAUACAAUGGAAAAUAAUCAUAACAUUCAAAUAAUUAUUAUUUACAAUCUUUUAAAAGAAACUUCACGCAUUUAGAAAAAUCAAAACAUUUUCUAGAAAAAAUAUUUGUCCGAUGUAAAAAAAAUGUUCACGUAUUUUUUUAAAAAUCAUACAAUUUAGAAAAAUGAUUUAAAAAAUGUUUACCAUGUAUUCUAAGAAUGCUUGGGCCUGUACUUGGAAAAAAAUAUUCAUCAUGCAUUUUUAAACAAUGGUAUGUGUGUUAAAAAAUGUUCCUAGUGUAUACAUGAAAAUGUACAAUGUGCAUUACAAAAGUUGACAUGUAUUUGUGAAAGCUAAAUUGCUCCCUAAGGUGGUUUUGAUAAUUAGUCACAUCAUAUGCAUCAUUGGACUAGUGAGUUUAUUCAAAUGCAUUUAAAAAAGUUCAAAGAUGCUUUGGCUAUAGGAUUCUGUGGAGAUACCCCUUUGAUGCAAGGAAGGAAUAUGAUUGGUUCAAGCUUCAAGCAAGAAGACUCUACAUUUUAUACUUUGUGAGAAAUCACUUUGAGUCCAUAGAAAAGCCAAUACUAUUAAAAAAGAGUGAGGUGUGAUGAUGAAUUGGUUGCUCAAGUGCUUAGAGAUAGCCACCAAAAAUACUGAGUCACUUUCCGACAAAAUAUAUAUGUCCUAAGCCACAUAAGCAAAAUCGAUGCCACCAACAUUUCCUACUCGUCCAUACCGAUUUUACACUUAGACAAAUUAUAUGCCAAACCCAUCAUCUCGGUACAACCAACAUUCCUAUCGGUGCCACCGAGAUUUGGUGACCAACAUUCUGUUGAGAUGAUUUCAAGUUUCGGAUUUUUUGAGUUUGAAUUUUGUCUCACCGAGUUUUGGAAACCAGUCUAGGUCAUCGUAUCGGUACCACCAAGAUUCUUAUAUCGGUCUCACCGAGAAUUCAAAAGUUGCCACAUUUAGUGCAACUUGGUACCACUGAGAUUCUUUUUGGUGUCACCGAGUUGGGCAAUACUGUUGUAACGGUUGGAUUUUGGGGGAUGCUUAUAUAUACCCCUCCACCUACCUCUCAUUCGUAGAGGAAGCACUCAGAACACACUUACACUUGUGAUAUCCAUUUUUCUGAGAGAGAGACACCUACUCAUGUGUUGAGAUCAAGAGAUUCCAAUCCAUUCAUUUGAACCUUGAUUUCUAGCCUUCCCAAGUUGCUUUCCACAAAAUCAAUCUCUCUUACCCAUGCCAAAUCUAUGAGAGAGUGAUUGAGUGUUGAGGAGACUAUCUUUUGAAGCACAAGAGCAAGGAGUUCAUCGUUCUACCACAUUGAUUACCUUUUGGAGGGUGGUGCCUCCUAGAUAGGUUAGGUGUCUCUUGGGAGCCUCUUACUUCGUAUUGUGGAGUUGAACCAAGAUGUUUGUAAAGGCAAGGAGAUCGCCUACUUCAUGAAGAUGUACCGUGAGUGAGGCUAGUCCUUCGUGGGCGGAAGCCGUGGUGGAAUAGACAAGGUCACUUCUUCGUGGACCCCUUGUGGGUGGAGCCCUCCGUGGACUCUCGCAGCCGUUACCCUCCAUGGGUUGUAGUCUCCACUAACAUGGACGUACGAUAACGCCACCUACCGGAACCAUGCUAAAAAUCUCCGUGUCAACCUUUGUGUUUGAUCUCCCUACCUCACCCUCUACUUUUUUUUGAUGGGAAACUGUAAGCAAAACCCCUCACAACGAGUUUUUUUUGAAAUAAUAAGAACUCAAAUUCGCGCCCGUGGGGACUUGAACGUGGGUGGCUGGGUUGUACAUCUACUCCACUAGACAAGUGAGCUAGGCUCACUUCCUUUACUCUUGCAUGUUUUACUUUCCGCUGCUAUACUCUUAGAUAUGCAUGUGUAGGGUUUACUUGACUAGUUAUAGUUGCUAAAACUGUCCCACACUUCAAAUUGGGAAACAACUAAGUUUUUAUCUUGUCAAGUAGUCUAAUCACCCCGCCUCUAGACAUACUUUCGAUCCUACAAUUUGGAAAAAUAACUAUAUAGGGGUACUGGGUUGGGAAUGAUUUGCAUGAGGAGAGUGGACAUGCAACUAUGUCGGACAUGAGCUGCAUGACUGAGUCGGGUGGGUUUACGUGUUGGGGUGGAAUGGAACUAGAUAGGGGCCGAGGCAAGUUGCGUGUUGAAAAACAAAACACAAGCUUACUUGUGCAUUAAGGGUGGACUUGCAAUUGGAAGAAGAGCUAGGUUGUGAGUGGAGGAUAGACUUACAUAUGGGACAACUACAAAUUGAGACCAAUUGCGUGUCAAUGGUUGACUUAAAACUGGGAUAAAACAAACUAUGGUUCAAGUUGCGAGUUAACGGUGGAUUUGCAACUAGGAUGAUGACAAAAAUAUAGGCUCACUUGCGAGUCAUUUGUGGGCUUGCAACUGGAAUAAAACAAACUAUGAGACUAGUUGCGAGUCGAUGUUGGACUUAUAACCGAGACAAGCAUAUAAACUAUGAUACGAGUUGAGAGUUGAGAGUAAACUUGCAAUUGAGAUGAAAAACAAAACACAUACCCAAUUGCGUGUCGAGGAUGGACUUGUAACUGAGAAAACAAAAAUAUGGGCCCGACUGCGAAUCGAGGAUGGACUUGCAACAGGGACAACAAAAAAACUAUGAUCCCACUUGUGAUUCGAGGACAAACUUGCAAUUGAGGCCCCUACAAGUACAAAGCCCUUAGUUACGAGUUGAGGUUGGAUUCGCAACUCGGGAAACUACAGGUACAGAAAGCCCAGUUGCGAGUCGAGGAUGGACUUGGAACCUUGAAAAUACGACUACAAAAAAGCCUCUGUUCCGAUUUGAGGGUGGACUUGCAACUGGGGCAACUACAUGUACAAAAAGGUCCCAGUUGUGAGUCGAGGGUAGAUUUUCAACUACGAUAACUACAGGUACAAACCUCGAGUUACGAGUCAACGGUGGACUUGCUACUAGGGUACCUAAAAUUACAACGCCUCGAGUUACGAGUCGGCGAUGGAGUUGAAGCUGGUGCACCUACAACUACAAAGCCUCGAGUUGCGAGUUGAGGAUGGACUUGCAACUAGAUUAACUACAAAGUACAAAAGAAAACCAGUUGUGAGUCAAGGGUUGACUUGCAACUAAGACAUCCACAGUUACACAAAAACCCCUAGUUGCAAAUCAAGGAUGGACUUGCAAGUGGAGCAACAAUAGGUACAAAGCCAGUUGUGAGUCGAUGGUAGACUUGCAACUUGGCCAACCACAACUACAAUACCUUCAAAAGAAGGGUGAAACUAUGAAAUUGGGAUGAAACCAACUAUGGGACCAGCUGCGUGUCGAGGGUGGACCUGGAACCGGGAUAAGAAAAAAAGUACAAGCUCAAGUUGUGAACCGAUGAUGGGGUUGAAACUCGAACAACUACAGGUUCAGUUACGAGUCGAUGAUGACUCCAAACUUGCACAACUACAAAACUAGGAGCCCAGUUGCGAGUCAUGGGUUGAUUUGCAACUAGGAUAAAACAAACUACUGGACCAGUUGCGAGUCAAGGGUGGACCUGCAACCGGCAUGAGAAACUAAACACAGUCUGAGUUGCGGCUCAAGGGUGGGCUUGAAACUGCUAUGAAACAAACUUCAUGCCUAGUUGCGAGGUCAGGAUGUACUUGUAACUGGGACAACUACAUGAAACUAAGAUAUGAGUUGCAAGUCGAGGGUGGACUUGCAACACGGACAAACUACACAAAACUACGAUACGAGUUGUAGUCGCGAGGGUGAACUUGUAACUGGGACAACUACAAAACUACGAGUCGAGUUGCAAUUCAAGUAUAUCAUUGCAAUUGGGAUGAAACAAACUACGGGCCUAAUUGCGAGUCAAGGGUGAACCUGUAACUGGGAUGAAAAACUACACAUAGACCGAGUUGCGAGUCAAGACUAGACUUGCAUCUAGGAUGAAAUAAACUACGGGCCUAGUUGUGAGUCAAGUGAGUACUUGCAACUCGGGAAAAUACACAAAACGACUACGAGUAGCGAUUCAACAGUUGACUUGCAACUCGGACAACUAAAUGAAACUACGAUAAGCGUUGCGAGUCCAGGGUAGACUUGCAGCUGGGACAACAAUAAGGCUAUGGGCUCAGUUGCGAUUCGAAGGCAAAUUUGCAAUUGGGACAACUACGAAACCAUGAGCCCAGUUGUGAGUCAAGGGUGAACUUGCAACCAGGAUGAAACAAACUACAUGCCUAGUUGCGAGGCAAGGGAGGACUUGCAACUCGGCAAGUACACAAAACUACCAUACUAUUUGGGAGUCAAGGAUGGACUUGCAACCGAAACAAUAACAAACUACGAGCCCAGUUACGAGUUGAAUGUGGACUUGCAACUAGGAUGAGAAAAACACAUAAUGAUUUAUGAGUUUAGGGUAAACUUGUAACUAGGAAAACUAAAAAUUCAUUUACGAGUUAAAGAUGGACUCUACAAAUUCUCGGUCAUGCCAAAAAAACACACAACGAAAAUGAACAAAAAAUAUAAAGGGAUCGCGCCUCCCAAGCAACGAUAAAAGUAACAUGAGAACAUGCGAGCAUAAAACAAAAUGGAACAAGAGGACGCGCGACAAGAGAGAAAGAGCUGACACGGACGCACAUGAUCGACUUUGUGCAAACAUCAAACAAAUCAGAUGAUUAUAACUUGAUAAGACAUCACUAAAUCUCAUCUAAAUAAGAUUUAGCAAAUCUAAAAAAUAUCUAGUUACACUCUCCUCUACUACACAGUCAAACUAAAAUAAACAUAUAACCCACAAAAAGCUAGUACACACAACGUAAAAGGGCACACUAAAAAAAGUCAUAUAUGACCUCACUGCUUAACGAGGAGCGAAUGAAAAACACGACACAUCAACAAUGAAAGUGAAUCAUAAGCAUAUGAAUCAGAUGAGACGUUGUUAACUCACAUUUACUCCCUCCGUACCUAAAUAUAAGUCUUUUAAUAUAUUUCAUUAGGUGUCUACAUACAAAGCAAAAUGAAUGAAUCUAUACUCUAAAACAUGUCUAUAUACAUUUGUAUGUAGUCCAUUAGUGCAACAUCUAGAAAGACUUAUAUUUAGGAACGGAGGGAGUAGAUGAGAAUUAGACGUGAGUUAACAAAAACAAUAAAAAAAGAAACCCCUGGAUCAUACCGUAGUGACCCACCAAAUGACGCACGUAGAAGUAGGUAAGUAAGUAAGUAUCUUGGAUUACCUGCGAUAGUGGGAGCAGAUAGGAGUGAAAGCUUUGAAUACUUUUGUGACAAAAUCAAGAAGCUUCUGAAGGGGUGGAUGGAAAAGCAACUGUCAACAGGAGGGAAAGAAAUCUUGUUAAAAGCAGUGGCUCAAUCCAUCCCUGUCUUCGCUAUGUCAGUUUUCUGUUUGCCUAAGGGAACUUGCAAGGAUAUCACGGAUGUAAUUGCUCAGUAUUGGUGGGGAGAUGAUGAAGAAAACAAAAAAAUGCACUGGUUCUCGUGGUGGAAACUAUGCAUCCGAAGUGUGAUGGUGGCAUGGGUUUCCGCGAUCUUCACUCUUUUAACUUGGCCCUUCUUGCGAAACAAUGUUGGAGAUUGAUCACAAGGUCGGAGUCCAUCUGUGCUCGCAUCUUGAAGGCAAAAUACUACCCAAAUACAGACUUGCUACACGCUGGACCAAAGAGCGGAUCUUCGUUCACAUGGCAAAGCUUGAUGGCGGGCUUGACUGCGUUUAAAAGAGGGUACAUUUGGCGAAUUGGUUCGAGGGAAAAUGUAAGUAUAUGGAAUGAUCCAUGGAUACCCUCAAGCCCGGACAGAAGGGUGAUAACUCCUCGGCGGCAGAUUCUGAUUUCGAGGGUGGUAGAGCUCAUUGAUCCAGUCACCGGCCAAUGGGAUGAACAAUUGAUACGAGACAUCUUUUACCCAGUCGAUGCAAACAGAAUCUUGCAGAUACCUUUAAAUUUUCAAGCAUUUGAUGACUUCAUUGCGUGGCACCUCACAAGGAAUGGUAUUUUCUCGGUGAGGAGUGCUUAUCAUGAACAAUGGUCACAUAAGCUCAGGGGUCAAUCCCUUGUGAAUUCAGUGUCCACCAGUACUAUGCAGGCAGCUAUUUGGAAGAAGCUCUGGGAGUUACAAGUGCCAUGGAAAAUACAGAUUUUCUUUUGGCGGGCGUUGCGUGGAAUUGUACCACUAAAAUCCAUUCUUGCUAAUAAGCACAUCCCUAUUGAUGGGGAGUGUCCGGUGUGCCAUAGGGGACCUGAAGACAUGCGGCAUAUGUUAUUCCAGUGUGAUUUGGCGAGAAGGUUGUGUGCUGGACUAGGGCUGAUUGAUCGUAUUGAACAAGCAGUUCAAGUGGAUCGCUCAGGGUCAGCCAUCUUAGAAUUUCUCCUACUAGAGCUGGACCAACCAAUGUCGAUCAUGUCAAGUAUUAAUGACAAAGAGGUAAUAGCGGCUGGCUGCUGGUAUCUCUGGUGGCUCCGCCGGCGACACACCCAUCAUGAUUCUUGCCCUCCAUCCUUCAGGUGGCAUACCUCAAUUCUAGCAAUAGUGGGAAAUUACAUAAAAUCUUUAUCAAAGAAGAGGGAACCGGUGGAACACAAGUGGAAGAGACCAGAGGCAAGAUUUAUAAAGCUAAAUGUGGAUGCUUCAUUCCAUUCAGAUGAAGGAUCGAGUUCUACUGCAGGUAUCUUACGAGAUGAAAAGGGUGGCUUUAUUGCAGGGUUUUGCAGAUUCAUUCCCUUUGCAGCUGACGUUGUCACGAUUGAAGCAAUGGCAAUGCGAGAUGGUUUACAUUUGGUGAACUCCUUGGGCUUUAACAGGGUAGAAGCGGAAUCAGAUUCUUUGAGCGUCAUCAAGUGUUGCCAAGGGCAAGAUCAGUGGUGGGAUGCAGCAGCGGCUGUCUUUGCUGAGUGCAUAGAUAUGGCUACAUCUAUAGGAAAGGUCAUCUUUUCUCAUUGUUUUCGUGAAGCUAAUUCAGUAGCUCAUGAGCUAGCAAAGUUUAGUUUCUGUAAUAAAGUUGAGCACAAUUGGACUAAUGAACCUCCUGAGUUCUUAGUUAGCCAAUUGAUGAAUGAUGUUUUGAUUAUUUGAGUUAAUAAAGCUAGCCAUGAUGGCCUUUCCUCAAAAGAAAAAAGGAAACGCAUGUACGCGACACUAGAUGCAGCAACAAAAUAAUCCAUGAUUAAGAUUUGAAAAAAUGUAAAACAAACAGAUGAGAGUAUGUUUUUCAUGAAUAUUAAAAAAAAUGGAAAACAAGAAAAUACAAAUAUAAAUAAAAGAAAACCAGGAAACUAAAAUACUUGAUAAUUUGAAACAAAUAAUAAAACAGAAAAAAGAAAAAGAAAAAGAAGAAACAACAAAAGUAAUGCGGCAGCCGAUAUAGGCUACAGCCCAUAUAACAAGAAGAACCUAUAGGUACGAGGGCAGCUACCUAACAUACCGUUGGCGAUCCUAAAAAAAGUGAUCCUCAAACGCAACAUUCGUUUCUUCAAAAACAGGGUUGGGGGGGGGGGGAUAACAUAGUGUAUGAAACAGAACUACUAGACGGAUGAAAAAAGCAAAUCAAUCCGUGGUUGGAUGAUUGGAGAGACAGUGAUAUCCCAGCACAUCAGGGUUUAAAUCCUGAUGCUACACUAUUUUUAAAUUUAUUUCAGGAUUUCCGACAAUAUGCUUUCAGUGGGAGGAGACAUUCCCGUCGAGGAUAAGAUGCCUACAGUGACUUUGUAAAUCUCAAGACGAUAUACUCGCUCAGUCUUUGAGAGAUGUUCAUAGGGAUAAGAUGUGUGUAUGUUCGGUUUAGGAGUUAAAUCUGAGAUAAGUAUUUUACAUCUAGAUGUGAAAUAGCAAUUUCAAAAAUUCAUAUGAAAAAUCUCUGAAUGAAAAAGACUCAUUAACUUAGAAACUCCAUGCAAAAAUACAAGGCUAACUUUUUUUCUCUUAAAUAAAAAAGAAAAAUAGAGAAAAAUGACGGAGGAUAACACUUGGCAGUGGGCGGGUGAAACACAUCACAAUUUUAUUUUCAAAUUGAUCUCUAACCAGGAAAAUACCCCGCGCAUACAACCAAGACCACGCACUCACCCCAUCGCAUGGCCUCCACACGCCUUGUCGAUAUCCAUGGUGGCAUCUAGCGCCGGCCGGGUGGCACGGAUCCCCCUUCACUCCCUCAGCGUGUGAACGUCGUCGCUCCAGCCCAACCGUUGCUCGUGUUCAGGAUAAGCUGCCCAGCUCGUCCGCCCUUCUUAUUGCCGCUGCUUCUCAGCUCACACGCUCCAACACUAUCCUCUCGUGUCUCGUCGAGCUAUCUGUCCACGGAGUAGUACCUUCCCGAGCUAGCUCGCAGCUCCGCCGCAAUGGCCACCGUGGUGAGCAGCCUCCGCUUGCCCUUCUCCGUCUGCGCCGCCGCCCCCUCGGCGCCCAUGGCAUCCCGCGUCGCGCUCCCGCUGUCGUCGACGGCUGCCAGGGGCAUGAGGCUCCGCGCGCAGGCGACGUACAAGGUGAAGCUGAUCACGCCGGAGGGCGAGGUGGACCUCGAGGUCCCCGACGACGUCUACAUCCUCGACCACGCCGAGGAGGAAGGGAUCGACCUGCCCUACUCCUGCCGCGCCGGCUCCUGCUCCUCCUGCGCCGGGAAGGUGGUCUCCGGCCAGCUGGACCAGUCCGACCAGAGCUUCCUCGACGACGACCAGAUCGAGGCGGGGUGGGUGCUCACCUGCGCCGCGUACCCCACCUCGGACCUCGUCAUCGAGACACACAAGGAGGAGGAGCUCACCGCUUGAAUUCACUGAUUUUGUGUAUUUCCAUCCGUUUCCGGCGUGCGCGUGUAUAUGCACGAUGCAUGAACUGUAUCAGGAUAUUGAGGAGUUACAGAGUAAUUAGUACUUGCUG